CCAUGUAGGAAUCGUUAGUGAAAGUAUCAAAUUGUUUGCCUUGAGGAAUGGGUCCCUUGAGAUUAUUUUGAGAAAGGUUUAACACCUCUAAGAAUCCAAGAUUUUUCAACUCUGUUGGAAUUCUUCUUUCCAGCUUAUUUGAUGAGAGGUCUAAUGAUUCAAGCUCUGACAAAUUACCUAAAGAUGAUGGGAUAGGACCUAUUAAACAGUUAUAGGAGAGAUUUAGGACAAUAAGUAAAUGAAGCUCACCAAGUAUUUUUGGAAUUUCUCCCCUGAAUUGGUUACUAGAAAGGUCAAUAACCGUCCAAAUGGAUAAUGUGAUUCAAACUUUAUUUCCAGCCCUCUUGCUAUAACAGAUAAACCAUCAGUAUAAUUCACUAAAAAUUCACUAAGUGCUUCUCUCAUGUAAUGUGGAUCAACUUUCUUUCCAUACUCAUCUCUAAUGGCAUGCAUAUGCUCAAAAAAAGGGUAGGUAAGUAGCCACUAAAUUUAUUGUGAGAAAGAUCAAUGAUUUGCAAUUUAGUUAAAGAAAAUGUAAUAUCAAAGCUCUCUAUUUGGCUGUAAAAUCUAUUCAACCUCAAGGUAAGAACUUGCAGCUGAUCCAAAUUUCCUAACCAACUUGGGAAAGUGUCAUUCAAAUUGUUGUUUCCAACAUUGAGAAGAUUUAAACCUUUGCAAUUACCCAAAGAUCGUGGUAGUGACCCUUCUAAUUUAUUGUUGUCGAUGCGUAAACUUCUCAACAUGCAACCUUUAGCAAAAUUUUCUGGUAUUUGACCAUGAAAAUUAUUAUUCCCUAGCUGAACUGCUAUGAGAGAAGAACUCAAGUUUCCGAUGCACAUUGGAAUUGUUCCCUCCAAAUUAUUCUCAUCUAAAAGCAUAACCAUAAGGGAAGUGAAACUGCAUAUUAAAGAAGGGAUUUCUCCAAUUAAGUUAUUAGUUGAAACUCCAUAGAAUUGCAAUAAAGGUGGUGGUGUUGGAAUUCGACCUUAGAGAUAAAAUUGAAAAUGAGAUAGAAUUAGGAGUUUGAAGAUUCUUUGGAAUAUAAAUUAUAAAAUAACUAUAUUUGUGAUGUAUUACAUGCAUGAUGUGCACACUCGAUACAAAUAAUUGGUUAAUUUACUACACUACUUCUAACCAUUUUUAGAUGCAUCACAACAACUUUUAAGUUGUAAUCUAUUGAAGGAAACUACUACUAUCUUCUAGAGAAAUUUUUAUUUCCCUUACUUAAAAGUAAAAUGGGAUUGCAUAAAUGUAUAAAAAAUUGAAGGAAAAAAAUAUCAAACUAUACCUAAUAGUUUAUUAUAAAAGAGAUAACCAUUUAAUAUCUUACUUAUAUUUCAUUUUUUAGUGUUUAUUAUUAUUUUUGGUACAUUUAUGUAUAUUUUAUAAUUUAUUAUUGGGGUUCACGGUUGCUAUUGUCAAGAAUAUCAUCUCUAAUACUUGAAUCUUGUUCUCCCAUUAAGAGAGUAAUAUGCCUUACCACUGCACCGAAUAUUUAUUGGUGUAGUAUUUAUUAUAACUACAAAUAAAUUUAAUUAUCUUUUUAUGAAACUCUAAGUUAGAGGUCAAAUAAAAAAGAAAUUUAAUUAAUAUAGUGUUUAACUUUUUAUCAUUUUAAUUAUUAGUUAUAAAAUUUUUCCUCACAAUUGAAAUUUAAAAAUGACAUUUUAUGAAAUUUAAAGAUAACAUAAUUAAUAGAAAAUUGACAUUUUCUUUAGAGUCGGAAUUUAAGUAGUAGCAAUAUCUAUAACUGGUACUUCAAAUGUACAUUUUAUGUUUAUAAUUUUUAUAAGAUUCGGAGUUAAUUAAGAUUGUAGCCUCAAAAUUGGUGUUAUGAAAGCCAUUUUUUAUAAGAAUAUUUUUCUAUUUAACAAUGAUUGUCCAGCAUGUUAUAAUUGAAACCUAAUAUGGUAUUCACUAUUACUGACUCGGAACUCGAGUAGGUUCAAGUUACUGACCCACAACCCAAGUAGACUCAAAGGAAUUCGGGUCGGGCCCCACGAAGUGGGCAUGUUAGAGUUCGUACAUCCAAUUUGUGAGUAUGCUAUAGCUCUCGAGCCUAGCUCACAAGACAAGCUUGCACAUUGAGUUCACAUAUCUCUAUAUGCUUGCGAGGAGAGGUGUUAGGUCAAGCACGUGGUCCAUGACCACGUGUUAAGUCUAGAGCAAGAUAUGUGUUAGCAUGCAUGAAGCCUAUCUAAGACGUCAUUUUAGUGAAUAGUAACCGUAUUAUAUAAAUACUAAGUCUUAUGCCCAUAGUAGACACAAAGAGAAAAUACUCAACAAUUUGGUGUAAUGUGUGUGGUCAAACUUUUGAUUGAUAGAUUUUAGGGGUGAGCAAAACUCGAUUCGACUCGAAAAAAUCGAAAAAAAAUUUGAAUUUCGAGUUAAACGAAUCAAGUUUUUCGAGUUAAUCGAGUUAUUCGAAUCAACUCGAAUAUUUUUUUCGAAUUUCGAGUUCGAAUCGAGUUGAGUUUUCGAAUUCGAAUAACCCGAAUAAUUCGAAUAAUUCGAAUAUUAAACUAUAAUAUUUUACAUUUUUACCCCAAACUCCCAAACCUUUUUAUUUUUCCCUCAAAACUUUUACUCCUUCCCACUUUCCCCCCAAAACUUUUACUCCCCUCCCCUCCCAACCCCCCAAUCUACCCAAAAUCUAUUUCCCACCAAAAUUUUACUCUCCCAUUUAUUUUUUCUCAAAAUAACCUUUUUCUUUUUUCAAUCAUGUUCAAAUUUAAGGUAUUAUAAUUUAUUUUGUGUUAAGUUAGAUGAAGCCUAAGCAAUUUAAAUAUAUGUGCUACUAUUUAACAAUAAAUUAGGUUGAAAUAGAAAGAGGAAAGGUAAGUUUUUUUCUGGGAAGAAAGGUGGAGGUGGAGGUAAUGAUGGUAAUCGCACGUGGUGAAGUAGAAGAGAAAAGUAAAUUUUGAGGAUCAAAUUGAAACUAUUUGUAAAAUUUGAGAGUUAAUUAUUUUAAAAUUUUGACUAAAACAAUAUAAGAUAUAAAAUUUGAGAGCUAGAUUUAUAAUUUUACUCAUUUUUUAACUACCACAUUACCCUCCAUAGAGAUUUAAAGAAACGGACAAAAAAAUCUCAAUUAGUUGAGUGAUCAAAUUAAAAAAAAUUGAUAAUUAGGUAACUAAAAAAAGAAAAAUAAAAAUUGAUAAUUGUUCAUCGAUAGUGUAUAGAACUUAUGCACCAACAAUGCAUCAAAUAUUCUCAUUAAAAGAAAAUGUAUAAAAUAAGUUUUAUACUAUCUAUAAUUUGUAAAAAAAAAAAUUCAAUAAAAAAUAAAAAAAUACAUCUAUAAACUCACAAAAAGAAUUACAUAUCUAUAAUAUCUUUUUAUAAAUUCAAUUCCAAAUCUCCUGUAAUAAAUCAACCUCACAAAUCUGAUUGAGGUUAAAAACAAAGAAUGCAUGUAUUGUGCAAUUAAAACUAUGAUCCAUUUUCAAUUCUAAAGUAUUGAACAUAUAAUUUUGCAUUAUUUCACAAACUCUUUGCAAUAAAUUAACCAUCUAUUCCUUAUUUCAAUUUUAUUAAAAAGAUAGGUUCCCAUAAAGACAGUCUUUACAAACCAGUGCACCUAUCAUAAACACAUCAGGGAACAUUGCCAUGAGAGAGGACCUAAGAAAACAUAAUACAAAGCACCCACACAAAAUGUUUAUUAAACAGCUACUGAAAAAGGCCUGCAUACCACCAAGCAAUGAAGUUUUCUGUUCUGUUUGCAACUUGUUGAACUCGCCCAAGUGUUGCCUUCUCUACCUUUUUGCAAAUCUUCGUCGGACUCGCUCCACGAUCCUAAUCAACCACCAUGGUUUUCCAGUCGUGAAUACAAUGUAUGCCAUGCUCAUUCCCAGCACCAACCCACAUCCAUACCCCAUCAAUAUUGAAAAUUUCCAAUUCAAUUCAUCACCAUCAUCAUCUCUAUCAAAUAUGGCUGGGGUUUCCUCAUCAGUACCACAGUUUUUUGAUAGUGGCAAACCACAUAAAUCCAAAUUUCCCAUGUAGGAAUCGUUAGUGAAAGUAUCAAAUUGUUUUCCUUGAGGAAUGGGUCCCUUGAGAUUAUUUUGAGAAAGGUUUAACACCUCUAAGAAUCCAAGAUUUUUUAACUCCGUUGGAAUUCUUCCAUCCAGCUUAUUUGAUGAGAGAUCUAAUGAUUCAAGCUCUGACAAAUUACCUAAAGAUGAUGGGAUAGGACCUAUUAAACAGUUAUGGGAGAUCUAUUCGACCUCAAGAUAAGAACUUGCAGCUGAUCCAAAUUUCCUAACCAACUUGGGAAAGUGUCAUUCAAAUUGUUGUUUCCAACAUCGAGAAGAUUUAAACCUUUGCAAUUACCCAACGAUCGUGGUAGUGACCCUUCUAAUUCAUUGUUGUUGAUGUGUAAACUUCUCAACAUGCAACCUUUAGCAAAAUUUUCUGGUAUUUGACCAUGAAAAUUAUUAUUCCCUAGAAAAACUGCUGUGAGAGAAGAACUCAAGUUUCCGAUGCACUUUGGAAUUGUUCCCUCCAAAUUAUUGUCAUGUAAAGCCAUAGCCACAAGGGAAGUCAAAUUGCAUAUUGAAGAAGGGAUUUCUCCAAUUAAGUUAUUAGUUGAAACUCCAUACAAUUGCAAUAAAGGUGGUGGUGUUGGAAUUCGACCUUAGAGAUAAAAUUGAAAAUGAGAUAGAAUUAGGAGUUUGAAGAUUCUUUGGAAUAAAAAUUAUAAAAUAGCUAUAUUUGAGAUAUGUACACUCAAUACAAAUAAUUGAUUAAUUUACUACACUACUUCUAACCAUUUUAAGAUGCAUCACAACAACUUUUAAGUUGUAAUCUAUUGGAGGAAACUACUACUAUCUUCUAGUGAAAAUUUUAUUUCCCUUACUUAAAAGUAAAAAGGGAUUGCAUAAAUGUAUAAAAAAUAGAAGGAAAAAUAUAUCAAACUAUACCUAAUAGUUUAUUAUAAAAGAGAUAACCAUUUAAUAUCUUACUUAUAUUUCAUUUUUUAGUGUUUAUUAUUAUUUUUUGUACUUUUAUGUAUAUUUUAUAAUUUAUUAUCGGGGUUCACGGUUGUUACUGUCAAGAAUAUCAUCUCUAAGACUUGAAUCUUGUUCUCCCAUUAAGAGAGUAAUAUGUUUUACCACUGCACCGAAUAUUUAUUGGUGUAGUAUUUAUUAUAACUACAAAUAAUUUUAAUUAUCUUUUUAUGAACCUCUAAAUUAGAGGUCAAAUAAAAAAGUAAAUUAAUUGAUGUAGUGUUUAAAUUUUUAUCAUUACAUGUAAAGUUUUAAUUAUUAGUUAUAAAUUUUUUUCCUCACAAUUGAAAUUUAAAAACGACAUUUUAUGAAAAUUAAAGAUAACAUAAUUAAUAGAAAAUUGACAUUUUCUUUAGAGCCGGAAUCUAAGUAGUAGCAAUAUCUGUAACUGGUAUUUCAAAUGUACAUUUUAUGUUUAUAAUUUUUAUAAGAUUGGGAGUUAAUUGAGAUUGUAGCCUCAAAAUUAGUGUUAUAUAUGAAAGCCAUUUUUUAUGAGAAUACUUUUCUAUUUAACAAUGAUUGUCCAACAUGUUAUAAUUGAAAUCUAUUAUGGAAUUCACUAUUACUAACUCGAAACUCGAGUAGGUUAAAGUUAUUGACCCACAAUCUAAGUAGACUCAAAGGAAUUUGGGUCGGGCUCCACUAAGUGGGCAUAUUAGAGUUCGCACAUCCAAUUCGUACGAAUUUGAGUAUUUUUUAUGAGAAUACUAAUCAAAUAGAAACUUGGGAAAAGAAUAGUGGCCUUUUUAUUCAUGUUUGGCAAAUUAAUAUACUUUGUUUCUCUCAUAAUAUAAAAUAUGUCCUGCGCAUAAAUUAAUUAAACAAAUAAAUAAUAAGGCAAAUCAAAAAGGUAAAUCUACGUCUAAAUUAUAAUUCAUAAUAUAAAUUAAUUAAUGUAAAUUUUAAAUUUUUUUAAAUCAUUAUUAUUAUCAAAUAAAUUCUCUUAAUAAAAUACUUUUAGUGAAAUUAGAAAUCUUACUUAUAAAUAAUAAUAAUAAUAAUAAUAAUAAAUUUUGCUAUGAGCAAAUAGAAAAAUAGUCAAUAUUCUUAAUCAUUUUCAUUAAUUUAAGAGAUUUUGCAUGCUUAUUCUUUUAUGUAUAUAUAUAUAUCUAUUAUAGAUGUAGAUUAUAAAUUGUAGACAAAUAUUUUGGUUGGGUUAGCAAAGCUGAAAAAGUUGAGAAUAAUAAUUUGUUAAAUUUAUAAAUUUAAGGUGAAAAAUUAAAUCCUAAUAGUUAAAAUAUCUAUAUGUAAUUAAUGAAUAAGAAUUGCAAAGAAUGGCGUAAAAGAAAAAUAAAAUGAAAGAAUUUAAAAUAUAAUUUUUAAUUUUAUAUCACGUGUCGUAUUAUAAUUGAAACCUAUUAUGAAAUUCACUAUUACUACUUGAAAUUCGAGUAGGUUCAAGUUAUUGACCCACAACCCAAGUAGACUUAAAGGAAUUUGGGUCGGGCCCCACAAAGUGGGCAUAUUGGAGUUUGCACAUCCAAUUCGUAGGUAUGCUAGAGCUCGUGGGCCUAGCUUACAAGACAAGCUUGCACAUUGAGUUCACACGUCUUUAUAUGAUCGCAAGGAGAGGUGCUAAAGUCAAGCACGUGGUCCAUGAACAUGUGUUAAGUCUAGAACAAGAUACGUGUUAACAUGCAUGAAGCUUGUCUAAGACGUCAUUUCAGUGAGUGUGGUGCAGUGAGUUUGGUCAAACUUUCGAUUGACCAUUGUAGGCAAAAAGAGAAAACACUCAACAAUUUGGUGCAGUGAGUAUGGUCAAACUUUCGAUUGACAAUUUUUCAGCUUGUAACAAUCAAAAUAGCUCACCCAAAUGAAAAUUUCUCCAUCAAUGUUUUGUCAGGAUAAGUUGCUAGUAUUAUAUUGUUGCUAGUAUUAUACAAAACAAAAAGUCACAAAAGUGAGAGAAAACCUAGUCAUCAGCACACCAAAACUCAUUAAGUCGAUCAUAGUUGCUGGUAUUAUAUUGUAUCUUCUUACAUCGAGAGAUAAGGUGGGUGAGAAAGGGAGACAAAAGACGGUGAGCUUGGAUGGGACAUUAAGGGGGAAGAGAGGAAAAAAUGUCAUGUGUCUAACUAUUUCUAGUGUUUGAACCGUUUUGAGUCGUAUCUAUCUUUGAACUCAUACCGUCCUAAGCCUUAGAACAUUACAAGCUUAAAAGACCAAUGUAUUUCCUAUUCAAUAAUAUCAACUAUGGCUUAGCAACAACUAAAUCAAGACCUAAACAAGAAGGCAAAUCUAAAAGGUAGAAGGAAUAGUUAAUUAAAAGUAGUGUGUGAUUAAAAAGGUAGAUGGUGAACUUAGGAUGUGGAGUUCCAAUAAAUACCUAAACUUUUGGCAAUUCAAAUAGUUUCUUUAUAAAUAUUUGUAAAUAUUUGAGUCUUAUUUGUAUUAAGAAAUACAUUAUUUGAAAGAGCAUAAUAAUUUUAAGCGGUCUAAUAAUGAAAAUAUUAUAUUAAACUUUAGUAGAGUUUAAUUAUAUAUAUUAUAAGAAUAGUCUUCGCUGUAUUUAUCCAUUUAAUUUUAUUUUUUUAUUUUGGUCCCUUGGAACGGUGCGUUUAGGGGGUAUGGGGAUAAUUUCAUAGUUGGUCCCUGUCCAUUUUCACGCAUUUAAUUUUAGUCCUUUAUUCUGUUUUAUUGUUUAAUUUAUUUAUUUUAUUAUGAUUUAUAUUUUUAAUUUCACUUAAAUUUCGAUUCAGUCCCUUAUUUAUUUAGUUUCAGCCUUUCAUGAAUUUUAUUUAUUUUUUACUUCUUUAUUUUCAUAUACUUAAAAAUUGGAUUGUUUACAUUCUUUUAUUUGUGCAUUUUUUUGCCCAUUUAUUUUAUUUACUUAAAAAGAUUGCAUAAAUUUAAUAACAAAAAGGAGAAUAAAAGAAAAAUGAAAUUAUACCUGUCAAUUUGUUACUGCCAAGAGAAAGCACUUGAAGAGAAAUCAAGUUUCCAAUAACAAGAGGAAUUUUACCUGAAACAUAUAAUUAAAUCAGUAAAAAUUACAAAUAUUUUCCUAGCAAAACCUUAAUUUAUUUGUUGAGCAUAUUAGUAUCCAUUUGAUUUAUUUAUUUUUAAAUAUGCAAGUUUUGUUUAGUUUUAUAGUACUUAUGACAACCCAAAAAUAUUUUAAUUACAAUACUCAAAUUGAUAGUUGAAAUGAUGAUGAAAAUUAGAUAGAAUAAAAUAGUUCACGCUUAAUAUUUUGUUCAAAUAUAGGAUACAUUAGAGGUGAUUAUGGGUCGGGUUUGGGCCAGUUGAGACAAAAUUAGGCCAGUUCCCGAGCCCUAAAUAUGGGCCUAAAAAUUUGUUCAAGCCCAGCCCAAAAGAAAAUUGCUAAGCUGAGCCCGACCCUGCCCAGCCCAUAUUAAAUUUUACAACACCAAAAUAGCAUAAAAAACUUGCAAUAUAUAUAUUUUAUUAAAAAUAAAAAAUAUAUUUAAUAUAUAAUUCGGACCAGGCUUUGGCCAAAAAAGUUUUACCCGAAGCCCGGCCCGUUUUCUAAAAUUUCCAAUUUAUGUAGGUAUACUUCCCUCCAAGGAGUUGCUCGACAAUGAUAAAAACUUCAAAUCUUUGCACUUGAAUAAACUAUUUGGAAUUCUACCGGAAAUUUGAUUCCAACUCAAGCCCAACCUUUCUAGUUUUGACAAAUUGCCUAGAGUAAGAUAACACCAAUGAAGUUGUUAAGGUACAGAGACAAUCUUUGAAGUUUACUGAAGCAACCAAACCAUGAUGGGAUUUCUCCAUUGAAGCUAUUGUUACCAAAGUCCAAAUACUUCAUCCGACGUAAAUUGGUUAACUCAAUGGGUAAAGAGCCAUGGAAACUAUUUUGAUGAAUGUCGAGCCAAGCAAGGAAAGAUAGAUUUCCCAAUUGAGAAGAAAUGGUGCCUGUGAGAUCCAUGCUUGAUAAAUUCAGAGCAGUGACUCUAUGGUGUCUAGAUCCACAUGUGACACCAAUCCAGCUACAAACGGAGGUAGAAGUAGACCAAUUGGUUGCCAAGAAAUUGUAAGGAUCAUGAGUUAUAUGAGAUUUGAGUGCUAGAAAAGCAGAUUGAUCAACGGUGAUGCUAGAAUAUUUUGCAGACAAAAUAACCCCAAAGGUUGCGAAUAGCAGCCCAAACAUAAACGGAGGGAGGAAGACGGUGAUAGUCUCCAAGAGAAAGAGACAAGCAAGGAGGGUGAAGGCAAAGUGGCAAACAAUACAUUCAUUACAUAUUUAUUGUUGCAUAUCUCAUUUUAUUUACUGUCACUAGACACUUUUUAUAUAUAUAAAUUAUUAAAUAUUAAAUUUCAUAUAUAAAAAAAAUCCACAUAUUACUUAUUUUAUUAAUACAUAAAAGUAAACCGUUUAGAUGAUUUCAAGUUAAAAAAACAAUAUAUUUUAGAUUUUAUGUGGAUUCUUUUUAAGUUCAAUUUUCAAAUUAUUCAGAUUUCCAUCAUCAAAGUUGAAUAGUUUGUAAUUCAAAUUAUUGCUCUCUUUUUACUUGUACCAAUAUUUCCUAUAUUUUUCUUAUGUUAAAAUAGUCAAAGUAUUAAAUAUAUAAUUAGUUGUAGAGAAGUCAAAAGCUAAUUAAUAAUAUAUAGGGAUUGCAUAAAUGUAACAACAAAAAGAAAAAAAAAUCAAAGCUACUUAAUGGUUGUAUUUUGUGAGGCUGUGGAAGUUGAAAGAGCAAUAAUUUUAAGCUGUCUAAUGAAAAUAUUAAACUAAAACUUUAGUAAAGUUUAAUUAUAUAUUAUAUUUUAAUAAAAUUACAUAUCUUAAAUCGAAAAAUAAUUUAAUCAAUCAUCUGUAUUAGUUUUGAAGUUCAGGCUUACAUAUAUAGAAUAUAUAUUGAUUGAGUUAGAAAUACUCAAAUUUGUUUCUUAUACUCAAAAUGUUUACACAUGACACAAUAAUAUUCAUAACUUUUUUUAAUGAAAUAAUAUUCAUAACUUCAACUUUAUUUGGAAGAAAAAUUGGAAAUCAAUAAUAUUUGCUAUACACAUGAAUGGAGUGUAUAAAAUGAAUGAUUAGUAGAGUUUAAUAUUAUAUAUAUUUUAAUAUUUAAUAAAAUUACAUCUUUUAAUUCAAAAAGAUAUUUUAAUCAAUCAAUUUUAUUAGUUUUCGAGUUGAGGCUUAUAUAUAUAUAUAAUAUAUAUUAAUUGAGUUAGAAAUAGUACAAAAAGUUGACAUUUUUUAAAAGUAUGAUAAUUUGAAUAGAAGUAACAUAUGCUAAUGUGGAGUAAUUGUUCCAUAUAAUCCUUUUUAUGAUGAAAUCAUUGCUUAAUUUACUUCAUAACUUCUUACAUUUAGACAUAAUAAUGAGGUUUUAAUCUUUUAAGGUAACUUUUAUUUUAUUUACUUAAAAAAUUGCAUAAAUUUAAUUAAAAAAAAGAGAAUAAAAGAAACAUGAAAUUAUACCUGUCAAUUUGUUAUGGUUAAGAUAAAGAAAUUGGAGAGAAGUCAAGUUUCCAAUAACAAGAGGAAUUUCACCUGAAACGUAUAAUUAAAUCGGUCAAAAUUUGUAAAUAUCAUAUUAGUGUCUGUUUCAUUUACCUAUUUUUAAAUAUGUAAGUUUUGUUUAGUCUUAUAGCACUUAUGAUAACCCAAAAAUAUUUUAAUUAUAAUACUCAAAUUAACAAUAAAAAAUAUUUAUGUUUGUGCCAGAAAAAAACACUGCAUAGAUCACAAAAAGGAAAAACUAAAACAUCCAAAAAACACUAAACACAAAAUUCAUAGUUGUAGAGGAGGAUUAGAUACAUUGGUCCCAUAAUAUGUCACUCAAAAUCUCAAAAUCAUCCAACAAAAAGAAAUCAUCACUUUAGUUAAUUAAAUCAAGAACAAAUAAAGUUAUGGAUGAACAAAUAUGGGAAGCAAAGAAAUGUGAUGGAUCAAAAGGGACGGAUAAGCUAAUUUCUGCCAUAAGGUAGAUGGUGAACUUAGGAUGUGGAGUUCCAAUAAACACCUAAACAUACCUAAACUUUUGGCAAUUCAAAUAGAUUAUACUAAUUUUUAAUUACUUAAAAAUAUUGCAUAAAUUUAAUAACAAAAUAGAGAAUAAAAGAAAUAUGAAAUUAUACCUGUCAAAUUGUUAUUGCUAAGAUAAAGAAAUUGGAGAGAAGUCAAGUUUCCAAUAACAAGAGAAAUUUCACCUGAAACGUAUAAUUAAAUCAAUAAAUAUUUGUAAAUAUUUUCCUAGCAAACCCUUAAUUUAUUUGUUGAGCAUAUUAGUGUCUGUUUGAUUUACCUAUUUUUAAAUAUGCAAGUUUUGUUUAGUCUUAUAGUACUUAUGAUAACCCAAAAAUAUUUUAAUUAUAAUACCCAAAAAUUUCAGGCCCAUAUUUUGGGCCGGGCCGAGCCCGAGCCUAGGACGAGGACCAAAAAUUUUUCUAGGCCCAGCCCAAACCUAGCCCGACCCAUGAUCACCUCUAUUGCAUACAAUAUGUUUCCCUAAACUACUUAUUAUUUAUCUCUCGCCACAAAUUAUCAAAAACACAUUUGCAUUUUAAGCCAAACAUUUAUAAUAGUGAUAAGUGCUGUAUUGAUUAAUAAUAUAUAACAACUAAAAAGGGAUUGCAUAAAUGUAACAACAACAAGGAAAAAAAUGAUAUUAUACCUAAUAAGUUGUUAUUAGAAAUAUAAAUAGCUUCGAGAAUGGUCAAGUUUCCAAUAGUUGAUGGGAUUUCACCUAAAAAUAUAAAUAAAUGGGUCAAAAUAAUCAACGGAAUUUCACCUAAAAUAUAAUAAAGAUGAUAUUUUACCUGUAAAGUAGUUAAGACCAAGAUAGAUAUUCGUGAGAGAAAUAAGGUUUCCAAUAAUUGAUGGAAUUUCACCUAAAAUAUAUAAUUAAAAUUAUCAAUUUAUUUCAAAAAAAAACCAAAAUUUAUUAAUUAUUUACCAAAAUAAUACAAAAAAAAAUAAAAAAAUACCAAAAUAUUACAACUUUUUUAUUAUUUACCGAAAUAAUACAAAAAAAAGAGUUAAAAAAAAAUACUGAAGGAGGAAUAGCUUAGAACAUUACAAGCUUAAAAGACCAAUGUAUUUCCUAUUCAAUAAUAUCAACUAUGGCUUAGCAACAACUAAAUCAAGACCUAAACAAUAAGGCAAAUCUAAAAGGGUAAGAAAUAGGUCCAAAUUAUAAUUCAGAACAUAAAUUAAUUUUUAAUGUAAAAUUUAAAUAAAAUUUAAAAUUCUUUUAUUAUCAAAUAAAUUUCUUAAUAAAAUUCUUUUAUUAUCAAAUAAAAUUCUUAAUGAAAAAAUAAAACAUCUAAAAAUAUAUGUCUUAUACCAAGAUUCUUAUAUUUUUCUAAUAUGUCACUUUAGUUAAUUAAAGCAAGAACAAAUAAAGUUAUGGAUGAACAAAUAUGGGAAUCAAAGAAAAACGAUGGAUCAAAAGGGACGAAUAAGCUAAUUUCUGCCAUAAGGUAGAUGGUGAACUUAGGAUGUGGAGUUCCAAUAAACACCUAAACAUACCUAAACUUUUGGCAAUUCAAAUAGAUUAUACUAAUUUUUAAUUACUUAAAAAUAUUGCAUAAAUUUAAUAACAAAAUAGAGAAUAAAAGAAACAUGAAAUUAUACCUGUCAAAUUGUUAUUGCUAAGAUAAAGAAAUUGGAGAGAAGUCAAGUUUCCAAUAACAAGAGGAAUUUCACCUGAAACGUAUAAUUAAAUCAGUAAAUAUUUGUAAAUAUUUUCCUAGCAAACCCUUAAUUUAUUUGUUGAGCAUAUUAGUGUCUGUUUGAUUUACCUAUUUUUGAAUAUGCAAGUUUUGUUUAGUUUUAUAGUAUUAUGCCAACCCAAAAAUAUUUUAAUUACAAUACUCAAAUUUAUAGUUGAAAUGAUGAUGGAAAUUAGAUGAAAAUUUAAAUUUAAAAUGAAAAAUAUAAAAUUAUAAAUAGAUAUAAAUUUUCAUCUAAAACUUGACAUUUUUGAAACCUAAGUUAUAGCAUAAUGUGUAGUUUUUUUCUAUCAUUAUAAAUUAUGUUAAAUUUUGUUGAAUGUAGUGGUGCCAACGAGUUUAAUAUUCAAAUCAUCAUAUUGAUAUUGAGACACUGAAUUAUUGAUAUUUUUCUUAUUCUUAUAUUUUUCUAAUUUUAAAGUAGUUAAAGGAUUAAAUGUGUAAUUAAUUGUUUUUAAGCCAAAAGUAUUAUAGUAAUAUAAAAAGAAAAUAUGAGUAUAUAAAGAAAAUAAAACUAUGAUAUAAAACUAUGUUUUAAAAAGUACUUAUUAGUGCUUAUGAUAACCCAAAAACAUUUUAAUUAUAUAACACUCAAAUUUGAGUGUAGUGGUGCAAACCAGGUUUAAUUACUUCAUAACAUCUUACAUUUUCUAAAUGCAUUAUAAUGACUUCAAUGUUUUAAUCUUUUUAAGGUAACUUUUAUUUUAAUUACUUAAAAAGAUUGUAUAAAUUUAAUAACAAAAAGGAGAAUGAAAGAAACAUGAAAUUGUACCUGUCAAUUUGUUAUUACGAAAAGAAAGCACUCGAAGAGAAGUCAAGUUUCCAAUAACAAGAGGAAUUUCACCUGAAAUAUAUAAUUAAAUGAGUAAAUAUAUAAUUAUUUUUAAUAAUUAUUUUAAGAGUUAAAUAAGGCAAAUCUAAAAUGUAGAAGAAAUAGCUAAUUAGAAGUAGUGUGUGAUUCAAAAGGGUAUAAAGUAGGUCCAAAUUAAAAAUCAAAUCUUAAAAUAAUUUAAUCUAAAAUUUAACUCUUUUCUUAUCACUAAAUAAAUUAACUUUUAGAGAAAUUAGAAGUUUUAAUAAAAUACCUGAAAUAACUGAUUGUUUAUGACUAGGUGAAAAUUAGAUGAAAAAAAAUAUAAUUAAUAAUUUAUAUAGCUAUUAUUGGAAAUCAUCCAUAUUUAUAGAAAGUCAAAGAUAUGAGUAUAAAAAAGAUAUGGGUAUUAGAAAGAUAUGGGUAUCAAAAUCUGAGAUUUAAGACACCAAAAGUGGGAUUGAGAUUUGGCAUAAGAUAAUUGCAAUUUUGAUCCCUGAACUUCAACUAUAAAUAGGCCUAACUAUUUCUCUUCUUCAUCAUCCCAAAUUUGCCAUUCUCUACUUAAGGCAUUGUUUUCUCUCUCUCUUUGUAAAUUCUCACUUGUAUUUUGGAGUGAAAUAUAUUUGGUAGAGCCCGAGGACGUAGGCAAAAUUUGCUGAACCUCGUUAAAUUCUUGUGUUCUUUAUUGUAUUAUUAUGCAUGAAUUGUGAGUGUGAUUGUAGUGAUUUAUUGUGCUAUUAAAUUACGAUUGAGGGAUAUUCUGGCUAGAAAAGACUUGGUACUUAAGCGAUCCUUGUGAUCCACCUCUCUUUCCUGGGAAUUGAAAUUAGUGUGAUUUUUAGUACAAUAAUUUUACUCUUUUACACGCUUCUGCACAAAAAUUGGUAUUAGAGCUAGAUUCGUACUUGGGGAAUACAAUUGUUCACGGCACUGUUCACGUACAGUAGUUGGGAUUGAGGAGAAAAAUGGAAAAGGUAUCGUCAUCAGCAAAGACUAUUGUGACCAAUGCAAAAUUUGAAGUAGAGAAAUUUGAUGGUACCAAUAAUUUUGGUAUGUGGCAAUGUGAGAUCCUAGAUGUCUUAUGUUAGCAAGAGCUGGAUAUAGCCCUUGAAGAAAAACCUGACAAGAGGGAAGACAAGGAGUGGGCUAAAAUUAAUAGACAGACAUGUGGAACAAUUCGUCUAUGUUUGGCCAAAGAGCAGAAGUACUCUGUCAUAAGGGAGACAUCAACGAAGAAGUUGAGGGAUACACUGAAAGAAAAGUUUCUAACAAAAAGUCUUGAAAAUAGGCUUUAUAUGAAAAAGAAACUUUAUCGAUUCACGUAUGUACCCAGUAUGUCGAUGGAUGACCAUGAGAACUCAUUCAAUAAAAUUUUAACAGAUUUGCUAAAUUUGGAUGAGAAAUUUGAAGAUGAAGACAAGGCAUUACUGUUGUUGAAUUAUCUUCUUGAUGAUGAUCAUCUUACCACCACAUUGCUCUAUGGAAGGAUACGAUCACAUUUGAUGCAGUCUGUAGUGCGUUGUAUAGAUCUGAGACUCGAAAGAAAGAUAAAAAAGAUCACAGAGAUACAACUACAGAAGUCUUAACAGUAAGAGGUCGUUCGGACAACAACAAAUCAGGUAGAAGUAGUAAGUCCAAAGGGAGACCUGCCAAAGAUAAAUGUGUUUUUUGUCGUGAGAAAGGGCAUUAGAAAAAGAAUUGUCCUAAGUUACAAAAGGGCAAGGCUAUUUCUGAUGCAUGUGUAGUGGAGUAUGAUGAGGAGUCAGACUUUAGCUUGGUUGGCAUGACAAUGGCAUGUCAUAUAGAUGAGUAGAUUUUGGAUUCGAGAUGUACUUACCAUAUGUGUCCUAAUAAGGACUGGUUUUCUAGUCUUAAAGAACUAGAAGGUGGAGUUGUUUUUAUGGGCAAUGACAGCGUUUGUAAGACAAUGGGAGUAUGUACAAUCCAACUGACGAAUCACGACGGCUCAAUUCAAGUCUUGACAGAUGUUCGCUAUAUACCUAGCUUGAAGAAAAAUCUCAUCUCAUUAGGGGUCCUAGAAUCUAAAGGGCUCACAAUCACUUUGAGAGGGAUUACUAAAGGUAGUAGCUGGGGGGUAUUGACGGUGAUGAAAGGCACAAGAAGGAAUAACCUGUACUAUUUAAAUGGUAGUACAGUUAUUGGAUCAACAUCAACAGUUUCUGUGAAAGAUGCAGAUUCAGAGCCUACCAGGUUAUGGCAUAUGCGAUUGAGACAUGCUGGUGAAAAAGCUUUGUAGAGUUUGGUGAAGCAAGGCUUGUUGAAAGGUGAAAAUUCUUGUAAAUUGGAAUUCUGUGAACAUUGUGCUCUAGGCAAGCAGACGAGGAUAAAAUUUGGUUCAACAAUUCACAAUACAAAAGGAAUUCUGGACUACGUUCACAGUGAUGUGUGGGGACCUACUAAAGUGGCUUCUUUGGUAGGUAUGCACUACUUUGUUACUUUUGUUGAUGAUUAUUCAAGAAAAGUAUGGGUGCAUCUAAUGAAAAGAAAACAAAUGAAGUUUUGGAUGCAUUUCUGAAAUGGAAGAAGGUGGUGGAGACCUAAAUUGGUCAAAAGGUCAAACAACUUCGAUCAGACAAUGGUACUGAUUACAAGAAUGAUCCAUUUCUACAAGUAAGUCAAGAUGAGGGCAUUGUGUGACACUUCACUGUUCGAGAUACACCACAACAGAAUGGGGUGGCAGAACGUAUGAAUCGGACUAUACUGGAGAAAGUUUUAUGUAUGUUGUCCAAUGCUAGAUUGGGCAAGGAAUUUUGGGCUGAGACAGUUACAUAUGCGUGCCAUCUAAUUAACCGGUUGCCAUCAGCUGUAAUAAAUGGAAAAACUCCUAUGGAGAGGUGGGCUGGUAAACCUGCUACUGAUUAUGAUUCUUUACAUGUUUUUGGUUCCACUACAUAUUAUCAUGUAAAAGAAUCUAAGUUAGACCCAAGAGCAAAAAAAAGCAUUAUUCAUGGGUAUAACUGGUGGAGUAAAAGGAUAUUGUCUCUGGUGUCCUGAUACAAGGAAGAUUGUUUUCAGUAGAGAUGUGACUUUUGAUGAAUCAACCAUGAUGAAGAAUAAUGAUUCACAAAAUGAUAACAAAACUAGUGGCACUUUGUAGCAGGUGGAGCUUGAAAAGGUUAAUGAUGAUCCAGCUAAUAUUGAAGGAACAAAUGAUGAAGAAGUUUUGACCCAAGAACUUUUACAGCAACAUGAUUCAAUUGCAUAUAAGAGGCCAAGAAGAGAGGUUCGUAUGCCUGCUCGCUUUGAUGAUAUUGUGGCCUAUGCACUUCCAAUUGCAGAUGAUGAUGUUCCUUCUAUUUAUAUAGAAGCAAGAAGUAACCCUGAUGGUGUAAAGUGGAAGCGAGCUAUGAAUGAAGAAAUGCAGUCUCUUCAUAAAAAUAGGACUUGGGAGUUGGUGACACUACCCAAAGGAAAGAAGGCAAUUGGAUGCAAAUGGGUAUAUGCAAAGAAGGAAGGAUUUCCUGGUAAAAAUGAAGUUCGAUACGAGGCUAGAUUGGUAGCAAAGGGUUACGCUCAGAAAGAAGGAAUAAACUACAAUGAAGUGUUUUCUCCAGUUGUGAAGCAUUCGUCUAUUCAGAUUUUGCUAGCCUUGGUUGCGCAAUAUGAUCUUGAACUAGUUUAGCUUGAUGUGAAGAUCGUAUUUUUACACGGUGAUUUGGAAGAGGAAAUCUAUAUGACUCGGCCAGAAGGAUUCAAGGUUGCUGAUAAAGAAAAUUGGGUUUGUAAACUGACAAAGUCACUUUAUGGAUUGAAACAAUCUCUGAGGCACUGGUACAAGCGAUUUGAUCAGUUCAUGAAAGGGUAAAGGUCCACAAGAAGUAAAUUUGAUCAUUGCGUGUAUUUUCAAAAGCUACAAGAAGGAUUUUUCAUAUACUUGCUUUUAUAUGUUGAUGAUAUGUUGAUAGCAUCUAAGAGUAAAGUUGAAAUUGAGAGAUUGAAGACUCAACUCAACCUUGAGUUUCAGAUGAAAGACCUAGGUGAAACUAAUAAGAUUCUUGGCAUUGAAAUAUGUAGGGAUAAAGCUCAUGGCAGAGUUAGUUUGUCUCAGAAGCAAUAUUUGAAGAAGGUACUAUAGAAGUUUGGCAUGAACGAGCAAACAAAAGCUGUAAGUACCCAGUUGGCUUCUCAUUUCAAGCUUUCUACACAACUAUCUCCUUCGACUAAUACGGAACAAGAAUACAUGUUACAAGUUCCGUAUUCUAAUGCAGUAGGUAGCUUGAUGUAUGCAAUGGUGUGUACAAGACCCGACAUUUCACAGGCAGUUAGUAUAGUGAGCAGGUAUAUGCACAAUCCUGGAAAAGGACAUUGGCAAGCUGUGAAAAGGAUUCUACGGUAUAUUCAGAAUACCAUGGAUAUUGGAUUACUGUUUAAGCAGGAUACUACACUUGGUAAAUGUGUUAUUGGGUAUGUUGAUUCUGAUUAUGCCCAUGAUUUGGUCAAACGAAGAUCAAUCACUGGUUAUGUGUUUACACUUGCUGGAGGACCAAUAAGUUAGAAGUCUACAUUGCAGUCUACAGUUGCAUUGUCAACCACAGAAGUUGAAUACAUAGCUGUAACAGAGGCUGUAAAGAAAGCUAUUUGGUUACAAGGUAUGGUUAAAACCUUGGGAUUGGUUCAGGAGCAUAUUAACGUGUAUUGUGAUAGUCAAAGUGCUAUUCAUUUAGCAAAGAUUCAAGUCUAUCAUGCACGUACAAAACAUAUCGACGUACGUUUCCAUUUUGUGUGGGAAAUUAUUGAUGAGGGGAAAAUUCACCUUCAGAAUAUUAAGACUGCAGAUAAUCCCGCAGAUAUGAUGACCAAGGUGGUGACAACCAUCAAGUUCGAACAUUGUUUGAACUUGAUCAAUAUUCUGCAUGUUUAACAGUUGAAGAAGGCACUAUCAAGUGUUGUUGAUAAAGGCAAAGAGAAUUGUGUGAAUAUAAGAUUAUUCGAAUCAAAUCUUCAAGAUGGAGAUUAUUAGAAAUCAUCCAUAUUUAUAGAAAGUCAAAGAUAUGGGUAUCGGAAAGAUAUGGGUAUCAAAAUCUAAGAUUUAAGGCACCAAAAGUGGGAUUGAGAUUUGGCAUAAGAUAAUUGCAAUUUUGAUCCCUGAACUUCAACUAUAAAUAGGCCUAACCAUUUCUCUUCUUCAUCAUCCCAAAUUUGCCAUUCUCUACUUAAGGCAUUGUUUUCUCUCUCUCUCUCUCUUUGUAAAUUCUCACUUGUAUUUUGGAGUGAAAUAUAUUUGGUAGUGCCCGAGGACGUAGGCAAAAUUUGCUAAACCUCGUUAAAUUCUUGUGUUCUUUAUUGUAUUAUUCUGCAUGAAUUGUGAGUGUGAUUGUAGUGAUUUAUUGUGCUAUUAAAUUGGGAUUGAGGGAUAUUCUGGCUAGGAAAGACCUGGUACUUAAGCGAUCCUUGUGAUCCACCUCUCUUUCCUAGGAAUUGAACUUAGUGUGAUUUUUUAGUACAAUAAUUUUACUCUUUUACACGCUUCCGCACAACAGCUAUUUCUCUCAUUCUAUGGACUAUGGUGGAGCAAAAAUUAAUAAAAAAAAUCAAACGGAUAGAAAUAGCUGAGUUACAAGUUUAUGUUAAUUCAAUAAAUUUAAAAAAAAACACAUUAUUUCCAAAAGGGUAAGAAAUAGGUCCAAAUUAUAAUUCAGAAUAUAAAUUAAUUUAAUGUAAAAUUUAAAUAAAAUUGAAAAUUUUUGUUAUUAUCAAAUUGAAAAAAACACCGAUCAUAAAAAGGAAAAACUAAAACAUCCAAAAAACACUAAACACAAAAUUCAUAGUUAUAGAGGAGGAUUAGAUACAUUGGUCCCAUAAUAUGUCACUCAAAAUCUCAAAAUCUCAAAAUCAUCCAACAAAAAGAAAUCAUCACUUUAGUUAAUUAAAUCAAGAACAAAUAAAGUUAUGGAUGAACAAAUAUGGGAAGCAAAGAAUGAUGAUCACGAGAGAAAUAAGGUUUCCAAUAACAGAUAAAAUUUCACCUAACACAUAUAAUUAAAAUCAUUAAAAUUUACUAACAGAUCUUAAAAUGGUUAUUUUGUGAGGCUGUGGGAGUUGUGUGAAGAAGAAAAAGAGGGAAUGGCAGUGGGUCAAUGCGGGUAGGUAUAAGUCUGAAACAUAUAAUAUCAACUAUGUACUCUGUAAUCAAGGCUAAGAGAAAUAAAGUACUCUAUUUCUUUCCUAUUCAAGAAUAUCAACACAUAAAUAAUAAGGAUAGAAAAAAUAGGUAAUUACAAGUCUUGUGUGAUUCAAAAGGGUAUAAAGUAGGUCCUAAUUAAAAAUCAAACCUUAAAUUAAUUUAAUGUAAAAUUUAACUCUUUUCUUAUCACCAAAUAAAUCUACUUCUAGUAAAUUAGGAGUUUUAAUAAAAUACUUGUAAGAACUGAUUGUUUAUGACUAGGUGUUUUGUUUUCAACAUAUUUGGAAUUAACUUGCCUUAGAAAAACAGUCUCUAUUAUUUUAAGAAUAUUAUAGAAGGGUAGAACUAUGAAAGCGGUUAGUAAAACAUGAGAUGCUAAAAAUAGACACAUGCCAUAAUAGGAAGGAAAAUUAGAAACAAACUCCUAAACCAAAUAAUUGGUUGAUGGCUGAAUUGUCAUGUACGGGGUUGUGGAGGUGACUAUGAGUUUUGAUGUGUUCCUACCUGCUACUAAGGGUAACUCAGGAGUUGCAUUAAAAAUCUGACUUCGUUUGUUUGGCACCAAUUAAAUUGGUUGAUGGCUAGCUCAAUUCACAUAAAUAAUGUAUAUAUACUCUAUGAGUUGCAUUAGUGGUUAUUGUUUAAAGUCCCGCUUCACUAUUUAAAACAACUGUCGAUGGAAAUUAGAUAAAAAUGAAUGACACGAUAACCAGGACUUGUUUACCUUUGAAAUAGUUGUCACCAAGAUCCAAAGUCUCGAGAAAGGUCAAAUUUCCAAUUUCUGUAGGUAUACUUCCCUCCAAGGAGUUGUUAAACAAUGAUAAAAACUUCAGCUCUUUGCACUUGAAUAAACUAUUUGGAAUUCUACCGGUAAUUUGAUUCCCACCCAAGCUCAACCUUUCUAGUUUUGACAAAUUGCCUAGAGUAGAUGGGAUAACACCAACGAAGUUGUUAAGGUACAGAGACAAUCUUUGAAGUUUACUGAAGCAACCAAACCAUGAUGGGAUUUCUCCAUUGAAGCUAUUGUUACCAAAGUCCAAAUAUUUCAUCCGACGCAAAUUAGUUAACUCAAUGGGUAAAGAGCCAUGGAAACUAUUUUGAUGAAUGCCGAGCCAAGCAAGGAAAGAUAGAUUUCCCAAUAGAGAAGAAAUGGUGCCUGUGAGAUCCAUGCUUGACAAAUUCAGAGCAGUGACUCUAUGGUGUCUAGAUCCACAUGUGACACCAAUCCAGCUACAAACGGAGGUAGAAGUAGACCAAUUGGUUGCCAAGAAAUUGUGAGGAUCAUGAGUUAUAUGAGAUUUUAGUGCUAGAAGAGCAGAUUGAUCAACGGUGAUGCUAGAAUAUUUUGCAGACAAAAUAACCCCAAAGGUUGCGAAUAGCAGCCCAAACAUAAACGGAGGGAGGAAGCUUGGUUUUGCCAUAAGGUUGGAUACGGGUGUCAGGCGCAUCAUAAGGAGAGAAACAACCGAAUUUAAUACUUUUCUAAUGUUAUAGUUCAAUAUUCUUUAAAUACUUUGAUUCUAAGGAUUUAAGCAAGGCAUCCAUUGACUCAUAAUUUGAGUAAGAAAUACGUACAAUCUUGUGGGUCCAACCAUGUUAUAGGAAAAAAAAAAGGGAAGGCUUAGUCUCAAGUUGAAGAGUAGCACUAAUAAUCCAAUUGUAGGUUUGGGAAAAAAUUUAAGAUGUAGAAAAUUUUUAUUAUUAUUAAAACUCUUAUCAAAUACUUAUUUGACGCAAGUUUAAAUUGUGUUGAUCUCAUUUUAUAUUCCAAUGACAAUUUGAAUAAUUAGUAAUUUUUUUAUUUUUAAUUAAUAUAAAAAUUCUCAACUCAAAUUUUAAAUUAAAAAUUAAAAGUACUUUGUAAGUUUAUAGUAAUUGUAAGUUUCAUUUCAUAAAUUAGAAGAAUUUAUUGUUAUAAUUUUAAUUUUUUUAAACAUAUAGUUCAACAUUUUUAUUUAAAAAAAAUAGCAUACUAGUUUUAGAUUAUAUGAUAAUUAAAUUUAAUUAAGAUUUAUUAUACUUUAAUUAACUAUUAAUCACACUUACUGAUUUUCAUCAUCAUCAUUCAGUAUCUAUUAUUUAUUAUUGAUUUAUUGGCCAUUUUAAUCCUUGAGAUAAUUGCCAUCUAGGUCCCUAAGCUUUUUAUUAAUUAAAACUCAAUAAUAAAUAUAUCGAUGGAGCUUUGGUUUUAGUGGGCAUGAAACCAUGGAGUCUUUACAGCUUUGAGGGAAAAAAAGACAGAAAAAGAAUUUUAAAGACACAAAUUAAUAAAUUAAUUUUUUUAAUCUACGUUUUAUUAAAACACACACCCAAAAAUCACCUCAUUUUCCCGUAGCUUAUUAUUUACAGUUUUUCUUGCAAUCCAAGUGCAAUCCAAUUGGCAAUUGGAAAAUGAUACGAUGUUUAUGUUUUAUUUUUUUUCAUUUUUAAAUAUAAUAAAGGCGAAAUUGACGGAAGGAAAAACUUUCUCCUUGGUUUAAAAGUCCAGAUAUCAAUUACAAGACAUAAAAAACAAAGACAAGUAUUGGUGGCCAGUAGAUGAUAGUGAGUGACACUAUUUGAUUUAGUCUAAUUAUUACAACAUGUUUGAUUCAAACUAUUUUGUAUUUGGCAGCGAAGCAGGUCGAAGAUGGCAGAUUUUACCUCCCUGACUACAGUGGAGUACAUUGAAGCCGAUAACUCUAUCUCCCUGUAUUUGGCAGUGGAAUAGAUUGAAGAUUGCAGAUCUUGCCUUCCUGUAUUUGGCAGCGAAGCAAGUCGAAGAUGGCGGAUUUUACCUCCCUGACUACAGUGGAGUACAUUGAAGCCGAUAACUCUAUCUCCCUGUAUUUGGCAGUGGAAUAGAUUGAAGAUUGCAGAUCUUGCCUUCCUGUAUUUGGCAGCGAAGCAGGUCGAAGAUGGCGGAUUUUACCUCCCUGACUACAGUGGAGUACAUUGAAGCCGAUAACUCUAUCUCCCUGUAUUUGGCAGUGGAAUAGAUUGAAGAUUGCAGAUCUUGCCUUCCUGUAUUUGGCAGCGAAGCAGGUCGAAGAUGGCAGAUUUUACCUCCCUGACUACAGUGGAGUACAUUGAAGCCGAUAAUUCUAUCUCCCUGUAUUUGGCAGUGGAAUAGAUUGAAGAUUGCAGAUCUUGCCUUCCUGUAUUUGGCAGCGAAGCAGAUCAAAUAUGGCAGAUUUUACCUCCCUGACUACAGUGGAGUACAUUGAAGCCGAUAAUUCUAUCUCCCUGUAUUUGGCAGUGGAAUAGAUUGAAGAUUACAGAUCUUGCCUUCCUGUAUUUGGCAGUGAAGCAGAUCAAAGAUGUCAGAUUUUACCUCCCUGACUACAGUGGAGUACAUUGAAGCCGAUAACUCUAUCUCCCUGUAUUUGGCAGUGGAAUAGAUUGAAGAUUACAGAUCUUAUCUCCCUAAGCAAUAAUGGAGUAGGUUGAAGACGGCAGAUUUUACCUCCCUGAUUACAGUGGAGUACAUUGAAGCUGGUAGUUCUACUUCCCUGGGAAACAGUGGAAUAGAUCGAAGAUUACAAUCUUAUCUCCCUAAGCAGUAGUGGAGUAGAUCGCAUUAAGUCUUAUCUCCCUAAGCAGUAGUGGAGCAGACAAAACCACAGAUCUUAUUUCCCUAAGCAAUAGUGGAGCAGAUCGCAUCAAGUCUUAUCUCCCUAAGUAGUAGUGGAGCAGACUAAAAACACAAAUCUCAUCCCCAUGGAAUCGUAGCAGAUUAGAUUGAAGCUACAAGGCGUAUCUGAAGUUGCAUUAGAGUGGAUCGAAGCAACAAGACGUAGCAGGCUGGAAUAAGGCUACUGGAAGAAGAUGAGCACCAAAAAGUCAAGACUCGGCAAGACCGGGCAAAAUUGGCCCUUUUGAUGUCUUUGCUCUAUUCUCGUUACACGAAAAUGAGCAAAGAGGGGCAGCUGUAAAGGCCCAAUUUUGGCCCAACUUAAACCAACCCUAACCAAAACCCAGUCCCAACCAGACCCACUACCUAAACACUAAAAACCCAACACCAGCCCAAAACAGUGAAGCCCGAUAGGCCCAAGUCUCUAAAAAAAUUUUUGGAAAGCCAGAAACCCUAGGGUUUCUGGCGCCGUUGCCCCAUGUGCGCGACCACGCAGUCCCCACUUCCUCCUCUGCCCAAAACCUAGCACUGCCCAUACCGUUUGCACCCCAUGCCUCUGUCACCUCCAUCGUGCCCAUCCCAUGCAAAGAGACAAAGCAUAAACAAUAAGAAAUUAGAUGAAAGUGGGUUAUAAAAACCCGAAUCAAAAUUGUAUGGCGGGGGGUUUUUUUUUUCUUUUCUGUUUUCGUUUUAACAUUCGUUCAAAUGUUCAAAAGAAAUCAACAACCAAGAUAGAAUGAAACACAUGUACAAGCCGUGAUUUUAACACUGAAAUCAGAAGUUCAAAGUUGUCAAAAAAAAUCAAAAACUACAAAGUAUAAGGUAAUCUUUUUCUUUAUUUUUUUCUCGUUUUCUAAACCUAUUUUCCAUACAUAAAUAUUAAUAUAUAUAUAUAUAUAAUACAAGAAAUAAAAAAAUAAAAAAAAUAAAUUUUUUUUACCUUUUUCGGCCACCGCGUGCGGUGGCCGGCGCCGGCGCCGGCGAGCCUCCGGUGGCCGUCUGGUGACCGGCCCCCCUGGCCGGAUUUUCCUUCCCCCCUCCCUUCUCUCUCCCUUCUCUCUUCCCUCUCUCUUCCUUUUUUUUCUUUCCCUCUCCCCAAAUGAUUUUUUUUGGUUAUUUUAGGCCUUAUAUAGCCCUCCAAAACGACGUCGUUUUGGGGGCUACACUUAAGCCUCAAAACGACGUCGUUUUGACCAUGCCCGACCCAUCCGACCCGACCCGCUAGAGGAUCCGCGUGUUUUCGUUUGAAUGGGAUAUUUAUGCGCGCAGUCCUUCCGCUUUUUCAGGGUUUUGCAAUUAAGUCAUUUUUCUUGUUUCCAAUUUGGCCCCAUAAUUUCUCGCGCUUUUCGAUUUAGUCCCCGCUAAUGUGCUGCGUUUUAAUGGAAUGGAAUAAUUGUUGUUUCGGUCCCCCUAUGUUUUGUGUGCGCUCAAAUAAGCCCAUUUCUCUUUAUUUCCUUUCACAUUUGCCCCACAACUUUGUUUUUAAUUCAAUUUUAGUCCUUUUUUUCGUUUAUUCUUAUAUCUUUAUUAAAUAUCCUUGUUAUUUUUAUAUUAUUAGUAUUAUUAGUAUUACUAUUAUUAUUAUGUAUUAGUAUAUAUUUUUAUUAUGUACGCGUAUACAUAUAUAUAUAUAUUUUCAUAUUUAAUAUUUUUAUUUCAUUUUUAUUCUAAUAUUUUAUUAUAAUUUAUAUAUAUAUACAUGUACAUAUUCUUUAUUUAUUUUAAGUAUAUAUUUUUUAUAUUUCAUAUUUUCUACAGGCAUAUAUAUACUUAUAUAUUUACAUAUUUUAAUUCAUAUACUUAUAAAUGUAUGUACAUACUUACGUUAUUUUAUUUUUUUAAUAUACAUAUUUAUAUUUUUUUGUCUUUAUGUAAUAUAUAUACAUACAUGCGCAUGUUAUUUAUAUAUAUGUAAUUAUGUUUUCAUAUUUUAUAAUUCUUAUACAUACACAUAUAUAUAUACGUAUAGACAUACAUAUUUUCAUUAUAUAUAUACCUACAUAGUUUUUUUUUGUAUUUUAAAUCUUUUAAAAUUCAUACAUACAUUUUUAAAACUUUUAUAAUUUUAUUCAUUUCUUUAUUAUUAUUAUUGUUUUACUUUAUGUUUAUUUAUUUAUGUGUCCAUUAUUAUUUUUUUUUAAAAUGUUUUAGUUUUUUUUAUUUUGUUUAUUUACUUGUUAUUGUAUAUAAUUGAUUUUUUAUAUAUUUAUUUUUGUUAUCUUCGCUCGUAUUAUUUUUACUCGCAUUAUCGUAAUUGUUAUUCCGUCACAUCAAUUUUUACCCGAAUUCGUAAAAAAGGAAAAUUUUGGAAAUAAAAGCAAUACUCAAUACUUGGGAUCUUCGAGAGAAUUGGGCCCUAACGUGCUGGGUUCUAAUUUUCUGUUGAAUCUAAAUGCUCGAGAAUGCUCUUUAAUAAAAAAACAUAAAUAAAAACUCAUUAUCGGGAUUUCAAUAUGUUGUGUCCUAACGCAUUGGAUAUAACACGUGGUUUUCUCGAUAUGAGGAUUUUUCGAAAGUAAAGGCAAUAUUCUGUAUUUAGAAAAUUCGAGAAAAUCGUGCCCUAACUUACUGAGAUUCGAUUUUUCUCGUUGAUUCUAAGUAAUCGAAUAUCCUUUUAAAAUUAAAAUAAAUGAGGUUUAAAUAAAAAAAUAAAAGGAAAGCUUACUCUCAAAAAAUACAAGGUGUCGUGUCCUAACUUACUGGAUGUGACAUCUUGUUAAUUCGAGAUAAGAAGGCAUUUUUCAUUUUGACUUAUCCAAGUAAUUUUUUUUAAAAAAUAACGCAAUAUAAAGAAGGAUCUUAUUUUUAAAUUCUUUUCGAGUUUUUAAUUUUCGACAUAAAGACAUUAAAUAAUCAACUAAGGUACCAAUUUUGGGCGUGUCGAGGGUGCUAAUCCUUCCUCAUGCGUAACCGACUCCCGAACCCUUUUUUUUUCUGAAUUUCGUAGACCAAAAUCGUUAUUUUAAUAAAAAUUAAAUCGUUUAUUAAAAACAACCACUCUUCGAGGUGACCCGAUCACACCUCAUCAAAAAAGAUUGGUGGCGACUCCCAUUUUCGUUUUUAUUUUUAAAAAAACCCAAGUCGACCCCGUUUUCAUCCAAAAAAUGGUGUCAACAGAGUCUUUACAGCUUUGAGGAAAAAAAGACAGAAAAAGAAUUUUAAAGACACAAAUUAAUAAAUUAAUUUUUUUAAUCUACGUUUUAUUAAAACACACACCCAAAAAUCACCUCAUUUUCCCGUAGCUUAUUAUUUACAGUUUUUCUUGCAAUCCAAGUGCGAGAUGAUCACAAAUUCCAAUUGGCAAUUGGAAAAUGAGAUACGAUUUUUAUGUUGUUUUUUUUUUCAUUUUUAAAUAUAAUAAAGGCAAAAUUAACGGAAGGGAAAACUUUCUGCUUGGUUUAAAAGUCAGAUAUCAAUUACAAGACAAAAAAAACAAAGACAAGUAUUGGGGACCAGUAGAUGAUAGUGAGUGACACUAUUUGAUUUAGUCUAAUUAUUACAACAUGUUUGAUUGAAACUAUUUUGUAAUCUCUGAUUAAAUAAAUAUUGACAGGAAAAGACUUCAAUUUUCUUCUUUUCCUUAGCUAUAAAAUUGAAUUUCUAGUUUGGAUUACAUGCCUUUGGUUCUCAUCUCUAGUUGUGUAAGGCUGAGUCGCUGUUAAUUAGUUGGAUGGACCUACAUUAAAAACAUGAAUUGAAAAGAUAAGUAAUAGAAACUUUGUCAGAUUUAGACAAAUAUCAACCACAUCUUUAUUAACAUUUUACAUUUCUUAUCCCAAUAUUCAAAACCAAACAAUAAUACAUUCAUUGCAUGUUCCUUUUCUCAAAUAUCAUUUUAUUUAAUGUCAUUAGACAUUACUCUAUUCUUUUUUCUUUGUGAUAAAAAUUGUUAAACAAAAAAUUAUUACAAAUGUUGUAGGAAUCUAUCCUUUGAGAUUGUUUGAUUCUAGUUUUUGACAAAUUGCUCAAAGUUGAUGGGACAAAACAAGUGAAUUUGAUUCUAGUUUAGUGAGAUCAAAAUUUGUUGGCAAAUUAAAUUACUCAAUGGGUAAAUAUCCAUGGAAGUUAUUGUCCCAAAGUGGGGUUGGACUUGGAUGGUAUCUGCGAGACUCAUUUUUAUCAUAUUCAAAGCAGUGGCUGCCGAAUAAAUUACAACUAGAAAUAAAAAUAGAUCAGUUGGCUGCCAAGAGGUUUUGAGGGUCAUGCUUGUUCCCUAUCAACCCGAGUACUACUAAGUAAGUACCCCUCUAAAUGGGGAGAACUUUGUUGAUCUUUCAUUGGUUUAAAAGUCUAAAUACCAAUUGUAAGGCAUCAAAACAACAAAGACAAGUAUUGGGGACCAGCUGAAGAGAGUGAGUGACACGGUUUGAUUUAGAGUCUCAUGAUUGCAAUAUAUUUGAUCGUGAUCCUCAAAUUUGAUUGAAAUGUCUAACAAAAUAAAUACCAAGAUGGAAAGACCUUUUUUUCUAUAAAAUCUAAAUUUCUAGUUUUGAAGACAUGCUUGUGGUUCUCAUCUCUUACUUGUUCUGCACGGCUAAGUUGCAGUUGCUUCGAUGGACCUAUGUUGGGAAACAUGAAUUGAAAAGAAUGCCAACAAGUAAUAGAAAUUUUGCAAUAUUCAGAUAGAUCAAAUUAAGCUUUUUGUGGACCAUUCUCAGAUAAUUACUUUGGCAAUCUUGAAUUUAACAAUCUAACCAUUAAAUUUAACAAUAUAAUUAUAGUUGUCUUGCAUUUUAAAUUUUGAAUUGAUUUAAUACCUCUAUCAUUUCGGUCCAAAACUUUGUUUAUUUCAUAUAUAUUUAAGUAUUUUUGAAUGUAACUAAGUAAGCAUGUUUCUUCUACCGCGAGUCAAAAGGUUGCAACAAUUUUAGCCAUUUUGUACACAAUAUAACAUUAUAUUGUUGCCUUAAUUAAAGCAGAAUAAUAUAUAUUUCCAUAAGUUUUUAAAAAUAUCAUAAAUUUUCAUUGGGAAUUUUAUUGGUGCAUUCUAAAUUACAUAAUAAUCAGAAAUAUAAAAGAUUUCCAUUGGGAAUUUGUUGGUGUAUUCUCGCCUUUUAGUAAAAGUAAUAAUAAAAAAUUUUGUUGAUUCACCUUUACUAUGAAAAUAAAAAUAAAAAAUUACAAAAUUAGAACCGUAAAUCAAUUUUGGUUUAAAAUUUUAAACCUACAUAUUAAAGUUAAUCUUUGUGUAGAAAAUCUGAUAGGUAAGUAGCAUAGCAUCCAUCUAAUAGAUUAGGAAAUCUGUAGUCUUGAGAUGGAAUAGAUUUUACGGUCACAUUGGCAACCUUAAAUUAUAAUCUUCUUUGAUCUCGUUUGCAUAACAUCCAUCUAAUUUUGAGAAUUCUUCACUUUUAAUUUCAAAAUUGUAAUUAAAUAGUUUUAUCCAAUUAAAUAAUAAUAAUAUAUGGCUAUGGUGAUGUCUAUAAGAUGGGAACAAAAAUUAAACCCGUUGUGAGUGGUGGGGUAGGCGUGGGUAUGACCUUGUACCUAAGUCAUCCCCACCUACCCCAUCCCAUCCCGCAUAAUAUAAUAAACAUAUUUAAAAAAUAAACAUUUAUAAAAAUUAAUUUAAUAAUUAAUUUAAUAAUAUUUAAUUUUUGCUCUUGUGUUGCAUUUGAAGAUAUUUAUGAUGUAUUUGAGAUAUUGUUUGUAUUUUGAUAUUAUGUAAUGACUUUAUUUUUUAAAUUUUUAAACUUGAAAUUAUAUCUUAUUUACCAACUAAAGGUCGUAACGACUUACCUUUUUUUUAAAUAAUGUUUAUUUAAUAUAUCCACAACAAUAUCAGUCUGAUUUACUGAAAAAUAUAUAUUAUAUAUCCACAACAAUAAAUUAAUUUAGUUAUUACGUCUCAUCCAAUAAUAAUAUUUUCACUAUUACCAAAUUUUUUCUCUUUUAAUAAUUGUUUGGAAAAUGGCUUCAAGAUGAAUUUAGACAAAUAGUUUAGUAGUAGAUUAAAUUCUUUGGAUAUAUUAACCAAAUCCACACCAGAAAAAUUUACCUAUGAUGGAUUUAAUUGAACAUAUAAAAUAAUAACUUGUUAGAAGGGUUGAUUAAUUGGAAAGCAUAGAAUGGGUUAAUGAAUUAGAAAGCAAGAAUUUAUAAAACUUAAGGAUAUAAUUUUGUAUUGGAAUUAUUCAGUGGGAUGAAGAGUAAAUUUCAAGUAGCAAAAGGAUGGAUCCAUCUCACUCCCUUCCAUAUUUAGUCUUUUGCAAAUAUUCAAGAAUAGGCUGAUGUACAAUUAUUUUACUUUGAAUGCAUGAGUCUAUGGUAAGGACGGGGUCCCAGCAGUAAGGUAAAAUGGUAAGUGUUGAAACAGAAAAUAAAAGAAAUGUAGAUGAUUUAACGAUGAUGGGGUCUUAUGGUGCUUUGGAAUCAUCGUUUUUUUAAAGAUGAUUUGAUUUGGAGAAAAGGAGAGGCCGGAUGUGGGUAUUUGGUUGUAUCUUUAUUGUUGUACAAAAAUCUUGCUAGUUCGAGGAUCAACUUUCCUUUCAAUUUUAAUAAAAAUUAUAUAUGAACUUGUGAACUUGUAUUCAAAUUGAAUCUUUCCAUUGAGUCGCCCUUGCAAGUCAAUGCAGCAAUCAAGAACCAUAUUAUUAAUACCCAGCUAAGAUCGUGAACGUUUUCUACUCUAUAUCUUUCUCCUAAAUGCUUCAUUCCAGUGAAAAGUGCUGCAAUUCGUACGGCAAUGGCACCUCUGGCGAUAAUUACAUGGAAAUACUCCCAAAUUAAUCUCUUUGUGGAAGCGUCCUCCUCAUUAGCAGGUUUCUCCGGUCUGAGAUAUGCAUUCAUUGGUUGCACAAAGGCAAAAACUAUGGCAGCAAUACCAAGCUUAAAAUGUAAGGAGCUGACAUAGAAACCCCGAAGUUCGGCAACUGCAAAAAGAACACCAAGUAGGAUAAUUGCUAAUCCUGAAUAUUGUAGGUACAUACCAUCCAUCACCCUUUACAUGUUUUAGGUAUCUAGCAGCCAAUAUUCCACCAGGAAUCAAAAUACCCCAGGAGAGGAACAGCAUAAACCCAUGUACAGCUUUGACAGGUUGUAAACCUUGCUCAGCCUCGGAAGAACCACGGAUAAGCAGCACUUGCACAGCCCUUUGACUCGUGACAGUAUGCAUGUUUUUCUCACUGAGAUGUUCAUCAGUCCAUUUUGAACCCAUUGCCCGUAUGACUUUAAGAGGAGUUGUAGGAUAAAAAAUGUUCUUGCACUCUGGCUUAUCAUUUUGAUUGCAUGAUGGUUUUAAUGGACGUGUGAAUUCCAAAGUAAUGAUGCCAUCUUCUGACCUGCACCUGACAUGUGUUAGAUUCUCAUUUGUUAGAUGGAUGUUCAAGGGAUGCUUUCCAUCAAUCCAAUAUGUAUUUAAAUGCCCUUUUCAAGUAUCGCCAAUCCAGCCCACAUAUGCAUAGCUAUUCACCAUCCCAUUACCGAAACCUAUUGCAAGAUAGCCACUCUUAUUCACACCACGGGCAGCAAUAGUUAUUGAAUCUUCUGAUAACGUCCAAAAGAAAGUAACUUGAUCAUCUAAAAGCACACUAGUGUUAUACAUAUCAGACAGGGCACCAUCAAGAACCAUAUUAUUAAUACCCAGCUAAGAUCGUGAACGUUUUCUACUCUAUCUUUCUCCUAAAUGCUUCAUUCCAGUGAAAAGUGCUGCAAUUCGUACGGCAAUGGCACCUCUGCCGAUAAUUACAUGGAAAUACUCCCAAAUUAAUCUCUUUGUGGAAGCGUCCUCCUCAUUAGCAGGUUUCUCCGGUCUAAGAUAUGCAUUCAUUGGUUGCACAAAGGCAAAAACUAUGGCAGCAAUACCAAGCUUAACAUGUAAGGAGCUGACAUAGAAACCCCGAAGUUUGGCAACUGCAAAAAGAACACCAAGUAGGAUAAUUGCUAAUCCUGAAUAUUGUAGGUACAUACCAUCCAUCACCCUUUACAUGUUUUAGGUAUCUAGCAGCCAAUAUUCCACCAGGAAUCAAAAUACCCCAGGAGAGGAACAGCAUAAACCCAUGUACAGCUUUGACAGGUUGUAAACCUUGCUCAGCCUCGGAAGAACCACGGAUAAGCAGCACUUGCACAGCCCUUUGACUCGUGACAGUAUGCAUGUUUUUCUCUCUGAGAUGUUCAUCAGUCCAUUUUGAACCCAUUGCCCGUAUGACUUUAAGAGGAGUUGUAGGAUCAAAAAUGUUCUUGCACUCUGGCUUAUCAUUUUGAUUGCAUGAUGGUUUUAAUGGACGUGUGAAUUCCAAAGUAAUGAUGCCAUCUUCUGACCUGCACCUGACAUGUGUUAGAUUCUCAUUUGUUAGAUGGAUGUUCAAGGGAUGCUUUCCAUCAAUCUAAUAUGUAUUUAAAUGCCCUUUUCCAGUAUCGCCAAUCCAGCCCACAUAUGCAUAGCUAUUCACCAUCCCAUUACCGAAACCUAUUGCAAGAUAGCCACUCUUAUUCACACCACGGGCAGCAAUAGUUAUUGAAUCUUCUGAUAACGUCCAAAAGAAAGUAACUUGAUCAUCUAAAAGCACACUAGUGUUAUACAUAUCAGACAGGGCACCAUCAAGAACCAUAUUAUUAAUACCCAGCUAAGAUCGUGAACGUUUUCUACUCUAUCUUUCUCCUAAAUGCUUCAUUCCAGUGAAAAGUGCUGCAAUUCGUACGGCAAUGGCACCUCUGCCGAUAAUUACAUGGAAAUACUCCCAAAUUAAUCUCUUUGUGGAAGCGUCCUCCUCAUUAGCAGGUUUCUCCGGUCUGAGAUAUGCAUUCAUUGGUUGCACAAAGGCAAAAACUAUGGCAGCAAUACCAAGCUUAACAUGUAAGGAGCUGACAUAGAAACCCCGAAGUUCGGCAACUGCAAAAAGAACACCAAGUAGGAUAAUUGCUAAUCCUGAAUAUUGUAAGUACAUACCAUCCAUCACCCUUUACAUGUUUUAGGUAUCUAGCAGCCAAUAUUCCACCAGGAAUCAAAAUACCCCAGGAGAGGAACAGCAUAAACCCAUGUACAGCUUUGACAGGUUGUAAACCUUGCUCAGCCUCGGAAGAACCACGGAUAAGCAGCACUUGCACAGCCCUUUGACUCGUGACAGUAUGCAUGUUUUUCUCACUGAGAUGUUCAUCAGUCCAUUUUGAACCCAUUGCCCGUAUGACUUUAAGAGGAGUUGUAGGAUCAAAAAUGUUCUUGCACUCUGGCUUAUCAUUUUGAUUGCAUGAUGGUUUUAAUGGACGUGUGAAUUCCAAAGUAAUGAUGCCAUCUUCUGACCUGCACCUGACAUGUGUUAGAUUCUCAUUUGUUAGAUGGAUGUUCAAGGGAUGCUUUCCAUCAAUCCAAUAUGUAUUUAAAUGCCCUUUUCCAGUAUCGCCAAUCCAGCCCACAUAUGCAUAGCUAUUCACCAUCCCAUUACCGAAACCUAUUGCAAGAUAGCCACUCUUAUUCACACCACGGGCAGCAAUAGUUAUUGAAUCUUCUGAUAACGUCCAAAAGAAAGUAACUUGAUCAUCUAAAAGCACACUAGUGUUAUACAUAUCAGACAGGGCACCAUCAAGAACCAUAUUAUUAAUACCCAGCUAAGAUCGUGAACGUUUUCUACUCUAUCUUUCUCCUAAAUGCUUCAUUCCAGUGAAAAGUGCUGCAAUUCGUACGGCAAUGGCACCUCUGCCGAUAAUUACAUGGAAAUACUCCCAAAUUAAUCUCUUUGUGGAAGCGUCCUCCUCAUUAAGAGGUUUCUCCGGUCUGAGAUAUGCAUUCAUUGGUUGCACAAAGGCAAAAACUAUGGCAGCAAUACCAAGCUUAACAUGUAAGGAGCUGACAUAGAAACCCCGAAGUUCGGCAACUGCAAAAAGAACACCAAGUAGGAUAAUUGCUAAUCCUGAAUAUUGUAGGUACAUACCAUCCAUCACCCUUUACAUGUUUUAGGUAUCUAGCAGCCAAUAUUCCACCAGGAAUUAAAAUACCCCAGGAGAGGAACAGCAUAAACCCAUGUACAGCUUUGACAGGUUGUAAACCUUGCUCAGCCUCGGAAGAACCACGGAUAAGCAGCACUUGCACAGUCCUUUGACUCGUGACAGUAUGCAUGUUUUUCUCACUGAGAUGUUCAUCAGUCUAUUUUGAACCCAUUGCCCGUAUGACUUUAAGAGGAGUUGUAGGAUCAAAAAUGUUCUUGCACUCUGGCUUAUCAUUUUGAUUGCAUGAUGGUUUUAAUGGAUGUGUGAAUUCCAAAGUAAUGAUGCCAUCUUCUGACCUGCACCUGACAUGUGUUAGAUUCUCAUUUGUUAGAUGGAUGUUCAAGGGAUGCUUUCCAUCAAUCCAAUAUGUAUUUAAAUGCCCUUUUCCAGUAUCGCCAAUCCAGCCCACAUAUGCAUAGCUAUUCACCAUCCCAUUACCGAAACCUAUUGCAAGAUAGCCACUCUUAUUCACACCACGGGCAGCAAUAGUUAUUGAAUCUUCUGAUAACGUCCAAAAGAAAGUAACUUGAUCAUCUAAAAGCACACUAGUGUUAUACAUAUCAGACAGGGCACCAUCAAGAACCAUAUUAUUAAUACCCAGCUAAGAUCGUGAACGUUUUCUACUCUAUCUUUCUCCUAAAUGCUUCAUUCCAGUGAAAAGUGCUGCAAUUCGUACGGCAAUGGCACCUCUGCCGAUAAUUACAUGGAAAUACUCCCAAAUUAAUCUCUUUGUGGAAGCGUCCUCCUCAUUAGCAGGUUUCUCCGGUCUGAGAUAUGCAUUCAUUGGUUGCACAAAGGCAAAAACUAUGGCAGCAAUACCAAGCUUAACAUGUAAGGAGCUGACAUAGAAACCCCGAAGUUCGGCAACUGCAAAAAGAACACCAAGUAGGAUAAUUGCUAAUCCUGAAUAUUGUAGGUACAUACCAUCCAUCACCCUUUACAUGUUUUAGGUAUCUAGCAGCCAAUAUUCCACCAGGAAUCAAAAUACCCCAGGAGAGGAACAGCAUAAACCCAUGUACAGCUUUGACAGGUUGUAAACCUUGCUCAGCCUCGGAAGAACCACGGAUAAGCAGCACUUGCACAGACCUUUGACUCGUGACAGUAUGCAUGUUUUUCUCACUGAGAUGUUCAUCAGUCCAUUUUGAACCCAUUGCCCGUAUGACUUUAAGAGGAGUUGUAGGAUCAAAAAUGUUCUUGCACUCUGGCUUAUCAUUUUGAUUGCAUGAUGGUUUUAAUGGACGUGUGAAUUCCAAAGUAAUGAUGCCAUCUUCUGACCUGCACCUGACAUGUGUUAGAUUCUCAUUUGUUAGAUGGAUGUUCAAGGGAUGCUUUCCAUCAAUCCAAUAUGUAUUUAAAUGCCCUUUUCCAGUAUCGCCAAUCCAGCCCACAUAUGCAUAGCUAUUCACCAUCCCAUUACCGAAACCUAUUGCAAGAUAGCCACUCUUAUUCACACCACGGGCAGCAAUAGUUAUUGAAUCUUCUGAUAACGUCCAAAAGAAAGUAACUUGAUCAUCUAAAAGCACACUAGUGUUAUACAUAUCAGACAGGGCACCAUCAAGAACCAUAUUAUUAAUACCCAGCUAAGAUCGUGAACGUUUUCUACUCUAUCUUUCUCCUAAAUGCUUCAUUCCAGUGAAAAGUGCUGCAAUUCGUACGGCAAUGGCACCUCUGCCGAUAAUUACAUGGAAAUACUCCCAAAUUAAUCUCUUUGUGGAAGCGUCCUCCUCAUUAGCAGGUUUCUCCGGUCUGAGAUAUGCAUUCAUUGGUUGCACAAAGGCAAAAACUAUGGCAGCAAUACCAAGCUUAACAUGUAAGGAGCUGACAUAGAAACCCCGAAGUUCGGCAACUGCAAAAAGAACACCAAGUAGGAUAAUUGCUAAUCCUGAAUAUUGUAGGUACAUACCAUCCAUCACCCUUUACAUGUUUUAGGUAUCUAGCAGCCAAUAUUCCACCAGGAAUCAAAAUACCCCAGGAGAGGAACAGCAUAAACCCAUGUACAGCUUUGACAGGUUGUAAACCUUGCUCAGCCUCGGAAGAACCACGGAUAAGCAGCACUUGCACAGCCCUUUGACUCGUGACAGUAUGCAUGUUUUUCUCACUGAGAUGUUCAUCAGUCCAUUUUGAACCCAUUGCCCGUAUGACUUUAAGAGGAGUUGUAGGAUCAAAAAUGUUCUUGCACUCUGGCUUAUCAUUUUGAUUGCAUGAUGGUUUUAAUGGACGUGUGAAUUCCAAAGUAAUGAUGCCAUCUUCUGACCUGCACCUGACAUGUGUUAGAUUCUCAUUUGUUAGAUGGAUGUUCAAGGAUGCUUUCCAUCAAUCCAAUAUGUAUUUAAAUGCCCUUUUCCAGUAUCGCCAAUCCAGCCCACAUAUGCAUAGCUAUUCACCAUCCCAUUACCGAAACCUAUUGCAAGAUAGCCACUCUUAUUCACACCACGGGCAGCAAUAGUUAUUGAAUCUUCUGAUAACGUCCAAAAGAAAGUAACUUGAUCAUCUAAAAGCACACUAGUGUUAUACAUAUCAGACAGGGCACCAUCAAGAACCAUAUUAUUAAUACCCAGCUAAGAUCGUGAACGUUUUCUACUCUAUCUUUCUCCUAAAUGCUUCAUUCCAGUGAAAAGUGCUGCAAUUCGUACGGCAAUGGCACCUCUGCCGAUAAUUACAUGGAAAUACUCCCAAAUUAAUCUCUUUGUGGAAGCGUCCUCCUCAUUAGUAGGUUUCUCCGGUCUGAGAUAUGCAUUCAUUGGUUGCACAAAGGCAAAAACUAUGGCAGCAAUACCAAGCUUAACAUGUAAGGAGCUGACAUAGAAACCCCGAAGUUCGGCAACUGCAAAAAGAACACCAAGUAGGAUAAUUGCUAAUCCUGAAUAUUGUAGGUACAUACCAUCCAUCACCCUUUACAUGUUUUAGGUAUCUAGCAGCCAAUAUUCCACCAGGAAUCAAAAUACCCCAGGAGAGGAACAGCAUAAACCCAUGUACAGCUUUGACAGGUUGUAAACCUUGCUCAGCCUCGGAAGAACCACGGAUAAGCAGCACUUGCAAAGCCCUUUGACUAGUGACAGUAUGCAUGUUUUUCUCACUGAGAUGUUCAUCAGUCCAUUUUGAACCCAUUGCCCGUAUGACUUUAAGCGGAGUUGUAGGAUCAAAAAUGUUCUUGCACUCUGGCUUAUCAUUUUGAUUGCAUGAUGGUUUUAAUGGACGUGUGAAUUCCAAAGUAAUGAUGCCAUCUUCUGACCUGCACCUGACAUGUGUUAGAUUCUCAUUUGUUAGAUGGAUGUUCAAGGGAUGCUUUCCAUCAAUCCAAUAUGUAUUUAAAUGCCCUUUUCCAGUAUCGCCAAUCCAGCCCACAUAUGCAUAGUUAUUCACCAUCCCAUUACCGAAACCUAUUGCAAGAUAGCCACUCUUAUUCACACCACGGGCAGCAAUAGUUAUUGAAUCUUCUGAUAACGUCCAAAAGAAAGUAACUUGAUCAUCUAAAAGCACACUAGUGUUAUACAUAUCAGACAGGGCACCAUCAAGAACCAUAUUAUUAAUACCCAGCUAAGAUCGUGAACGUUUUCUACUCUAUCUUUCUCCUAAAUGCUUCAUUCCAGUGAAAAGUGCUGCAAUUCGUACGGCAAUGGCACCUCUGCCGAUAAUUACAUGGAAAUACUCCCAAAUUAAUCUCUUUGUGGAAGCGUCCUCCUCAUUAGCAGGUUUCUCCGGUCUGAGAUAUGCAUUCAUUGGUUGCACAAAGGCAAAAACUAUGGCAGCAAUACCAAGCUUAACAUGUAAGGAGCUGACAUAGAAACCCCGAAGUUCGGCAACUGCAAAAAGAACACCAAGUAGGAUAAUUGCUAAUCCUGAAUAUUGUAGGUACAUACCAUCCAUCACCCUUUACAUGUUUUAGGUAUCUAGCAGCCAAUAUUCCACCAGGAAUCAAAAUACCCCAGGAGAGGAACAGCAUAAACCCAUGUACAGCUUUGACAGGUUGUAAACCUUGCUCAGCCUCGGAAGAACCACGGAUAAGCAGCACUUGCACAGCCCUUUGACUCGUGACAGUAUGCAUGUUUUUCUCACUGAGAUGUUCAUCAGUCCAUUUUGAACCCAUUGCCCGUAUGACUUUAAGAGGAGUUGUAGGAUCAAAAAUGUUCUUGCACUCUGGCUUAUCAUUUUGAUUGCAUGAUGGUUUUAAUGGACGUGUGAAUUCCAAAGUAAUGAUGCCAUCUUCUGACCUGCACCUGACAUGUGUUAGAUUCUCAUUUGUUAGAUGGAUGUUCAAGGGAUGCUUUCCAUCAAUCCAAUAUGUAUUUAAAUGCCCUUUUCCAGUAUCGCCAAUCCAGCCCACAUAUGCAUAGCUAUUCACCAUCCCAUUACCGAAACCUAUUGCAAGAUAGCCACUCUUAUUCACACCACGGGCAGCAAUAGUUAUUGAAUCUUCUGAUAACGUCCAAAAGAAAGUAACUUGAUCAUCUAAAAGCACACUAGUGUUAUACAUAUCAGACAGGGCACCAUCAAGAACCAUAUUAUUAAUACCCAGCUAAGAUCGUGAACGUUUUCUACUCUAUCUUUCUCCUAAAUGCUUCAUUCCAGUGAAAAGUGCUGCAAUUCGUACGGCAAUGGCACCUCUGCCGAUAAUUACAUGGAAAUACUCCCAAAUUAAUCUCUUUGUGGAAGCGUCCUCCUCAUUAGCAGGUUUCUCCGGUCUGAGAUAUGCAUUCAUUGGUUGCACAAAGGCAAAAACUAUGGCAGCAAUACCAAGCUUAACAUGUAAGGAGCUGACAUAGAAACCCCGAAGUUCGGCAACUGCAAAAAGAACACCAAGUAGGAUAAUUGCUAAUCCUGAAUAUUGUAGGUACAUACCAUCCAUCACCCUUUACAUGUUUUAGGUAUCUAGCAGCCAAUAUUCCACCAGGAAUCAAAAUACCCCAGGAGAGGAACAGCAUAAACCCAUGUACAGCUUUGACAGGUUGUAAACCUUGCUCAGCCUCGGAAGAACCACGGAUAAGCAGCACUUGCACAGCCCUUUGACUCGUGACAGUAUGCAUGUUUUUCUCACUGAGAUGUUCAUCAGUCCAUUUUGAACCCAUUGCCCGUAUGACUUUAAGAGGAGUUGUAGGAUCAAAAAUGUUCUUGCACUCUGGCUUAUCAUUUUGAUUGCAUGAUGGUUUUAAUGGACGUGUGAAUUCCAAAGUAAUGAUGCCAUCUUCUGACCUGCACCUGACAUGUGUUAGAUUCUCAUUUGUUAGAUGGAUGUUCAAGGGAUGCUUUCCAUCAAUCCAAUAUGUAUUUAAAUGCCCUUUUCCAGUAUCGCCAAUCCAGCCCACAUAUGCAUAGCUAUUCACCAUCCCAUUACCGAAACCUAUUGCAAGAUAGCCACUCUUAUUCACACCACGGGCAGCAAUAGUUAUUGAAUCUUCUGAUAACGUCCAAAAGAAAGUAACUUGAUCAUCUAAAAGCACACUAGUGUUAUACAUAUCAGACAGGGCACCAUCAAGAACCAUAUUAUUAAUACCCAGCUAAGAUCGUGAACGUUUUCUACUCUAUCUUUCUCCUAAAUGCUUCAUUCCAGUGAAAAGUGCUGCAAUUCGUACGGCAAUGGCACCUCUGCCGAUAAUUACAUGGAAAUACUCCCAAAUUAAUCUCUUUGUGGAAGCGUCCUCCUCAUUAGCAGGUUUCUCCGGUCUGAGAUAUGCAUUCAUUGGUUGCACAAAGGCAAAAACUAUGGCAGCAAUACCAAGCUUAACAUGUAAGGAGCUGACAUAGAAACCCCGAAGUUCGGCAACUGCAAAAAGAACACCAAGUAGGAUAAUUGCUAAUCCUGAAUAUUGUAGGUACAUACCAUCCAUCACCCUUUACAUGUUUUAGGUAUCUAGCAGCCAAUAUUCCACCAGGAAUCAAAAUACCCCAGGAGAGGAACAGCAUAAACCCAUGUACAGCUUUGACAGGUUGUAAACCUUGCUCAGCCUCGGAAGAACCUACGGAUAAGCAGCACUUGCACAGCCCUUUGACUCGUGACAGUAUGCAUGUUUUUCUCACUGAGAUGUUCAUCAGUCCAUUUUGAACCCAUUGCCCGUAUGACUUUAAGAGGAGUUGUAGGAUCAAAAAUGUUCUUGCACUCUGGCUUAUCAUUUUGAUUGCAUGAUGGUUUUAAUGGACGUGUGAAUUCCAAAGUAAUGAUGCCAUCUUCUGACCUGCACCUGACAUGUGUUAGAUUCUCAUUUGUUAGAUGGAUGUUCAAGGGAUGCUUUCCAUCAAUCCAAUAUGUAUUUAAAUGCCCUUUUCCAGUAUCGCCAAUCCAGCCCACAUAUGCAUAGCUAUUCACCAUCCCAUUACCGAAACCUAUUGCAAGAUAGCCACUCCUAUUCACACCACGGGCAGCAAUAGUUAUUGAAUCUUCUGAUAACGUCCAAAAGAAAGUAACUUGAUCAUCUAAAAGCACACUAGUGUUAUACAUAUCAGACAGGGCACCAUCAAGAACCAUAUUAUUAAUACCCAGCUAAGAUCGUGAACGUUUUCUACUCUAUCUUUCUCCUAAAUGCUUCAUUCCAGUGAAAAGUGCUGCAAUUCGUACGGCAAUGGCACCUCUGCCGAUAAUUACAUGGAAAUACUCCCAAAUUAAUCUCUUUGUGGAAGCGUCCUCCUCAUUAGCAGGUUUCUCCGGUCUGAGAUAUGCAUUCAUUGGUUGCACAAAGGCAAAAACUAUGGCAGCAAUACCAAGCUUAACAUGUAAGGAGCUGACAUAGAAACCCCGAAGUUCGGCAACUGCAAAAAGAACACCAAGUAGGAUAAUUGCUAAUCCUGAAUAUUGUAGGUACAUACCAUCCAUCACCCUUUACAUGUUUUAGGUAUCUAGCAGCCAAUAUUCCACCAGGAAUCAAAAUACCCCAGGAGAGGAACAGCAUAAACCCAUGUACAGCUUUGACAGGUUGUAAACCUUGCUCAGCCUCGGAAGAACUACGGAUAAGCAGCACUUGCACAGCCCUUUGACUCGUGACAGUAUGCAUGUUUUUCUCACUGAGAUGUUCAUCAGUCCAUUUUGAACCCAUUGCCCGUAUGACUUUAAGAGGAGUUGUAGGAUCAAAAAUGUUCUUGCACUCUGGCUUAUCAUUUUGAUUGCAUGAUGGUUUUAAUGGACGUGUGAAUUCCAAAGUAAUGAUGCCAUCUUCUGACCUGCACCUGACAUGUGUUAGAUUCUCAUUUGUUAGAUGGAUGUUCAAGGGAUGCUUUCCAUCAAUCCAAUAUGUAUUUAAAUGACCUUUUCCAGUAUCGCCAAUCCAGCCCACAUAUGCAUAGCUAUUCACCAUCCCAUUACCGAAACCUAUUGCAAGAUAGCCACUCUUAUUCACACCACGGGCAGCAAUAGUUAUUGAAUCUUCUGAUAACGUCCAAAAGAAAGUAACUUGAUCAUCUAAAAGCACACUAGUGUUAUACAUAUCAGACAGGGCACCAUCAAGAACCAUAUUAUUAAUACCCAGCUAAGAUCGUGAACGUUUUCUACUCUAUCUUUCUCCUAAAUGCUUCAUUCCAGUGAAAAGUGCUGCAAUUCGUACGGCAAUGGCACCUCUGCCGAUAAUUACAUGGAAAUACUCCCAAAUUAAUCUCUUUGUGGAAGCGUCCUCCUCAUUAGCAGGUUUCUCCGGUCUGAGAUAUGCAUUCAUUGGUUGCACAAAGGCAAAAACUAUGGCAGCAAUACCAAGCUUAACAUGUAAGGAGCUGACAUAGAAACCCCGAAGUUCGGCAACUGCAAAAAGAACACCAAGUAGGAUAAUUGCUAAUCCUGAAUAUUGUAGGUACAUACCAUCCAUCACCCUUUACAUGUUUUAGGUAUCUAGCAGCCAAUAUUCCACCAGGAAUCAAAAUACCCCAGGAGAGGAACAGCAUAAACCCAUGUACAGCUUUGACAGGUUGUAAACCUUGCUCAGCCUCGGAAGAACCACGGAUAAGCAGCACUUGCAAAGCCCUUUGACUCGUGACAGUAUGCAUGUUUUUCUCACUGAGAUGUUCAUCAGUCCAUUUUGAACCCAUUGCCCGUAUGACUUUAAGCGGAGUUGUAGGAUCAAAAAUGUUCUUGCACUCUGGCUUAUCAUUUUGAUUGCAUGAUGGUUUUAAUGGACGUGUGAAUUCCAAAGUAAUGAUGCCAUCUUCUGACCUGCACCUGACAUGUGUUAGAUUCUCAUUUGUUAGAUGGAUGUUCAAGGGAUGCUUUCCAUCAAUCCAAUAUGUAUUUAAAUGACCUUUUCCAGUAUCGCCAAUCCAGCCCACAUAUGCAUAGUUAUUCACCAUCCCAUUACCGAAACCUAUUGCAAGAUAGCCACUCUUAUUCACACCACGGGCAGCAAUAGUUAUUGAAUCUUCUGAUAACGUCCAAAAGAAAGUAACUUGAUCAUCUAAAAGCACACUAGUGUUAUACAUAUCAGACAGGGCACCAUCAAGAACCAUAUUAUUAAUACCCAGCUAAGAUCGUGAACGUUUUCUACUCUAUCUUUCUCCUAAAUGCUUCAUUCCAGUGAAAAGUGCUGCAAUUCGUACGGCAAUGGCACCUCUGCCGAUAAUUACAUGGAAAUACUCCCAAAUUAAUCUCUUUGUGGAAGCGUCCUCCUCAUUAGCAGGUUUCUCCGGUCUGAGAUAUGCAUUCAUUGGUUGCACAAAGGCAAAAACUAUGGCAGUAAUACCAAGCUUAACAUGUAAGGAGCUGACAUAGAAACCCCGAAAUUCGGCAACUGCAAAAAGAACACCAAGUAGGAUAAUUGCUAAUCCUGAAUAUUGUAGGUACAUACCAUCCAUCACCCUUUACAUGUUUUAGGUAUCUAGCAGCCAAUAUUCCACCAGGAAUCAAAAUACCCCAGGAGAGGAACAGCAUAAACCCAUGUACAGCUUUGACAGGUUGUAAACCUUGCUCAGCCUCGGAAGAACCACGGAUAAGCAGCACUUGCACAGCCCUUUGACUCGUGACAGUAUUCAUGUUUUUCUCACUGAGAUGUUCAUCAGUCCAUUUUGAACCCAUUGCCCGUAUGACUUUAAGAGGAGUUGUAGGAUCAAAAAUGUUCUUGCACUCUGGCUUAUCAUUUUGAUUGCAUGAUGGUUUUAAUGGACGUGUGAAUUCCAAAGUAAUGAUGCCAUCUUCUAACCUGCACCUGACAUGUGUUAGAUUCUCAUUUGUUAGAUGGAUGUUCAAGGGAUGCUUUCCAUCAAUCCAAUAUGUAUUUAAAUGCCCUUUUCCAGUAUCGCCAAUCCAGCCCACAUAUGCAUAGCUAUUCACCAUCCCAUUACCGAAACCUAUUGCAAGAUAGCCACUCUUAUUCACACCACGGGCAGCAAUAGUUAUUGAAUCUUCUGAUAACGUCCAAAAGAAAGUAACUUGAUCAUCUAAAAGCACACUAGUGUUAUACAUAUCAGACAGGGCACCAUCAAGAACCAUAUUAUUAAUACCCAGCUAAGAUCGUGAACGUUUUCUACUCUAUCUUUCUCCUAAAUGCUUCAUUCCAGUGAAAAGUGCUGCAAUUCGUACGGCAAUGGCACCUCUGCCGAUAAUUACAUGGAAAUACUCCCAAAUUAAUCUCUUUGUGGAAGCGUCCUCCUCAUUAGCAGGUUUCUCCGGUCUGAGAUAUGCAUUCAUUGGUUGCACAAAGGCAAAAACUAUGGCAGCAAUACCAAGCUUAACAUGUAAGGAGCUGACAUAGAAACCCCGAAGUUCGGCAACUGCAAAAAGAACACCAAGUAGGAUAAUUGCUAAUCCUGAAUAUUGUAGGUACAUACCAUCCAUCACCCUUUACAUGUUUUAGGUAUCUAGCAGCCAAUAUUCCACCAGGAAUCAAAAUACCCCAGGAGAGGAACAGCAUAAACCCAUGUACAGCUUUGACAGGUUGUAAACCUUGCUCAGCCUCGGAAGAACUACGGAUAAGCAGCACUUGCACAGCCCUUUGACUCGUGACAGUAUGCAUGUUUUUCUCACUGAGAUGUUCAUCAGUCCAUUUUGAACCCAUUGCCCGUAUGACUUUAAGAGGAGUUGUAGGAUCAAAAAUGUUCUUGCACUCUGGCUUAUCAUUUUGAUUGCAUGAUGGUUUUAAUGGACGUGUGAAUUCCAAAGUAAUGAUGCCAUCUUCUGACCUGCACCUGACAUGUGUUAGAUUCUCAUUUGUUAGAUGGAUGUUCAAGGGAUGCUUUCCAUCAAUCCAAUAUGUAUUUAAAUGCCCUUUUCCAGUAUCGCCAAUCCAGCCCACAUAUGCAUAGCUAUUCACCAUCCCAUUACCGAAACCUAUUGCAAGAUAGCCACUCCUAUUCACACCACGGGCAGCAAUAGUUAUUGAAUCUUCUGAUAACGUCCAAAAGAAAGUAACUUGAUCAUCUAAAAGCACACUAGUGUUAUACAUAUCAGACAGGGCACCAUCAAGAACCAUAUUAUUAAUACCCAGCUAAGAUCGUGAACGUUUUCUACUCUAUCUUUCUCCUAAAUGCUUCAUUCCAGUGAAAAGUGCUGCAAUUCGUACGGCAAUGGCACCUCUGCCGAUAAUUACAUGGAAAUACUCCCAAAUUAAUCUCUUUGUGGAAGCGUCCUCCUCAUUAGCAGGUUUCUCCGGUCUGAGAGAUGCAUUCAUUGGUUGCACAAAGGCAAAAACUAUGGCAGCAAUACCAAGCUUAACAUGUAAGGAGCUGACAUAGAAACCCCGAAGUUCGGCAACUGCAAAAAGAACACCAAGUAGGAUAAUUGCUAAUCCUGAAUAUUGUAGGUACAUACCAUCCAUCACCCUUUACAUGUUUUAGGUAUCUAGCAGCCAAUAUUCCACCAGGAAUCAAAAUACCCCAGGAGAGGAACAGCAUAAACCCAUGUACAGCUUUGACAGGUUGUAAACCUUGCUCAGCCUCGGAAGAACUACGGAUAAGCAGCACUUGCACAGCCCUUUGACUCGUGACAGUAUGCAUGUUUUUCUCACUGAGAUGUUCAUCAGUCCAUUUUGAACCCAUUGCCCGUAUGACUUUAAGAGGAGUUGUAGGAUCAAAAAUGUUCUUGCACUCUGGCUUAUCAUUUUGAUUGCAUGAUGGUUUUAAUGGACGUGUGAAUUCCAAAGUAAUGAUGCCAUCUUCUGACCUGCACCUGACAUGUGUUAGAUUCUCAUUUGUUAGAUGGAUGUUCAAGGGAUGCUUUCCAUCAAUCCAAUAUGUAUUUAAAUGCCCUUUUCCAGUAUCGCCAAUCCAGCCCACAUAUGCAUAGCUAUUCACCAUCCCAUUACCGAAACCUAUUGCAAGAUAGCCACUCCUAUUCACACCACGGGCAGCAAUAGUUAUUGAAUCUUCUGAUAACGUCCAAAAGAAAGUAACUUGAUCAUCUAAAAGCACACUAGUGUUAUACAUAUCAGACAGGGCACCAUCAAGAACCAUAUUAUUAAUACCCAGCUAAGAUCGUGAACGUUUUCUACUCUAUCUUUCUCCUAAAUGCUUCAUUCCAGUGAAAAGUGCUGCAAUUCGUACGGCAAUGGCACCUCUGCCGAUAAUUACAUGGAAAUACUCCCAAAUUAAUCUCUUUGUGGAAGCGUCCUCCUCAUUAGCAGGUUUCUCCGGUCUAAGAUAUGCAUUCAUUGGUUGCACAAAGGCAAAAACUAUGGCAGCAAUACCAAGCUUAACAUGUAAGGAGCUGACAUAGAAACCCCGAAGUUCGGAAACUGCAAAAAGAACACCAAGUAGGAUAAUUGCUAAUCCUGAAUAUUGUAGGUACAUACCAUCCAUCACCCUUUACAUGUUUUAGGUAUCUAGCAGCCAAUAUUCCACCAGGAAUCAAAAUACCCCAGGAGAGGAACAGCAUAAACCCAUGUACAGCUUUGACAGGUUGUAAACCUUGCUCAGCCUCGGAAGAACCACGGAUAAGCAGCACUUGCACAACCCAUUGACUCGUGACAGUAUGCAUGUUUUUCUCACUGAGAUGUUCAUCAGUCCAUUUUGAACCCAUUGCCCGUAUGACUUUAAGAGGAGUUGUAGGAUCAAAAAUGUUCUUGCACUCUGGCUUAUCAUUUUGAUUGCAUGAUGGUUUUAAUGGACGUGUGAAUUCCAAAGUAAUGAUGCCAUCUUCUGACCUGCACCUGACAUGUGUUAGAUUCUCAUUUGUUAGAUGGAUGUUCAAGGGAUGCUUUCCAUCAAUCCAAUAUGUAUUUAAAUGCCCUUUUCCAGUAUCGCCAAUCCAGCCCACAUAUGCAUAGCUAUUCACCAUCCCAUUACCGAAACCUAUUGCAAGAUAGCCACUCUUAUUCACACCACGGGCAGCAAUAGUUAUUGAAUCUUCUGAUAACGUCCAAAAGAAAGUAACUUGAUCAUCUAAAAGCACACUAGUGUUAUACAUAUCAGACAGGGCACCAUCAAGAACCAUAUUAUUAAUACCCAGCUAAGAUCGUGAACGUUUUCUACUCUAUCUUUCUCCUAAAUGCUUCAUUCCAGUGAAAAGUGCUGCAAUUCGUACGGCAAUGGCACCUCUGCCGAUAAUUACAUGGAAAUACUCCCAAAUUAAUCUCUUUGUGGAAGCGUCCUCCUCAUUAGCAGGUUUCUCCGGUCUGAGAUAUUCAUUCAUUGGUUGCACAAAGGCAAAAACUAUGGCAGCAAUACCAAGCUUAACAUGUAAGGAGCUGACAUAGAAACCCCGAAGUUCGGCAACUGCAAAAAGAACACCAAGUAGGAUAAUUGCUAAUCCUGAAUAUUGUAGGUACAUACCAUCCAUCACCCUUUACAUGUUUUAGGUAUCUAGCAGCCAAUAUUCCACCAGGAAUCAAAAUUCCCCAGGAGAGGAACAGCAUAAACCCAUGUACAGCUUUGACAGGUUGUAAACCUUGCUCAGCCUCGGAAGAACCACGGAUAAGCAGCACUUGCACAGCCCUUUGACUCGUGACAGUAUGCAUGUUUUUCUCACUGAGAUGUUCAUCAGUCCAUUUUGAACCCAUUGCCCGUAUGACUUUAAGAGGAGUUGUAGGAUCAAAAAUGUUCUUGCACUCUGGCUUAUCAUUUUGAUUGCAUGAUGGUUUUAAUGGACGUGUGAAUUCCAAAGUAAUGAUGCCAUCUUCUGACCUGCACCUGACAUGUGUUAGAUUCUCAUUUGUUAGAUGGAUGUUCAAGGGAUGCUUUCCAUCAAUCCAAUAUGUAUUUAAAUGCCCUUUUCCAGUAUCGCCAAUCCAGCCCACAUAUGCAUAGCUAUUCACCAUCCCAUUACCGAAACCUAUUGCAAGAUAGCCACUCUUAUUCACACCACGGGCAGCAAUAGUUAUUGAAUCUUCUGAUAACGUCCAAAAGAAAGUAACUUGAUCAUCUAAAAGCACACUAGUGUUAUACAUAUCAGACAGGGCACCAUCAAGAACCAUAUUAUUAAUACCAGCUAAGAUCGUGAACGUUUUCUACUCUAUCUUUCUCCUAAAUGCUUCAUUCCAGUGAAAAGUGCUGCAAUUCGUACGGCAAUGGCACCUCUACCGAUAAUUACAUGGAAAUACUCCCAAAUUAAUCUCUUUGUGGAAGCGUCCUCCUCAUUAGCAGGUUUCUCCGGUCUGAGAUAUGCAUUCAUUGGUUGCACAAAGGCAAAAACUAUGGCAGCAAUACCAAGCUUAACAUGUAAGGAGCUGACAUAGAAACCCCGAAGUUCGGCAACUGCAAAAAGAACACCAAGUAGGAUAAUUGCUAAUCCUGAAUAUUGUAGGUACAUACCAUCCAUCACCCUUUACAUGUUUUAGGUAUCUAGCAGCCAAUAUUCCACCAGGAAUCAAAAUACCCCAGGAGAGGAACAGCAUAAACCCAUGUACAGCUUUGACAGGUUGUAAACCUUGCUCAGCCUCGGAAGAACCACGGAUAAGCAGCACUUGCACAGCCCUUUGACUCGUGACAGUAUGCAUGUUUUUCUCACUGAGAUGUUCAUCAGUCCAUUUUGAACCCAUUGCCCGUAUGACUUUAAGAGGAGUUGUAGGAUCAAAAAUGUUCUUGCACUCUGGCUUAUCAUUUUGAUUACAUGAUGGUUUUAAUGGACGUGUGAAUUCCAAAGUAAUGAUGCCAUCUUCUGACCUGCACCUGACAUGUGUUAGAUUCUCAUUUGUUAGAUGGAUGUUCAAGGGAUGCUUUCCAUCAAUCCAAUAUGUAUUUAAAUGCCCUUUUCCAGUAUCGCCAAUCCAGCCCACAUAUGCAUAGCUAUUCACCAUCCCAUUACCGAAACCUAUUGCAAGAUAGCCACUCUUAUUCACACCACGGGCAGCAAUAGUUAUUGAAUCUUCUGAUAACGUCCAAAAGAAAGUAACUUGAUCAUCUAAAAGCACACUAGUGUUAUACAUAUCAGACAGGGCACCAUCAAGAACCAUAUUAUUAAUACCCAGCUAAGAUCGUGAACGUUUUCUACUCUAUCUUUCUCCUAAAUGCUUCAUUCCAGUGAAAAGUGCUGCAAUUCGUACGGCAAUGGCACCUCUGCCGAUAAUUACAUGGAAAUACUCCCAAAUUAAUCUCUUUGUGGAAGCGUCCUCCUCAUUAGCAGGUUUCUCCGGUCUGAGAUAUGCAUUCAUUGGUUGCACAAAGGCAAAAACUAUGGCAGCAAUACCAAGCUUAACAUGUAAGGAGCUGACAUAGAAACCCCGAAGUUCGGCAACUGCAAAAAGAACACCAAGUAGGAUAAUUGCUAAUCCUGAAUAUUGUAGGUACAUACCAUCCAUCACCCUUUACAUGUUUUAGGUAUCUAGCAGCCAAUAUUCCACCAGGAAUCAAAAUACCCCAGGAGAGGAACAGCAUAAACCCAUGUACAGCUUUGACAGGUUGUAAACCUUGCUCAGCCUCGGAAGAACCACGGUUAAGCAGCACUUGCACAGCCCUUUGACUCGUGACAGUAUGCAUGUUUUUCUCACUGAGAUGUUCAUCAGUCCAUUUUGAACCCAUUGCCCGUAUGACUUUAAGAGGAGUUGUAGGAUCAAAAAUGUUCUUGCACUCUGGCUUAUCAUUUUGAUUGCAUGAUGGUUUUAAUGGACGUGUGAAUUCCAAAGUAAUGAUGCCAUCUUCUGACCUGCACCUGACAUGUGUUAGAUUCUCAUUUGUUAGAUGGAUGUUCAAGGGAUGCUUUCCAUCAAUCCAAUAUGUAUUUAAAUGCCCUUUUCCAGUAUCGCCAAUCCAGCCCACAUAUGCAUAGCUAUUCACCAUCCCAUUACCGAAACCUAUUGCAAGAUAGCCACUCUUAUUCACACCACGGGCAGCAAUAGUUAUUGAAUCUUCUGAUAACGUCCAAAAGAAAGUAACUUGAUCAUCUAAAAGCACACUAGUGUUAUACAUAUCAGACAGGGCACCAUCAAGAACCAUAUUAUUAAUACCCAGCUAAGAUCGUGAACGUUUUCUACUCUAUCUUUCUCCUAAAUGCUUCAUUCCAGUGAAAAGUGCUGCAAUUCGUACGGCAAUGGCACCUCUGCCGAUAAUUACAUGGAAAUACUCCCAAAUUAAUCUCUUUGUGGAAGCGUCCUCCUCAUUAGCAGGUUUCUCCGGUCUGAGAUAUGCAUUCAUUGGUUGCACAAAGGCAAAAACUAUGGCAGCAAUACCAAGCUUAACAUGUAAGGAGCUGACAUAGAAACCCCGAAGUUCGGCAACUGCAAAAAGAACACCAAGUAGGAUAAUUGCUAAUCCUGAAUAUUGUAGGUACAUACCAUCCAUCACCCUUUACAUGUUUUAGGUAUCUAGCAGCCAAUAUUCCACCAGGAAUCAAAAUACCCCAGGAGAGGAACAGCAUAAACCCAUGUACAGCUUUGACAGGUUGUAAACCUUGCUCAGCCUCGGAAGAACCACGGAUAAGCAGCACUUGCACAGCCCUUUGACUCGUGACAGUAUGCAUGUUUUUCUCACUGAGAUGUUCAUCAGUCCAUUUUGAACCCAUUGCCCGUAUGACUUUAAGAGGAGUUGUAGGAUCAAAAAUGUUCUUGCACUCUGGCUUAUCAUUUUGAUUGCAUGAUGGUUUUAAUGGACGUGUGAAUUCCAAAGUAAUGAUGCCAUCUUCUGACCUGCACCUGACAUGUGUUAGAUUCUCAUUUGUUAGAUGGAUGUUCAAGGGAUGCUUUCCAUCAAUCCAAUAUGUAUUUAAAUGCCCUUUUCCAGUAUCGCCAAUCCAGCCCACAUAUGCAUAGCUAUUCACCAUCCCAUUACCGAAACCUAUUGCAAGAUAGCCACUCUUAUUCACACCACGGGCAGCAAUAGUUAUUGAAUCUUCUGAUAACGUCCAAAAGAAAGUAACUUGAUCAUCUAAAAGCACACUAGUGUUAUACAUAUCAGACAGGGCACCAUCAAGAACCAUAUUAUUAAUACCCAGCUAAGAUCGUGAACGUUUUCUACUCUAUCUUUCUCCUAAAUGCUUCAUUCCAGUGAAAAGUGCUGCAAUUCGUACGGCAAUGGCACCUCUGCCGAUAAUUACAUGGAAAUACUCCCAAAUUAAUCUCUUUGUGGAAGCGUCCUCCUCAUUAGCAGGUUUCUCCGGUCUGAGAUAUGCAUUCAUUGGUUGCACAAAGGCAAAAACUAUGGCAGCAAUACCAAGCUUAACAUGUAAGGAGCUGACAUAGAAACCCCGAAGUUCGGCAACUGCAAAAAGAACACCAAGUAGGAUAAUUGCUAAUCCUGAAUAUUGUAGGUACAUACCAUCCAUCACCCUUUACAUGUUUUAGGUAUCUAGCAGCCAAUAUUCCACCAGGAAUCAAAAUACCCCAGGAGAGGAACAGCAUAAACCCAUGUACAGCUUUGACAGGUUGUAAACCUUGCUCAGCCUCGGAAGAACCACGGAUAAGCAGCACUUGCACAGCCUUUUGACUCGUGACAGUAUGCAUGUUUUUCUCACUGAGAUGUUCAUCAGUCCAUUUUGAACCCAUUGCCCGUAUGACUUUAAGAGGAGUUGUAGGAUCAAAAAUGUUCUUGCACCCUGGCUUAUCAUUUUGAUUGCAUGAUGGUUUUAAUGGACGUGUGAAUUCCAAAGUAAUGAUGCCAUCUUCUGACCUGCACCUGACAUGUGUUAGAUUCUCAUUUGUUAGAUGGAUGUUCAAGGGAUGCUUUCCAUCAAUCCAAUAUGUAUUUAAAUGCCCUUUUCCAGUAUCGCCAAUCCAGCCCACAUAUGCAUAGCUAUUCACCAUCCCAUUACCGAAACCUAUUGCAAGAUAGCCACUCUUAUUCACACCACGGGCAGCAAUAGUUAUUGAAUCUUCUGAUAACGUCCAAAAGAAAGUAACUUGAUCAUCUAAAAGCACACUAGUGUUAUACAUAUCAGACAGGGCACCAUCAAAAACUUGAAGUUUCCAUCCCAUCUUCUCCUGGUACAAGGACUGAUAAUACACUUGAUCGGGGGUAUUCCUAUCGGGAACCCAAAUCAAUUCGUGAGGAUUUGCUACAACUCCUUCCGCUCCUGGCCCUCCAGGAUAAAUAGUCUCAGUUGCAUUCCUUAAUGUAGCAUUCCCACCUGAAGAAUCUGAAGUAAUAUACAAUGCAACAUCAUGCCCUGCCUGCACCAAAAACUUAACUGGAACCCCCCUUUCCACUCUCAACACGGUGUUUACUUAUUAUUAAUAUACAAAACCUUAGACGGACUUGGCGGAUUUGGAUAAUGCAACACCUCCCCUGUUGUAGCAACAAGAGGGACUUCUGUAUCAGCAACAAUCAACUCUUGAUCCUCAUUAUCAUCAGCAUCCAAUGGCCCAAAACAAUCAUCUACCUUCUCUGAAACAUUAAGCACCAAAUGUCCUUAUGCAACCUUCUCUGGACCCCCAUGAAAUUGGGGCAAAAAAUGAGACCGAUUUUCAUUUGGUGGUUUCAUCAACCCUAAUGCCCAAAUAACCCUCAUAUCCUCAUUAGGAUACACAGGCAAAUCAUACUUCUUAUCUGUCGAAUUCAAUGGUUUCCUAAACAUAAUUAAAGAAACCCCAUCUCUCCUAUGUCCAUAAACCAACCUAGUAUUAUUCACCAUCAUGCCAUUUUUCGAGUUCUCAUAAACUACAUCAGGGCAAACACCUAUAGCUGUCCGGUCUUUAGAACUCAACUUACAUUCAGUAUAAGCCGUAAUGUAAAAAUCAUCAACAAAAGGCCUACCUUCCUCAGUAAAACUUGCCACCGUAACAUCAGCUUCGGACAUCAGCUCCUUCGUCCUAUUCGGAUUCGCCCACCCAAAUGCCAUGUAAUAGGUCGUCGGCGCCGCCGCGUCUAACCCGAUCUCAAUCCAAUUUUCCUCCACAUUCAAGUUCCACCGGACCCUAUAAUUAUCCGACAAGUUCUUGCAGUUAUCAAACACUGUAUGCACCGAGUCCGAAACUGAAUCCAACCCGUUUCGAGGGAGGGUGACAUGGCCGAAGUCCGAGGUGCUGGCGAUCUCCCAGAUUGAAAGAACGUUGAUCUGGUCCCAGGUUAUGUCGGGGAGCAAUUGGACUGAAAACGAUGCAUUUUUGUAAGCUGUUUGAUUGAGGCGUUGACCGGAGAUGGGGAACCCACUGGUGAGGUCAGAGAAGUUGAGGGAGACGGCGCCCCAGAAAACGACGUCGGAUGAGCCAGAUAACAUGUCGAAUCCGGUGACCUGGAAAGAGCCGGAUAAACGUCCCAGCUGUUUGAUUUUGUUGGUUGUGACAAUUAUUUAGUAUAACAACUACACUUGCAAUAAUUACGAUCUUCAUCCUGCUAAAUAUACCGGAGAAAAUCAAUUUUCCAGUUGCUUCGGAUCUUUAAAAAAAAAAAUUGAACAUGAAAUGAAAGCAACUCUAAAUGCAAGACUUAAGUGAACUUUCUUUAUCAAACAAAGAAUUAACACUUCCAUCUCCAUCAUUUUCAUUAUUUUUUACUCAGAAUCAAUGAAAAGAAAAGAAAAAAAAAGGUUAAGGUGAGGAUAGUAAUUACAUUAUUAAUGUUCAUUUUUUUAAUAAUUCAAAAAAUUAUAUUGUAUAUAAUGUAUAUUAUUUUUUCAAUUAAUAUAAAAAAUAAUAGUUCAAAAAAAUGCACUACUAAUAUAAAACAUAUAUAACGAAUUAACUGAUAACCAAAAUUUAAAAAAAUCACUAACCAACCUCCAACUGAACUAAAUUCGACAACCAACCAAAUAACCAAAUUAGAUCUAUUCAAUUGAUUGGUUAGAUUUUAACCGAACCAUGAAUACACCUAUAUUCGGGGCUCUUUCAUUGCAUUUUGCUAUCAUUUUGUUUGUCCAAUUAUAAAAAGUUCGAAUAAAUAUAAAAAAAUUUGAUUUAUUAAAAUGGGUAAAUAUUCCAAGAAGUAUUUUACAUAUUUAAAAAUUUAUAUAUUUAUAUUAAUGGUUGAAAAUGUGAUAACUUCAGACGGAAGAUUGAAACCGUUAACACAGUCAAAGAGCCUAGGAGAGAAUCCAUAGAACAAUCCUACAUGUUGACUUUGCCGAUAUUUAUCAUAAACAGUUGAACAGUUCCCAUCAAAAGUCAAAAGUAUAAACUAAUCAAUGAAAAAGAAGAAGCUGUUCUUCUAACUUGUUACUUUGGAUAAACCAAGUGCUUCACCUUUUGAAUUCCAUCUUCUAGAUUUUGAUUUCUAGAUAACAUACACAGAUAAAUCACAAGAAUGUAUAAGCAACAUAAAUAUAUUUAAAACGAAAAAAUCUCGGGUUUGAUUAUGGGGUGCCUAACUGUUUACCAGUCGAACUGCUAUUGUAUGCUUGAUCGACCAAAGGACGGAAAACUCGAUUAAAAUGGCUUGAAUGAAUGAUCUGAUAUGGUGGCUAGAUUACUGAGAGAUUUGCAAGCAGUCAACAAAGGAAAUGGGUCAUUUAUUGAAUGUAAAUUACAUACCUACAUCGGUCAUCGGUAUUCUGCUUCGAAAAUUCAUCUUUAGACAUGUGCUUCUCUGCAAAGAACACCUUUCAUGUCACCAGAAAAAGCUAUGCUCGUCUUUCUUGCAAUCAUAUCGAUAAUCUGUAACAUUAUGAGUCGAACAAAUAAAGGGAAACAGCCAAAAUGAUGAUACUGACAUAGUUACAGCUGAAUUUACCUAUGUCACUCCGACUCUUGACGUUCAUUUUCCCUUGAGUAUUUAUCCAGCACAUAUUCAGACAUGGAUAUGGAGAUAUAAUCCUACAAAUAUCGGGAAAAUUACAAAAGUUAAACAUAUUCAUAUCUUACUUCAGAGUCCGAGUAAGAGGAAUUUACAAUAAGUACCUGUAGGAACAUUUUAGGAGUCUUGGCAUGUGGGUUGACUUAACUUUAUAACCACCUUCAACAAUUGGUUGAUUGAAUCUUUUACCUCAUCCGGAACGGUGAGUUUUGCAGGCACUAAAUCUAAAACAUACAAAGUGAUAACUUUCAUUACAUCAACCAGAAGCAAACUGUUGGUACCGAUUCCCCAUACACUCUUAUUAGCAUACUCGCAUGAAUCCUUUAACAUGCAUCGACUGCAUACCUGAAGAGAUCACCCAUCAGUAAAACAAACAACAUAGGAAGAUUUGUACUCAGUAUAGUAAACAUUGGAAUAAUGGCUUACAGUGUUUUCUUGAAUUUUAAAGAACUUGCGCAAUCUCUUAGCAGCGAAGACAUUAUUUUUAUCAAGGGAAGCGCAACCAAAGAGCACCACUUUUUUCAAGUGACUUCCCGGCAACCAUCUGCAAAUACCAAUAUCGAAGGUUACUUUAUUUACAAGAAGCAAAAGGACAGUCAUUGAAGUAAUGAUUCCCCAAAGCGAUGGCAAGGAGAUGAGCUAUAUAUAAAAGCAAGAUAUAUUAAUAGAUCAACUGCAUCGGUGUACAUAUGGUUGACCAUAUCAUAUCAAGUCAAAAAUUAUGCUACAAUCAUUGAUUGAUAAAAUCUGUCACACCUGAUUUUUUGUCAAACACAUAGAAACCAACUUUGCACAAUUUUAGUAGAACAUCAUAUAGCUCUGCCAAACAUAUGCUGCUAUUAUGUACUUAAUUACUAACAUUGAUUUUAAGUGAAGGUUCAGUGCAAAUCUGCCAGCUUUGCAAUGCUUGAAUCUAAGACCGCAUUCUUACAGCAUGCUAUGGCUAAAUCUCUUGAUAAUUUGACUGAAGAAUGCAGAGAAUUUUUAUAAUACCUCUAAAGUUUAUUUGUAUAAGGGGAGGGUUUAGGGUUGUCCAAGGAUUGAACCCAAGAUUGGUAUCAAUUAAAUACUUGAUAUCAAGUCUUUUGCCACUCAACCUAUGGUUCGGUCCAGAUGAAUAUCUCUAAUAUAACUACAUGAAAAAGAGAUGCUUGACUAUACACUUAUGUCUAUGAAUACCAGUAGUUUUGCACAUAUGUAUGCAUCUAUGCACUUAAAUAUGAUUAUCCCUCUUUCCCUAGUUUCUGAAUUUCUUUUUUAAGUUUUCCUAUAUACCCUCUUACACCAUAACUAUACAAUAUGCAUAAGCUCAAUUCUUUUUAUAUGUUUUUCUAUAUAUAUAUAUAUAUCCUAUAUCCUAGCUCGAACUCUAGUACUUAAGGAAAAAUGAACAGUAACAAUGAAGUAAGAAACUAAUAUUAUCAAUCCACCUAGUUAUUAUAAAUUCAUUUGAAAAAUGCAAAAUAACCAUAAUCUCAAACUCCACUUUCCCCUACAAUGUUAAGAACAACCAAAUAAAACAUCAAGUACAUCAAUCAGCCAACAUGAAUAAAAAAACAUUAACAAUUGUCAAACAAUGUCAAAUCCAAAUUAAAAAAGAAAAAAAGGAGAAAACAAAAGUUCUUACUUUGCAAUAUCUUGAUGAUCUUUACCAAAAUUGUAAGCAGCAAACUUGAUAAAAUCCCUGCCAUAACUAUUCUCAAAGUAACCAAAAUCCAACUUGUUGUCUUCCACAAAACUAGCCUCCUUAAAAUACCCUUUUGUAUACAAAUGCCUGAUGAAAAUCUCAGCUAACUGUGAAAGACCCUUCAAAGCUCUUACCUUUUCCCUUUCUCUUCUAGCUUUCAUCUUCUUUUUCAUCUUUUCUUCUUUGUUUUCAUCCCCAAUAAACUCAACCAAACACUUGAAUUUCUUGGGUCUUUUCCCCUCUAAUUUCUCUGUUUCUUUCUUUUUCCCUUUUGGGUUUUCUUUGAAAUUCCUAAAUUCUUUCACCGACUCAUUGAUUUCGCCUUUUCUCCGGGUUUCAGUUCCUGCGGGUUUUACUGUUAAAACAGUGUCUCGAAACAACAGAGAAAGUGGGGUCUUGGUUGGUAGCUGGGAAGAGGAAUUAAGGGUUCUUCUGAUUAUGAAGGAUGGUGAAGGACAAAGGGUUUUGUAAAGAGGAUUGUGGAUUUUGAGGAGAACUUUGGUACGCGUAGACAGAAUGAAAGCUUUGAAGAGAUACAUUUUGCAGCGGAAGGGUUUAAGAUUAAAAGGAGGGUCUUUUCUGCAGAGGAGCUUAGGGAUCUUAAAUACACAUCCAUCUUUUUAUUACUUAAAAAAUUACUUAUUUAUUAAUAUUAAUCUAUUUUUGUAACUAAAUUUAAAUAAAAUUUUAUUAAAUAAAUAGCAAUUUAAGCUAAAAUGUUCAAUAAAGCUAGGCGAUUUCAAGUGUUAUUAUUUGAAGGUUUGAUUCUUCAAUGUGAUAAUUUUCAAAUUAAAAAAAUCUUUGGGGGUUAGGCGAUUUAUGCUUUAAUUCCCAUUAAAUACCAAUAAAUUUUGCUUAAUUGAAAGCUUAUUUCAUUACUAUGAGAAAACCAAAAACAUUGGUAAGAAGUAUUGAAUCAAUAAAUUAAAAAAAAAUUAAUACAAUACUUUUUACUGGAUUUUUUUAAUUAAAAAAAGUCCCUAACUUUUGUAUUUUCUUCAUUGGCAAGGGGCUUAUCCAUUGAGAUGGCAAAGCUAGCAACCUUUUGCCCAACAAAAAAGAGGAAAUGAAGCACUCGGAUUCUGGUGUUUCAGCUUGCAUGUUUGAUUCCGGCGAUCGACAAUGGUGUCAAAAUACAAGUACAGGGAGUCCUUGUUGGAUGGCAACCAAAGUUUUGGAGCCCGGAACUGGAUACAACUUCAAGGCUGAUAUAUGGUUGUUUGGGAUGUUUAGUUGGAGUUGGCUCAUGGUCGUCCGCCCUUGUCGAUAUAUCUGCCAACAAAGGCUCAUGACUGAAUUAUGUUUGACAUAUUUGAAGUUCUCGAAGCCGUUUAAAGACAUGGUUGCAAUGUGGUUGGUGAAAGAUCAAACCAAGGGGCCAACUGUAGAUAAAUUGUUGAAGCACUUGUUUCUCAAGCAUGCAAAGCCUACUCAGCUUGCUUUAAAGAAGCUAUUAGACUUCCAGGUGAGUGUCUACUUUAACAUAAGCUUAUUUUGCCACCAAAAGCAAAAUUAUCACAAAGAAAGUGAAACAAAAAGGGGAAAAAAACUGACUGUAUAUUUCCGUGUAUUAAGAGUUCAAGAUAACAGAAAAUUAAGGUCUAUUUCAAUCAAGAGAAAUAAGGUACGAUAAAUUGAUCAAGAGUAUCAAAAAGAAUUAUCAAGAGUAAAGGUGUAUCAAGUAUACAAAAUACAUGUUGGUAGAAAAAAGAAUUAUCAAGAGUAAAGCUCUACUUACAGUGGGGAAAGCCGUCCGAGAAAAAAGCAGCUCCAUGUUAGUAAGAAGCUUUCAAAACUGGUGAAGAAUGGAGCUUUUUUAUAUUCAAAAAGAAAAAAUAUAUUAUAUGAAUAAAUCUAUCUGUUCAAUGGCUCUAACUGUACUUCAAUUACUCCAGAACUUUGUGAACCUUUUCGAGCAGAAGCGUCGUUCAGGCUUAAAAGGUCAAUGGAAUCCUCUUCUUUGACGUUGCCGAGAACCCAGUUGUUCCUUCCUUGUAAUCUAUCUCUCUGUUGUCUUUCACGAUACUCCAGAUAAAUUACAGUCAAUGCAGCAAUCAAGAACCAUAUUAUUAAUACCCAGCUAAGAUCGUGGACGUUUUCUACUCUAUAUCUUUCUCCUAAAUGCUUCAUUCCAGUGAAAAGUGCUGCAAUUCCUAUGGCAAUGGCACCUCUGCCGAUAAUUAAAUUAAUCUCUUUGUGGAAGCAUCCUCCCCAUUAGCAGGUUUCUCCGGUCUGAGAUAUGCAUUCAUUGGUUGCACAGAGGCAAAAACUAUGGCAGCAAUACCAAGCUUAACAUGUAACGAGCUAACAUAGAAACCCCGAAGUUCGGCAACUGCAAAAAGAACACCAAGUAGGAUAAUUGCUAAUCCUGAAUAUUGUAGGUAAAUAUGAAUUUGGUACCAUCCAUCACCCUUUACAUGUUUUAGGUAUCUAGCAGCCAAUAUUCCACCAGGAAUCAAAAUACCCCAGGAGAGGAACAUCAUAAACCCAUGUACAGCUAAGACAGGUUGUAAACCUUGCUCAGCCUCAGAAGAACCACGGAUAAGCAGCACUUGCACAGGCCUUUGACUCGUGACCGUAUGCAUGUUUUUCUCACUGAGAUGAUCAUCAGUCCACUUUGAACCUAUUGCCCAUAUGACUUUAAGAGGAGUUGUAGGAUCAACAAUGUUCUUGCACUCUGGCUUAUCAUUUUGAUUGCAUGAUGGUUUUAAUGGACGUGUGAAUUCCAAAGUAAUGAUGCCAUCUUCUGACCUGCACCUGACAUGUGUCAGAUUCUCAUUUGUUGGAUGGAUGUUCAAGGGACGCUUUCCAUCAAUCCAAUAUGUAUUUAAAUGCCCUUUUCCAGUAUCGCCAAUCCAGCCCACAUAUGCAUAGCUAUUCACCAUCCCAUUACCGAAACCUAUUGCAAGAUAGCCACUCUUCUUCACGCCACGGGCAGCAAUAGUUAUUGAAUCUUCUGAUAACGUCCAAAAGAAAGUGACUUGUUGAUCAUCUAAAAGCACACUAUUGUUAUACAUAUCGGACAGGGCACCAUCAACAACUUGAACUUUCCAUCCCAUCUUCUCCUGGUACAAGGACUGAUAAUACACUUGAUCGGGGGUAUUCCUAUCGGGAACCCAAAUCAAUUCGUGAGGAUUUGCUACAACUCCUUCCGCUUCUGGCCCUCCAGAAUAAAUAGUCUCAGUUGCAUUCCUUAAUGUAGCAUUCCCACCAAGAGAAUCUGAAGUAAUAUACAAUGCAACAUCAUGCCCUGCCUGCACCAAAAACUUAACUGGCACCCCUCUUUCCACUCUCAACACCGGUGCUUCCUUAUUAUUAAUAUACAAAACCUUAGACGGACUUGGCGGAUUUGGAUAAUGCAACACCUCCCCUGUUGUAACAACAAGGGGGACUUCUGUAUCAGCAAUAAUCAACUCUUGAUCCUCAUUAUCAUCAGCAUCCAAUGGCCCAAAACAAUCAUCUACCUUCUCUGAAACAUUAAGAACCAAGUGUCCAUAUGCAACCUUCUCUGGACCCCCAUGAAAUUGGGGCAAAAAAUGAGACCGAUUUUCAUUUGGUGGUUUCAUCAACCCUAAUGCCCAAAUAACCCUCAUAUCCUCAUUAGGAUACACAGGCAAAUCAUACUUCUUAUCUGUCGAAUUCAAUGGUUUCCUAAACAUAAUUAAAGAAACCCCAUCUCUCCUAUGUCCAUAAACCAACCUAGUAUUAUUCACCAUCAUGCCAUUUUUCGAGUUCUCAUAAACUACAUCAGGGCAAACACCUAUAGCUGUCCGGUCUUUAGAACUCAACUUACAUUCAGUAUAAGCCGUAAUGUAAAAAUCAUCAACAAAAGGCCUACCUUCCUCAGUAAAACUUGCCACCGUAACAUCAGCUUCGGACAUCAGCUCCUUCGUCCUAUUCGGAUUCGCCCACCCAAAUGCCAUGUAAUAGGUCGUCGGCGCCGCCGCUUCUAACCCGAUCUCGAUCCAAUUUUCCUCCACAUUCAAGUUCCACCGGACCCUAUAAUUAUCCGACAAGUUCUUGCAGUUAUCAAACACUGUAUGCACCGAGUCCGAAACCGAAUCCGACCCGUUUCGAGGGAGGGUGACAUGGCCGAAGUCCGAGGUGCUGGCGAUGUCCCAGAUUGAAAGAACGUUGAUCUGGUCCCAGGUUAUGUCGGGGAGCAAUUGGACUGAAAACGAUGCGUUUUUUGUAAGCUGUUUGAUUGAGGCGUUGACCGGAGAUGGGGAACCCGCUGGUGAGGUCAGAGAAGUUGAGGGAGACGGUGCCCCAGAAAACGACGUCGGACGAGCAGGAUAACAUGUCGAAUCCGGUGACCUGGAAAGAGCAACCAUCGAGGAUUUUGAGAUGGCCACGGAGUUGGUGUCGGACCAUUGUGAAGUUCGAUUCGAACCCGACUAGGGAGCUGGUGUUGGAGCAUUUUUGACCCGAAUCCGCUUUGGAAGAGGCGAUGGAAUUGAUUAGGAAGAGCGAGAGUAGAAGGAAAAUUUUGGAAUUGUACAUUCGAAUCCGGUCGCGGGUGAUUCGAGAAUCCGAAUUCGGUGAUGAUGGAAAAUGAACGUUUUAAAGAGAAGGAAGGAGCCAAUGAGCGGCUGGUGGUGGUGAGUGGUGACUCGGUACAGCCGGAGCGAGUCGUCAACUUGUCUCGAUAUUGUUUUAUAAAUUUUUUUCCUGUUUUUCUGAAGAGAGGAAACCAGAAUCCCAACUAUCUUCUUAACUAUCAGUUUUUUAAUUUUAAUUUAGUUUAAAUUUUUUAAUUUAGUAGUCCAACUAAUGGAGAUUUUUUUUUGCCAAUUUCCGUAAUGAGAGGACAUGAUAAUUAAAAAUUAAUAUAAUAAUAAAUUUAAUUCUUAAUUUUUACAUUUUGUAUCAAUUUAAUCAUUAUUUUAAAAAAUUAAUUUUUAAAAUUUAUAAAUAAUCUCAAUUUGAUUAUCAAAAUUUACCUUUUCUUUCCACUUCCUCUGCUACCACUAUAUCAUUGCCUCUAGUUCCGCCUUCUCCUCCAUCUUUCUCCAAAAAAAAGAAUUUUUUUUUAAUCAUGUUCAAAUUUAAGGUAUUAUAAUUUAUUUUGUGUUAAGUUAGAUGAAGCCUAAGCAAUUUAAAUAUAUGUGCUACUAUUUAACAAUAAAUUAGGUUGAAAUAGAAAGAGGAAAGGUAAGUUUUUUUUGGGAGAAAGGUGGAGGUGGAGGUAAUGAUGGUAAUGGCCCGUGGUGAAGUAGAAGAGAAAAGUAAAUUUUGAGGAUCAAAUUGAGACUAUUUAUAAAAUUUAAGAGUUAAUUAUUUUAAAAAUUUGACUAAAUCAAUUUAAGAUAUAAAAUUUAAGAGCUAGAUUUAUAAUUAUACUCAUUUUUUAACUACCACAUUACUCUCCAUAGAGAUUUAAAGAAAUGGACAAAAAAAAAAUCUCAAUUAGUUGAAUGAUCAAAUUAAAAAAAUUCAUAAUUAGGUAACUAAAAAAGAAAAAGGGGAGAUAGUUGGGUGACUUGUGGUGUAGUUUACCCUAAUAAUAAAAUAUAAUAGGGUAAACUAUAGAAUUAGUCAUCCCACUAUUAGUGUGUUUCUGUUUUAGUCACCUAACUAUGAAAAUUUUCAAUUUUAUCACUAUCGUUUUAGAUCAUUUCUAUUUUGGUCACUCAUGUUUUAGAUCGUUUUUAUUUUAUUCACUCUUCAGUAAAUGGUUAACCAAAGUUAUGAUGUGACCUUUUUCAACUAGUAUAAAUAAUACAUUUAGUCUUUAAUACUUACACAUUUUAUCAAUUUGAUCCUCGAACACAUAUAAUUAAAUAUAAAGUAUAUAUUAUAAAAACGUACAAAAUAUAGUUAUUUAUAUAUAUUUAUCUAAAUAAUAUUUUAUGUUCUUAUAUUUAAUUAUAAUUAUAAGGUUCAAAUAUGCAUUUAGCCCCUCAAACUUGACACCUUCUCCCAUGUUGGUACUUAUGAUUUUUUGUCCCAAGUUGGUACCUAAAAAUUUAUUCCGUCAAGGGCUUUGAUACUUUUUUUUGUUACAAUACUAAAUAUAGGAAACAUGACACUCUUAGGAUGCCAUAAUCUAUUUUUUAUAAAAAAAUAAAAAAUUUAAAAGAAACUAUAUGAAAUUUAUAUAUAUUAUUAAAAUAUAAAAGAAAUUAUAAAUUAUAAAAAUAUAUGUAACUAAAAAAAUUAAAAAUAUUACAAAAAAAAUCUAAAAUUCAAGUUGGAAAAAUCGAAAACCUAGAAAAUUUACACAUUUUUCUAAAUAUAUUGCAAACAAAUUAGAUGAAGAUAAAUUAUAUAAUAAAUUUUAUACAUAGAGAUAGGUGUAAAUUAUUACACGAUUUUUCAAGUUAACAAGAAUGCAAAAGAUGAUGAUUUGAAAAUGGCUUACAAGAAGCUUUUUCGUUUUCCUUUUUUUUUUAAUUAUUUGCUAGGUGAUGGGAAAAAUUGAGUUCCUUUGUUGAAAAUGCUAUAAAAACCACAAAUUUACUAAGUUAUGGGGGUUUUGAGUUUUUGGGUUUAUCAAAAUCACACACACAUAUAAAUUUAUCAGCAUUUAGUUAUAUGUGUUUAAAUAUAAUCAUUUUUUAUAUUUAAUUAUAUGUGUUUGAGAAUAAAGUUGAUAGAAUUUGUAAAUAUGGAGGGUGAAAUUUAUUGAAUUAUUUAGAAUAAGAAUCAAAUUGAUAGAAUGUGUAAGUAUUAAGAAAUAAACAUGUUAUUAUUCUAGUUGGAAAAGGCAACAUCAUCACUUCCGUUAACUAUGUAACGGAGAGUGACCAAAAUAGAAACAAUCUAAAGUGUGAGUGACCAAAAUAGAAAUAAUAUAAAAUGUAAGUGACUAAAUAAAAAAAAUUCAUAGUUGGGUGACUAAUUCUAUAGUUUACCCUAGAUGGUAGAAGCAAUUAGGAUUAAUUCCACCAAACAUCUCAAACUAUUACUCAUAUUUUAAAUUGAAUCCUAAACUUGUACACAUUCUAAUAUUAAAUUACUCAAAUAGAAUGUGAUAACGUGUUAUGCUAUUAUUCAUCGAUAGUGCAUAGAAUUUAUGCACUAACAAUGCAUCAAAUAUUCUCAUUAAAAGAAAAUGUAUAAAAUAAGUUUUAUACCAUCUAUAAUUUGUAAAAAAAAAUUAUCCAAUAAAAAAUAUAAAAAUACAUAUCUAUAAUUUCACAAAAAGAGAAUUACAUUAAUCAACCUCACAAAAUAUACAUCUCACAAAUCUGAUUGAGAUUAAAAACAAAGAAUGCAUGUAUUGUGCAAUUAAAACCAUGAUCCAUAUUCAACUCUAAAGUACUGAACAUAUAAUUUUGCAUUAUUUUACCUCCCUUGAUUCUUCACAAACUCUUUGGAAUAAGUUAACCAUCUAUUCCUUAUUUCAAUUUUAUUAAAAAGAUAGGUUCCCAUAAAGACAGUCUUUACAAACCAGUGCACCUAUUAUAAACACAUCAGGGAACAUUGCCAUGAGAGAGGACCUAAGAAAACAUAAUACAAACUACAUAACAUACAAUCAAGCACCCACACAAAAUGUUUAUUAAACACCUACAGAAAAAGGCCUGCAUACCACCAAGCAAUGAAGUUUUCUGUUCCGUUUGCAACUUCUUGAUCUCGUCGAAGUGUUGGAUUCUCUACCUUUUUGCAAAUCUUUGUCGGACUCGCUCCACGAUCCUAAUCAACCACCAUGGUUUUCCAGUCGUGAAUACAAUGUAUGCCAUGCUCAUUCCCAGCACCAACCCACAUCCAUACCCCAUCAAUAUUGAAAAUUUCCAAUUCAAUUCAUCACCAUCAUCAUCUCUAUCAAAUUUGGCUGGAGUUUCCUCAUCAGUACCACAGUUUUUUGAUAAUGGCAAACCACAUAAAUCCAAAUUUCCCAUGUAGGAAUCGUUAGUGAAAGUAUCAAAUUGUUUGCCUUGAGGAAUGGGUCCCUUGAGAUUAUUUUGAGAAAGGUUUAACACCUCUAAGAAUCCAAGACUUUUUAACUCUGUUGGAAUUCUUCCUUCCAGCUUAUUUGAUGAGAGAUCUAAUGAUUCAAGCUCUGGCAAAUUACCUAAAGAUGAUGGGAUAGGACCUACUAAACAGUUAUGGGAGAGGUUUAGGACAAUAAGUAAAUGAAGCUCACCAAGUAUUUUUGGAAUUUCUCCCCUGAAUUGGUUACUAGAAAGGUCAAUAACCGUCCAAAUGGAUAAUAGUAAUUCAAACUUUAUUUCCACUCCUUUUGCUGUAACAGAUAAACCAUAAGCAUAAUUCAACUCAAAUGGGUCACCUAUCAUGUAAUUUGGUUCAACUUUCUUUCCAUACUCAUCUCUAAUGGCAUGCAUAUGCUCAAAAAAAAGAGUAGGUAAGUAGCCACUGAAAUUAUUGUGAGAAAGAUCAAUGAUUUGCAAUUUAGUUAAAGAAACUGUAAUAUCAAAGCUCUCUAUUUGGCCGUAAAAUCUAUUCGACCUCAAGAUAAGAACUUGCAGCUGAUCCAAAUUUCCUAACCAACUUGGGAAAGUGUCAUUCAAAUUGUUGUUUCCAACAUCGAGAAGAUUUAAAGCUUUGCAAUUACCCAACGAUCGUGGUAGUGACCCUUCUAAUUCAUUGUUGUUGAUGUUUAAACUUCUCAACAUGCAACCUUUAGCAAAAUUUUCUGGUAUUUGACCAUGAAAAUUAUUAUUCCCUAGAAAAACUGCUGUGAGAGAAGAACUCAAGUUUCCGAUGCACUUUGGAAUUGUUCCCUCCAAAUUAUUCUCAUCUAAAGCCAUAGCCACAAGGGAAGUCAAAUUGCAUAUUGAAGAAGGGAUUUCUCCAAUUAAGUUAUUAGUUGAAACUCCAUACAAUUGCAAUAAAGGUGGUGGUGUUGGAAUUCGACCUUAGAGAUAAAAUUAAAAAUGAGAUAGAAUUAGGAGUUUGAAGAUUCUUUGGAAUAAAAAUUAUAAAAUAGCUAUAUUUAUGAUGUAUUACAUGCAUGAUUAAUUUACUACACUAUCACAACAACUUUUAAGUUGUAAUCUAUUGAAGGAAACUACUACCAUCUUCUAGAGAAAUUUUUAUUUCUCUUACUUAAAAGUAAAAUGGGAUUGCGUAAAUGUAUAAAAAAUAGAAGGAAAAAAAAUAUCAAACUAUACCUAAUAGUUUAUUAUAAAAGAGAUAACCAUUUAAUAUCUUACUUAUAUUUCAUUUUUUAGUGUUUAUUAUUAUUUUUUGUACUUUUAUGUAUAUUUUAUAAUUUAUUAUCGGGGUUCACGGUUGUUACUGUCAAGAAUAUCAUCUCUAAGACUUGAAUCUUGUUUUCCCCUUAAGAGAGUAAUAUAUUUUACCACUGCACUGAAUAUUUAUUGGUGUAGUAUUUAUUAUAACUACAAAUAAUUUUAAUUAUCUUUUUAUGAACCUCUAAGUUAGAGGUCAAAUAAAAAAGUAAAUUAAUUGAUGUAGUGUUUAAAUUUUUAUCAUUAUUUUCUAUAUUUGUUUAUUUUUUAUUUUUUUAAAUAUAUAUUUAAACUUUGCAAAAUGAAUGGAUAUAUUUGAACAUGAAACAUGAUACAAUAAUUUAGUGAGAAUGAAAUAAAAUAAUGGUGGAAAAAUGAUAUGAUGACAUUAAACGGAAAAUAAGCGAAUGAAUAAAUAAGUAAAUAAAGGAGAAUAAGAAGAUAAAGACCAAAAACAAUUGCUAUGCCAAUUGUUGAAACUAAUUUUUUUGAAAAAAAGUGGAUCUGACUUAUAUUUUGAAAAAAGAAAAGAAAAUGGAGUCGCCACCAAUCUUUUUAUUUGGGUGUGAUUGGAUCACCUCAUAAUUAAAUCAUUUUAAUAAAAAUUUAAAUUUACUAAAACGAUAAUUUUUGGUCUUAUAAAAUCCAAAAAAGGGUUCGGGAGUCGGUUACGCAUGAGGAAGGGUUAGCACCCUCAACACGCCCAAAAUUGAUACCUUAUUUUAAAAUAAGAUCAUUGUAUUAAAAAAACUUAUAUAAAUCAAAUUACACGUUAAGACCCUUCCAUUUCGGAGAGAGAAAAUGUCACACCCAAUGGGUUAGGGCAUGAUAUUUCACAUCCUCAAAAAUGAGCUUGUCAUUUAAAAAACUCAUGCAAUGAAAUUUAAAAUGAUAUUCAAUUGUUUAAGUCAGAUGAAGAAAUCGAAGCCCAAUACGUUAGGGCCCAAUUUCUCAAAAUUCCAAACAUUGAAUACUGCCUUUAUUAUUUUUUAGAAAAACCCUCAUCUCAAGAAAACAACAUGUCAUAUCCAAUGCGUUAGGACACAACGUAUCGAAUUCCCGAUAAUGAGCUUUUUAUUUAUGUGUUUUGAUGAAUGAAUAUUCUUGAUUAUUUGAAUUCAACGAGGAAAAUUGGAACCCAAUACAUUAGGGAUCAAUCCUCUCGAAGAUCCAAAUACCGAAUAUUGUGUUAUCUUGAAAGCUUUUGAAUAAAAUGAUUCCCAAAACUUAAACCAUAUUAAAAAUAAUUUUUGAGCAAAUAAAGAAUGAUGGAAAUGAUAAUAUGCAAUACGAAGUAAUAAUUCGUAAACCAAAAAAAGUACUCUAAUGGAUGACAAAUAAUCGAUAAGUACAAAUAAGUAAUACAAUACACAUAAGGGCAAUAAUCUCACAAUGCAUGUUGUUUUAAUGUCGAUAUUUAACAAUCAAGAAAAAUGAAACAAAAUAAUAUAUAUAGAACAAUUUGAAGUAACUAGUAUAAAACAAUUUAAAGUAAAUAAUAUGCAACAUAAAUAAAGACAUGCAAAGCAAAAAUAAAUAACAUAGAAGACGAUUUUAAAAUAAUAUAUAAAAAGUUGAAAACAAAUAAUACGUAAAAAGAAAAUUUCAAACAAAGGAUAUACAAAACAAUUUCUUUUAAAAAAAUGAUAUAUGAAAACAAUUCCAAAUAAAUAAUAUAAAAAAAUAAAAUGGAUAAUAGUUUAUAUGGUUUGAAAUGUUUAACAUGUGAAAAACUUAAAAUAAAUAAUAAAAUAAAUAAAUAAUACAUGAGGAAAAGUAUUGAAUAAAAAAAUUGCAAAAUAAAUCGAAAUCAACAGAUUUGGGACUAAUUUGGGAUGAAAAUGAAAUUUAAAGGCAUAAAUUACAAAUGAAAGGAAACGGGGGCCAACUAAAGUGCGCCGAAAAAGGGCGAGGACCAGAUGGGGAAUUAUUCCCUAUCUCAAAACGACACUGUUUAAGGUGUUUUUCCUUUUAAAAUGGUCUAAGGACCAAAUUGGGAGAAAAAUGAAAAUUUGUGGCUAAAUCAAAAAAUAAAAAAGAGAUAGGACCCAAUUGUAAUCAACCUUAAAAGCUGAAGGACUAGGGGCGCGAAUAGCCCCUUUGUCCAAAAACACUUGGAUCCUAAGCGGUUCGGGUCGGGUCAGUCCGAUCCAUGUCUAAACGACGUCGUUUUGGGGCUUUCUGAACCCCUCAUUUACAAACAAUUUAUCAUGGCUUUUAUAGCCAUUUUACAAGAUUUUUUUAAUUCAUUUAUUGUCACUUCUUGCAGGCAAAUGAUUGCUUAAUUUACUUCGUAACUUCUUACAUUUAGACAUAAUAAUGAGGUUUUAAUCUUUUAAGAACUUUUAUUUUAUUUACUUAAAAAUUGCAUAAAUUUAAUAAAAAAAAAGGAGAAUAAAAGAAAAAUGAAAUUAUACCUGUCAAUUUGUUAUAGCUAAGAUAAAGUGAUUGGAGAGAUGUCAAGUUUCCAAUAACAAGAGGAAUUUCACCUGAAAUGUAUAAUUAAAUCGGUCAAAAUUUGUAAAUAUUUUCCUACCAAGCCCUUAAUUUAUUUGUUGAGCAUAUUAGUGUCUGUUUGAUUUACCUAUUUUUAAAUAUGCAAGUUUUGUUUAGUUUUAUAGUACUUGUGACAACCCAAAAAUAUUUUAAUUAUAAUACUCGAAUUUAUAGUUGAAAUGAUGAUGACAAUUAGAAGGAAUAAAAUAGUUCACGCUUAAUAGUUUUGCUCAAAUAUAGGAUACAUCAUCGAAGCUGAACAAAUAUAUAUAUUUUUAGAAACUUUUAUUAGUUAGCAGUGAUUAGCUAAUGUCAAACAACUGAUACUAUUGCAUAUAAUAUGUUUCCCUAAACUGUAUACUAUUUAUCUCUCGCCACAAAUUAUCAAAAACACAUGUGCAUUUUAAGCCAAACAUUUAUAAUAAAGAUAAGAGCCGUAUUGACACAAUUUUUUGCUAAGGAAUCAGCAAACACACACCCAUAACUGCACAUAUAGACACACAUAUAUCUGCACAUACAGAAUACUAGAACCCAAAAAUGUCGCUAGAACCCAGAUAUAGUCUAGGUGAGAAGGGACUAAGGAGUUGAACAGUAAAGAAACUAGUAAGAACUCACAUGAUAAUGAGCUUGUUGUAACCAGAAUACAAAGAUUGGGGCAGAGUCAAGUUUCCAAUUUCUAUAGGCAUAAUUCCCUCCAAAGAGUUGUUAUGCAACGAUAAAUACUUCAACUCUUUACACUUGAAUAAGCUAUUUGAAAUUCUACUAAAAUUUGAUUAUGUGUGAAGCUUAAUUAUUGCAAUUUAGAAAUGUUAUCAAACAUCUAGAUAGUAGAUGACCUAUAAUGAGAUGAUUAGUUUUGAAACUAUUUUUUUAUUGGUGAAAAGAUAUAUAAGAUUUACACAUGUAAGGAGCCUGAAUAAGAAUUAUUAUGAAAAUAUAACUAAAUGAAGCUUGAAAAGAUAUAUAAGAUUUACAGUAUAGUGCCGCAUUCGGUACUUUUUGGAGUGUAGGGAUGGGUGGGUUGAUUAUAUCCCCACAUGAAGUAUAGGGUUGGACGAAGAUGGUGUGUAGAGGCUAGCUGGGUAGGAUUUGUAUACUGCAUAAUCCGUUACUGCACUGAUUGCUGAUAUUGUAAUAAGCCAAGGCCCAAAUGAAUGAUUACUUCUGUACUGAAAUAGGCUAAAGCCCAAACUGAUAUUGUCACUGAUACUGAAAAGGGCGUAGGCCCAAACUGAGUUUAUUAUGCUUACUGUCUGGUUAUUUUUGUAUAUUGUAUGCUUGUUUGCAUGGGGAAUUACGAGUUUUGAAAACUCACCCCUUUUGUUAAUUUGUACAGGUAAUCCCUACUCAUAGGCGGAUUGACGCGGCAGAGGACUCAGCGGUGGCCACACGACUCUUUUUUUUACUGUUUCGUAUUUAAUUACAUUCAUUUUUAAAGCUUUAUUGGGGUUUUUAUCUGUAAUAACGGCCGCUAUGAAUUUUUGCUUUAUGUUUGGAUUUAACACUACUUUAUGUUUUAUAUCUUCUAGAGGUAGAUAAAACACGAUUUUUAAAAGAAAUGCAUGUGUUUUAGCAAAAUACCCACAAUGACACAAGCUGUUUUAAAAAGCUUCCACAACGUAUAAUGUUUUGCAAACUAACGAUUGAUUAAAAAUCACUAUUUUAGGAUUAAUAAAGUUAACGAAGAGAUCUAAACAGAAAAUGUUUUAAGCAAAGUUACGGUGUUUUUCAACAUGAGCUUCGGUUUUCAAACACACUACCAUGUGACACCGCCAGAUUCAACCAUAAUGUCUAGGCCGAUUUGGGGUUUUACAUCUAUUAUGGUGUGUAGUAGAGUUGGGUAGGAUGUUUUCUAAUAAAUCUGCAUUCUAAUCGAUGGUAAUUCAAGAAAUACUACACUGGAUAUUAAAUCCAAUAGUAUCAAGAAUCCACAUUUCACUAGUUUAAUAUUCAAACCAUCAUAUUUGUUAUAUUGAAUUUAAGUAAUUAGUAAUUCAAGUUAUUGAUAUUUUUCUUAUACCAAUAUUCUUAUAUUUUUCUAAUUUCAAAGUAGUUAAAGGAUUAAAUGUGUAAUUAAUUGUUUUUAAGCCAAAAGUGUUAUAAUAAGAAGUUAAAAGAUUGUAAUUAAUUAGUAUUAUAUAGCGCGAUUGUAUUAUAAAUAGAAGAGACUGCAUAACAGUAACAACAAAAAAGAGAAUAAAGAUGAUAUUAUACCUGUUAAGUAAUUAGUAGAAAGAUCGAUGUCCGUGAGGGAAAUAAGGAAUUAGAUACAUUGGUCCCAUAAUAUGUCACUCAAAAUCUCAAAUUCAUCCAACAAAAAGAAAUCAUCACUUUAGUUAAUUAAAUCAAGAACAAAUAAAGUUAUGGAUGAACAAAUAUGGGAAGCAAAGAAAUGUGAUGGAUCAAAAGGGACGGAUAAGCUAAUUUCUGCCAUAAGGUAGAUGGUGAACUUAGGAUGUGGAGUUUCAAUAAAUACCUAAAAAUACCUAAACUUUUGGCAAUUCAAAUAGAUUAUACUAAUUUUUAAUUACUUAAAAAUAUUGCAUAAAUUUAAUAACAAAAAGGAGAAUAAAAGAAACAUGAAAUUAUACCUGUCAAUUUGUUAUUGCUAAGAGAAAGGUAUUGGAGAGAAGUCAAGUUUCCAAUAACAAGAGGAAUUUUACCUGAAACAUAUAAUUAAAUCAAUAAAUAUAUAAUUAUUUUUAUUAAUUAUUUUAAGAGUUUAAUAAGGCAAAUCUAAAAGGUAGAAGAAAUAGCUAAUUAGAAGUAGUGUGUGAUUCAAAAGGGUAUAAAGUAGGUCCAAAUUAAAAAUCAAAUUUUAAAAUAAUUUAAUGUAAAAUUUAACUCUUUUCUUAUCACCAAAUAAAUUUACUUUCAGAGAAAUUACAAGUUUUAAUAAAAUAGUUGAAAUAAGUGAUUGUUUAUGACUAGGUGAAAAUUAGAUGAAAAAAACAUAUAAUUAAUAAUUUAUAUAUCUAUUUCUCUCAUACUAUGGACUAUGGUCGAGCAAAAAUUAAUAAAAAAAUCAAACGGAUAGAAAUAGCUUAGUUACAAGAUUGAUGUUAAUCCAAUAAAUUUUUAAAAAAAAACACAUUGUUUCCAAAAGGGUAAGAAAUAGGUCCAAAUUAUAAUUCAGAACAUAAAUUAAUUUAAUGUAAAAUUUAAAUAAAAUUUAAAAUUCUUUCAUUAUCAAAUAAAUUUUCUUAAUAAAAUACUUUUAGUGAAUUAAUUAGAAGUCUUACUUAUUAACAAUAAAAAAAAUAUUUAUCCUUGUGCCAGAAAAAAACACCGCAUAGAUCAUAAAAAGGAAAAACUAAAACAUCCAUAAAACCACUAAACACAAAAUUCAUAGUUGUAGAGGAGGAUUAGAUACAUUGGUCCCAUAAUAUGUCACUCAAAAUCUCAAAUUCAUCCAACAAAAAGAAAUCAUCACUUUAGUUAAUUAAAUCAAGAACAAAUAAAGUCAAAAUCUCAAAUUCAUCCAACAAAAAGAAAUCAUCACUUUAGUUAAUUAAAUCAAGAACAAAUAAAGUUAUGGAUGAACAAAUAUGGGAAGCAAAGAAAUGUGAUGGAUCAAAAGGGACGGAUAAGCUAAUUUCUGCCAUAAGGUAGAUGGUGAACUUAGGAUGUGGAGUUUCAAUAAAUACCUAAAAAUACCUAAACUUUUGGCAAUUCAAAUAGAUUAUACUAAUUUUUAAUUACUUAAAAAUAUUGCAUAAAUUUAAUAACAAAAAGGAGAAUAAAAGAAACAUGAAAUUAUACCUGUCAAUUUGUUAUUGCUAAGAGAAAGGUAUUGGAGAGAAGUCAAGUUUCCAAUAACAAGAGGAAUUUUACCUGAAACAUAUAAUUAAAUCAAUAAAUAUAUAAUUAUUUUUAUUAAUUAUUUUAAGAGUUUAAUAAGGCAAAUCUAAAAGGUAGAAGAAAUAGCUAAUUAGAAGUAGUGUGUGAUUCAAAAGGGUAUAAAGUAGGUCCAAAUUAAAAAUCAAAUUUUAAAAUAAUUUAAUGUAAAAUUUAACUCUUUUCUUAUCACCAAAUAAAUUUACUUUCAGAGAAAUUACAAGUUUUAAUAAAAUAGUUGAAAUAAGUGAUUGUUUAUGACUAGGUGAAAAUUAGAUGAAAAAAAACAUAUAAUUAAUAAUUUAUAUAUCUAUUUCUCUCAUACUAUGGACUAUGGUCGAGCAAAAAUUAAUAAAAAAAUCAAACGGAUAGAAAUAGCUUAGUUACAAGAUUGAUGUUAAUCCAAUAAAUUUUUAAAAAAAAACACAUUGUUUCCAAAAGGGUAAGAAAUAGGUCCAAAUUAUAAUUCAGAACAUAAAUUAAUUUAAUGUAAAAUUUAAAUAAAAUUUAAAAUUCUUUCAUUAUCAAAUAAAUUUUCUUAAUAAAAUACUUUUAGUGAAUUAAUUAGAAGUCUUACUUAUUAACAAUAAAAAAAAUAUUUAUCCUUGUGCCAGAAAAAAACACCGCAUAGAUCAUAAAAAGGAAAAACUAAAACAUCCAUAAAACCACUAAACACAAAAUUCAUAGUUGUAGAGGAGGAUUAGAUACAUUGGUCCCAUAAUAUGUCACUCAAAAUCUCAAAUUCAUCCAACAAAAAGAAAUCAUCACUUUAGUUAAUUAAAUCAAGAACAAAUAAAGUCAAAAUCUCAAAUUCAUCCAACAAAAAGAAAUCAUCACUUUAGUUAAUUAAAUCAAGAACAAAUAAAGUUAUGGAUGAACAAAUAUGGGAAGCAAAGAAAUGUGAUGGAUCAAAAGGGACGGAUAAGCUAAUUUCUGCCAUAAGGUAGAUGGUGAACUUAGGAUGUGGAGUUUCAAUAAAUACCUAAAAAUACCUAAACUUUUGGCAAUUCAAAUAGAUUAUACUAAUUUUUAAUUACUUAAAAAUAUUGCAUAAAUUUAAUAACAAAAAGGAGAAUAAAAGAAACAUGAAAUUAUACCUGUCAAUUUGUUAUUGCUAAGAGAAAGGUAUUGGAGAGAAGUCAAGUUUCCAAUAACAAGAGGAAUUUUACCUGAAACAUAUAAUUAAAUCAAUAAAUAUAUAAUUAUUUUUAUUAAUUAUUUUAAGAGUUUAAUAAGGCAAAUCUAAAAGGUAGAAGAAAUAGCUAAUUAGAAGUAGUGUGUGAUUCAAAAGGGUAUAAAGUAGGUCCAAAUUAAAAAUCAAAUUUUAAAAUAAUUUAAUGUAAAAUUUAACUCUUUUCUUAUCACCAAAUAAAUUUACUUUCAGAGAAAUUACAAGUUUUAAUAAAAUAGUUGAAAUAAGUGAUUGUUUAUGACUAGGUGAAAAUUAGAUGAAAAAAAACAUAUAAUUAAUAAUUUAUAUAUCUAUUUCUCUCAUACUAUGGACUAUGGUCGAGAAAAAAUUAAUAAAAAAAUCAAACGGAUAGAAAUAGCUUAGUUACAAGAUUGAUGUUAAUCCAAUAAAUUUUUAAAAAAAAACACAUUGUUUCCAAAAGGGUAAGAAAUAGGUCCAAAUUAUAAUUCAGAACAUAAAUUAAUUUAAUGUAAAAUUUAAAUAAAAUUUAAAAUUCUUUCAUUAUCAAAUAAAUUUUCUUAAUAAAAUACUUUUAGUGAAUUAAUUAGAAGUCUUACUUAUUAACAAUAAAAAAAAUAUUUAUCCUUGUGCCAGAAAAAAACACCGCAUAGAUCAUAAAAAGGAAAAACUAAAACAUCCAUAAAACCACUAAACACAAAAUUCAUAGUUGUAGAGGAGGAUUAGAUACAUUGGUCCCAUAAUAUGUCACUCAAAUUCAUCCAACAAAAAGAAAUCAUCACUUUAGUUAAUUAAAUCAAGAACAAAUAAAGUUAUGGAUGAACAAAUAUGGGAAGCAAAGAAAUGUGAUGGAUCAAAAGGGACGGAUAAGCUAAUUUCUGCCAUAAGGUAGAUGGUGAACUUAGGAUGUGGAGUUUCAAUAAAUACCUAAAAAUACCUAAACUUUUGGCAAUUCAAAUAGAUUAUACUAAUUUUUAAUUACUUAAAAAUAUUGCAUAAAUUUAAUAACAAAAAGGAGAAUAAAAGAAACAUGAAAUUAUACCUGUCAAUUUGUUAUUGCUAAGAGAAAGGUAUUGGAGAGAAGUCAAGUUUCCAAUAACAAGAGGAAUUUUACCUGAAACAUAUAAUUAAAUCAAUAAAUAUAUAAUUAUUUUUAUUAAUUAUUUUAAGAGUUUAAUAAGGCAAAUCUAAAAGGUAGAAGAAAUAGCUAAUUAGAAGUAGUGUGUGAUUCAAAAGGGUAUAAAGUAGGUCCAAAUUAAAAAUCAAAUUUUAAAAUAAUUUAAUGUAAAAUUUAACUCUUUUCUUAUCACCAAAUAAAUUUACUUUCAGAGAAAUUACAAGUUUUAAUAAAAUAGUUGAAAUAAGUGAUUGUUUAUGACUAGGUGAAAAUUAGAUGAAAAAAACAUAUAAUUAAUAAUUUAUAUAUCUAUUUCUCUCAUACUAUGGACUAUGGUCGAGCAAAAAUUAAUAAAAAAAUCAAACGGAUAGAAAUAGCUUAGUUACAAGAUUGAUGUUAAUCCAAUAAAUUUUUUAAAAAAAACACAUUGUUUCCAAAAGGGUAAGAAAUAGGUCCAAAUUAUAAUUCAGAACAUAAAUUAAUUUAAUGUAAAAUUUAAAUAAAAUUUAAAAUUCUUUCAUUAUCAAAUAAAUUUUCUUAAUAAAAUACUUUUAGUGAAUUAAUUAGAAGUCUUACUUAUUAACAAUAAAAAAAAUAUUUAUCCUUGUGCCAGAAAAAAACACCGCAUAGAUCAUAAAAAGGAAAAACUAAAACAUCCAUAAAACCACUAAACACAAAAUUCAUAGUUGUAGAGGAGGAUUAGAUACAUUGGUCCCAUAAUAUGUCACUCAAAAUCUCAAAUUCAUCCAACAAAAAGAAAUCAUCACUUUAGUUAAUUAAAUCAAGAACAAAUAAAGUUAUGGAUGAACAAAUAUGGGAAGCAAAGAAAUGUGACGGAUCAAAAGGGACGAAUAAGCUAAUUUCUGCCAUAAGGUAGAUGGUGAACUUAGGAUGUGGAGUUCCAAUAAAUACCUAAACAUACCUAAACUUUUGGCCAUUCAAAUAGAUUAGAUUAAUUUUUAAUUACUUAAAAAUAUUGCAUAAAUUUAAUAACAAAAUGGAGAAUAAAAGAAACAUGAAAUUAUACCUGUCAAAUUGUUAUUUCUAAGAUAAAGAAAUUGGAGAGAAGUCAAGUUUCCAAUAACAAGAGGAAUUUCACCUGAAACGUAUAAUUAAAUCAUCACUUUAGUUAAUUAAAGCAAGAACAAAUAAAGUUUUGGAUGAACAAAUAUGAGAAGCAAAGAAAAAUGAUGGAUCAAAAGUGACGAAUAAGCUAAUUUCUGCCAUAAGGUAGAUGAUGAACUUAGGAUGUGGAAUUCCAAUAAAUUCCUAAACAUACCUAAACUUUUGGCCAUUCAAAAUCAAAUUCUAGUGGUUAAAAUUAUGAAAUGAGUAAUUAUUAUUUUUACAGCAAAAAAUGUGAGUAUAUAAAGAAAAAUAAAAAUAAAAAUGUAGAGCAAUAUAAAAAGAAGUUUUAAGGUAAGUAGGUUUGUUAUUUUUAAGAAUAAUAGUAAAGCAGGACAUUUGGUUUUGCUUAUAUAAGAAGUUGGUUCAUGCAUAGGGAUGUCAUAUUACCCAUGUUUGCAUUUAAAUAUUUGUAUUAAGAAAUAUUUUAUUUGAAAGAGUUUAAUAAUUUUAAGCUGUCUAAUAAUAAAUAAAUUAGUCUAAGAAAAAAUAAAGCAUCUCAAAAUAUAUGUCUUAUACCAAUAUUCUUAUAGUUGUCUAAUUUCAAAGUAGUUAAAGGAUUAAACGUGUAAUUAAUUGUAUUUUUAAAACGACAGUUAUUUUAUUUUCUAUAUUUGUUUAUUUUUUAUUUUUUUAAAUAUAUAUUUAAACUUUGCAAAAUGAAUGGAUAUAUUUGAACAUGAAACAUGAUACAAUAAUUUAGUGAGAAUGAAAUAAAAUAAUGGUGGAAAAAUGAUAUGAUGACAUUAAACGGAAAAUAAGCGAAUGAAUAAAUAAGUAAAUAAAGGAGAAUAAGAAGAUAAAGACCAAAAACAAUUGCUAUGCUAAUGAAUAAUAUCAAUAUUUCUAUGAUGAUAACAAAACAACGAUUAAACGAUAAUCAUGUUGUGGUUAUUAUCUUAGUAUUACAUUGAAUAAAUAAUAAUGACAAGAACAAAGAAUAAAAUAGAAUAAUAUGUGCAAAUGAAUAAUAUAGACAAAGAUAAAAUAUAUAAAUUUUAAAUACUAAAUAAAUGAUAUAGUAAAUAAAUAAGCAAAAUUAAUCGAAAUACAAAGUAAAUUGGAACUCAAGCAAAGUUUAAAACUCAUAUCGCAAAAUAAAUGAGGGAAAGGGACCACAAAUAUACAAAUAAAAUGAAAAUAAAUAUAAAUUUUAAAUAUAUAAAAAAUAAAUAAAAAAAAGAAAUAACGAAUAAAUGACUAAAUAAAUAGAUAAGACAAAUAUAAAAAAAUAUUAAAUUUAAGUGUUUAAAAAUUAAAAGAAUGAUAAACAAAUAAAUAAAUAAAUUUAAGUAUUUGCAAUUCAAAUUGAUGAUAUUUUUCUUAUUCUUAUGCUUUUCUAAUUUCAAAGUACUUAAAGGAUUAAAUGUGUAAUUAAUAGUUUUUAAGCCAAAAGUAUUAUAGUAAAAAGUUAAAAGAUUGUAAAGUUAUUUAGUAAUAUAUAGCACGAUUCUGUUAUAAGUAUUAUAACAGUACCAACAAAAAGGAAAAUAAAGAUGAUAUUAUAUCUGUUAAGUUGUUAUAAAAAAGAAUGAUGAUCACGAGAGAAAUAAGGUUUCCAAUAACAGAUGAAAUUUCACUUAAAAUCAUUAAAAUUUACUAACAGAUCUUAAAAUCGUUAAAACUCAAUGCGGGUAGGUAUAAGUCUGAAACAUAUAAUAUCAACUAUGUACUCUGUAAUCAAAGUUAAUUAAGAGAAAUCAUAUACUCUAUUUCUUUCCUAUUCAAGAAUAUCAACACAUAAAUAAUAAGGAUAGAAAAAAAUAGGUAAUUACAAGUCUUGUGUGAUUCAAAAGGGUAUAAAGUAGGUCCUAAUUACAAAUCAAACCUUAAAUUAAUUUAAUGUAAAAUUUAACUCUUUUCUUAUCACCAAAUAAAUCUACUUUUAGUAAAUUAGGAGUUUUAAUAAAAUACUUGUAAUAAAAGAUUGUUUAUGACUAAGUGUUUUGUUUUCAACAUAUUUGGAAUUAACUUGCCUUAGAAAAACAGUCUCUAUUAUUUUUAAGAAUAUAUUAUAAAAGCAAGAUAUGCCACUUAGAGAAGUUUCUUUAAGUAUUUUUUCUCGGCCAAAAUAAAAGGGUUAUUGUUUAAAGUCCCGUUUCAUUACUUAAAACAAUUGUUGAUGGAAAUUGGAUAAAAAUGAAUGAAACAAUAACCAAGAAUUGUUUACCUUUGAAAUGGUUGUUACUAAGAGCCAAAGUCUCGAGCAAAGUCAAAUUUCCAAUUUCUGUAGGUAUACUUCCAUCCAAGGAGUUGUAACCCAAUGAUAAAAACUUCAGCUCUUUGCACUUGAAUAAACUAUUUGGAAUUCUACCGGAAAUUUGAUUCCCACCCAAGCCCAACCUUUCUAGUUUUGACAAAUUGCCUAGAGUAGAUGGGAUAACACCAACGAAGUUGUUAAGGUACAAAGACAAUCUUUGAAGUUUUUUUGGUGUUUAAGGGCAGCAGCAAGCUAGUUUGCACUUGCUUGGACAACAAGUGUCGAGCCUUGCUGAAGACACUAUCGAAGAAGAAGAAAAUUUUGCAAUGGAAAAAAUAGGAAAGAAAGAGAUGAUUUGAAUGAAAAUUGAGCUGAAUUUUCAUUAAUUUUCACAAGAGGCAUAAUGCCAAUACAUAUAUGAGAUAACAACAGCAAAACAAACAAGUUACCACCUAAUAACAUACCUAACACCACUAAUUUGCCUAGUAACUUGGUAAACUUGUUUGAACACAAAACAAGCCACCUAAACUUGUCAUUCAGCACCUAAUUACAUCAAAAUGCAACUACCAACUAAGUUCAAAACAAACUAAAAUACAAAGAGUUCAUUUGAGUAACUAAAUGAAACAAAGCAGUUUCGGUUUGCUGCUUGGAGCACGUUGCUUGCAUUGCCACUUUUGCUGCUGCAUGGGGGCUGACUUCAACACUCCUCCUCAGCUUCUAUGCUGCAGACUCCUAAUUGCUUUCUUAAGCUUAGAAAUCUCGAUGUACCAAGUGAUUUUGUGAAAAUAUCGGUAAUCUGAUUUUCAGAGUUGCAGUGAAUCAGCUCGAUCUCUCGGGCUUGUUCCAUUUCUCUUAUCACAUGCAACUUAAUGUUGAAGUGUUUUGUCCUGCCAUAGAAGACAGGAUUUUUAGCAAUAGCGACUGCUGAUUUGUUGUCACAGUAAAUCUCAGUUGCUCCAUUUUGUUGUAGAUUCAAAUCAUUGAUAAUUUUUCUUAGCCACAUAGCUUGAUUAACAGCAUUAGUAGGUGCUACAUAUUCUGCUUGAGCUGUCGACUGAGCCACCAUUGUUUGUUUUCUUGAACUCCAACAAAUCAUACCUGAGCCAAGUGUAAAAGCAUAACUAGAAGUGCUCUUCAUAUCGUCUUUUGAACCAGCCCAAUCGCUGUCAGUGUAUCCAAUUAAUUUCAACUCCUCGACCCUUCUGAAAUGUAUUCCAUGGUUCAAGGUACCUUUGAUGUACCUCAGCACCCUUUUUCUGCUUUGUAAUGUUGCUGGUUACAACAAUGCAUGAAUCUUGACAGCAUGCUAACUGCAAAUAGAACAUCAGGUCUCGUUGCUGUCAAAUAUAGCAAAUAGCCAACAAGACUUCUGUAAUCUGUUUCAUAGACAGAUUCAUGAUCUUCUUUGCUCGAUAGUUUCAUGCCAACAGCCAUAGGUGUGCUAGUUGGCUUGCAGUUCUUCAUUGAAAAUUUGGCUAGGACCUUUGAAGCAAAUGAUUUCUGUCCCAAGAAGAUUCCUUCACCAGCUUGAUUAACUUCCAUUCCUAGGAAGUAUGUCAUCAACCCCACGUCUGACAUUUCAAACAUUUCCUUCAUUUUUGUUUUGAAAUCAGCUAACAUGAAUUUGUCUCCUCCAGGCACUAGAAGAUCAUCAACAUAGAGUGACACAAUGAGCUGUGUUUCAGCUCGAUUUCUUUUAACAUAGAGUGUUGGCUCGCUAGCACUCCUUUCAAAUCCAAAACCGAUCAGGUAUGAAUCAAUUUGAGCAUACCAGGCUCUAGGAGCCUGUUUUCUUAGCCUAUACACCAAAUGUUCUUUACAUGGCAUUGUGAAUCCUGGAGGUUGCUCGAUGUAUAUCUCCUCUUCCAAGGAUCCAUUGAGAAAUGCAGACUUCACAUCCAUUUGAUGGAUUGUCCACUGGUUCUGAGCAGCUUCAGCAACCAACAAUCUGAUUGUAUCGAGCCUGGCUACUGGAGCAAAUGUUUCCAUGUAGUCCAGACCAUAUCUCUGACUAAAACCCUUCAGAACCAAUCUGGCUUUCAGUUUGUUUAAGCUUCUAUAUGCAUUGUGCUUUACUCGAUAGACCCAUUUUACACCAAUGGUCUUUCUGUUAGCUAGCUUCUCAACCAACUCUCAUGUCUGGUUCUUCUCAAUCAUGUUGAUUUCAUCAACCAUAGCCUAUUUCCAGCCUUCAUCUGCCUCAGCCUCUUCAAAAUUGCUAGGUUCUGCUAUAGCAACCUGUGCCCUUUCAUAGAUUUCAUCCAAGGACCUUGUGCCUCUCACAGGCACAUCAUCAACAUCCAUUUCAGGACCAAGCUCCUCUUGAUUAGGCACCAGGUCUUCUGAAACUGCUUCUGGCUCAUUCUUCUCCCAAUUCCAGCAAGCCUUUUCAUCAAAGAUAACAUCUCUGCUUACCUGAACUUUGCUUGUCAAGGGAUCUAGAAUCUUACAGCCCUUUUUGACUGAGCUAUAACCUACUAGUACACCUGGUUGAGCCCUUUUUGAGAGCUUGUCCCUCCUUGCUGCUGGUAUUUGUGCAUAGCACAGGCAACCAAACACCUUCAGAUGUGCCAAGGAAGGCUUGAAUCCAAACCAAGCCUCGAAAGGUGUCUUGGAAGCAAGAGCUUUGGUGGGAAGCCUAUUCUGAAGGUAGAUAGCAUUGUUUACUACUUUAGCCCACAUGUUCUUGGACAUUUUCUUCUCAAACAGUAGGCAUCUGGCCAUAUCCAUCAGACUUCCGUUCUUUCUUUCAGAUACCCCAUUCUGCUGAGGUGUGUACACAUUUGUAAGCUGGUGUUUGAUGCCAGCAUCAUUGUAGAUGGGUUGGAACUGAGCUGAAGUGUAUUCAGUGCCAUUGUCUGAUCUUAUCAAUUUCAGCUUGCAACCUAUUUCUAUUUCUACAGCAGUUUUGAACUUCACAAACACUCGAGCUACCUCAGACUUGUGUUUCAAGAAGAAAAUCCAACAAAACCUUGUAAAAUCAUCAAUGAAGAGGAUGAAAUACCUAUUUUUGCUAAGUGAUUCAGUCCUCAUCAAGCCACAUACAUCAGAGUGCACCAGCUGCAGUCUUUCAGUAGCUCUCCAUGCUGCAUUUGUAGGAAAUGGCAAUCUUGCCUGUUUCCCCAUCUGGCAAACUUCACACACAUCAUCAUGCUCCACUGAGUUGGUGAAGUUCUCAGCCAAGCCCUCACUGGCCAUUCGAGCCAUUGACCUGAAGUUGGCAUGUCCAAGCCUUUGAUGCCAGAGCUUGGAAUCAUCUGUAGAGGCUGUGUAUGCUGACUUUGAGUCAUUUGGCCAAUGAACCUCAAAGCAUUUGUCAGUCAUUGUGAUUGUCAUAAGGCUUGAUCCACUUGGAUCAGCAAUGAGGCACUGUUUAUCCUUGAACACAACUGAAUAACCUUUCUCAAGCAGUUGAGCUAUGCUGAGAAGGUUUCUGUCAAUCUCAGGCACCAAUAGCACAUUUGGAAUGACUUUGUUGCCUGUAGGAGUACAUAUCAGCACCUCUCAUCUUCCUUUAGCCCUUAUGAACUGACAAUUUCCAACCUUGACCUUAGUUUUACAACUUCUAUCCAAGGUUUUAAACAAGGAGGCAUCUGGUGACAAGUGGUUAGUGCAACCACUGUCCAGUAACCAGUCGUUUGAACAUUUCUUCUCAGCAGCUAAGCAAGAAACAGCAAAGACUUGCUCUUCUUGGUCACUACUAUCUUCAGCCACUCGAGCUUCAACCUUUAGUUGUUGAAAUUGGCUCUGCCUUGGCUUGGUUCUAUUUUUGCAAACCUUUUCAACAUGGCAUUUCUUCUUGCAGUGUUGGCAUACUACAUCUAGUCUGAACCAGCAUCUAUCUUCUGGAUGUCCUGGCCUCUUGCAAUAUCUGCAGGGUUGGUCACUGCUCCUUGCAGCAUCAGGCUUAGGCCUGUUUUUCCAAGGCUUUUUGCCUCUAUGAGUAUUGAUGCUCGAGGCUUCUCUGGCCUUGGCUUGAAAUGCACCUUCCUGGUGAUCUUCAGCUCUGCUAGCUCUCCUUUGUUCCUGAGCAUAGAAAGUGUUAAUUAGCUUAGUCAAAGAGAUGCUAGCAAGGUCUCUUGAGUCCUCUAAGGAGGAUAUCUUUGCCUCAUAUAUUUCAGGCAAAGUGGAGAGAACUUUCUCCACGAUUCUUGCCUCAUCAAAGUACUCACCAAGGAGCCUUAUGCUGUUGACCACUGCCAUGAUUUUAUCUGCAUACUGCUUCACUAUUUCUUCUUCCCUCAUCUUCAGAUUCUCAAAGUCUCUUCUUAAACUCAACAGCUGUUGUUGCCUUGUUCUUUCUGUGCCUUGAAACUCCUCCUUAAGCUUGUCCCAGGCCUAUUUUGGAGUCUCACAGGCCAUAAUUCUGGUGAAGAUGACAUCUGACACACAGUUCUGAAUGCAGGACAUGGAUUUGUGCCUUUUGGUCCUCUCAUCAGCAUGUUGUCAGAUCUGAGCUACUGUGGGAUUGGCCCUCAGUGGUGCUGGCUUAACAUCUGUGUUGACAACUUCCCACAGAUCAAAGGCCUGCAGGUAAGUCUUCAUCUUUACUAGCCAUAUAUGGAAGCCUUCUCCAUUGAAGACUGGUGGGGCUGCUGGUGAAAAACUUGAGGAAGCCAUUCAGUUUUCUUGGUUUGAUACAACAGGUCCACUAAGAAUGCAACUUUGAUACCAAUUGUUGGUGUUUAAGGGUAGCAGCAAGCUAGUUUGCACUUGCUUGGACAGCAAGUGUCAAGCCUUGCUGAAGAAACUAUCGACGAAGAAGAAAUUUUUGUAAUGGAAAAAAGGAAAGAAAGAGAUGAUUUGAAUGAAAAUUGAGCUGAAUUUUUAUUAAUUUUCACAAGAGGCAUAAUGCCAAUACAUAUAUGAGAUAACAACAGCAAAACAAACAAGUUACCACCUAAUAACAUACCUAACACCACUAAUUUGCCUAGUAACUUGGUAAACUUGUUUGAACACAAAACAAGCCACCUAAACUUGUCAUUCAGCACCUAAUUACAUCAACAUGUAGCUACCAACUAAGUUCAAAACAAACUAAAAUACAAAGAGUUCAUUUGAGUAACUAAAUGAAACAAAGCAGUUUCGGUUUGCUGCUUGGAGCACGUUGCCUGCAUGGCCACCUUUGCUGUUGCAUGGGGGCUAACUUCAACAAGUUUACUGAAGCAACCAAACCAUGAUGGGAUUUCUCCAUUGAAGCUAUUAUUACCAAAGUCUAAAUAUUUCAUCCGACGCAAAUUAGUUAACUCAAUGGGUAAAGAGCCUUGGAAACUAUUUUGAUGAAUGUCGAGCCAAGCAAGGAAAGAUAGAUUUCCCAAUUGAGAAGAAAUGGUGCCCGUGAGAUCCAUGCUUGACAAAUUCAGAGCAGUGACUCUAUGGUGUCUAGAUCCACACGUGACACCAAUCCAGCUACAAACGGAGGUAGAAGUAGACCAAUUUGUUGCCAAGAAAUUGUGAGGAUCAUGAGUUAUAUGAGAUUUGAGUGCUAGAAGAGCAGAUUGAUCAAUGGUGAUGCUAGAAUAUUUUGCAAGCAAAAUAACCCCAACGGUUGCGAAUAGCAGUCCAAACAUAAACGGAGGGAGGAAGCUUGGUUUUGCCAUAAAGUUGGAUAUGGGUGUAAGGCACAUCAUAAGGAGAGAAACAACCGAGUUUAAUACUUUUCUAAUGUUAGUUCAAUAUUCUUUAAAUACUUUUGAUUCUAAAGACCAUUGACUCAUAGUUUGAGUAAGAAAUACAUACAAUCUUGUGGGUCCAACCAUGUUAUAGGGAAAAAAAGGAAAGCCAAAAUAGAAGAGUUAGUCUCAAGUUGAAGAGUAGAACUAAUAAUUCAACCGCAUUAACAAAGAUCAUCGUUUGGAUAUAUUAACAAAAUCCGAACUCGCAAUUAUAUCUACUUAUAUGAAGGAUUUAAUUGAAGACAAGUAUAACUUGUUAAAAUAUAAAAUUUCAUCAUUGGUUUUGAUUCUGUGGUGGUGUAUUGUAUGUAUCAGUUGGGGGUGGGUAUUCUUUAUUUUUAUUUUCAUAUAUUGGUGAGAAGCUCAUAUAUAUCCCUUGUGAUUGAACCAAAAAUUGGAAUAUUUUCUUAUUUCUGCCCUCUAUUAUUAUGGAUUCUUCUUUUAUAAGCAUUUUUUAUUUAGUAAUUAAAUUAGUUGAAAUUAAUUUUUUAUCAUUGAACCUUAACAACGGUUUGAAAUUUGAUCUAAGUGAUGACCAGAGUUUUUUUAUUGGUCUAAUAGUAAAUUUAGCCCUCUAAUAUUUAUAUAUUCUAUCAAUUUGAUCUUAAUAAUAGAAAAAUUCAACAAGUUUAGCUUUCAAUGUUUACAAAAUUUGUCAUUUUAGUUUAAAUUCUACAAUGUUCAAUAAAUUUAGCCCUUAAUAUUUACAAAAUGAUAAAAAAAAUUUGUCUCUUUUAACCCUUGAACUAACGUCGUUUGUCAAACCACCUUAAAAUAGAUGUUGACAUGGCAGUUCACAUGCAUGCUAUGUCAUCAAUUGUUUAAAAGAAUUAAAAAAUAUAUAGAAAGUUAUAUAAAAAUUCAAAAAAAAUAUAAAAGUGUUAAAAAUUCAAAUAUAUAUAAAUUAUUAAAAUUUCAAAAGGAAUAUAUAAAAUAUAAAAAUAGUAAAAAUAUUAUCAAGCUUACAUUUCUAAUAGGUAAAAGAGCUUUUCUAAGUUUUCACUUAAAUAAACAAAGCUCUGUUUUCUUCUAACCCUGGGAGCCGCUAUUACUAACAUUGACACUGGUGGCUCCUUCCAGUCACUAUCAAUGACAUUUCAAAUCUAAAAUCCUAAAAUAUCAACACCAGCACUAAUGGCAUAUUUCAAACAAGGUUGAGACAAGUUUUUCAAAUCCAAAAUCUAGAAAUAUCAAUUGACAAUGCUUUGAACCAACAUGCCAUUGGAUUCUUUUAUCUCUUUUUCCAUUAAUGCUCAAUUGGUUAUUAUAAAUGGCUUGAUUCAAAAAAGGUUGAAUGAGUUUUGUUGGAAUGAUUGAUUAUAGUAUUGUUUUUAUUUAGGUUGAAUCAGAUGGUUUAAAAUUUUUAAAGUGUUUGAUUUCUAUUUUUAGUGUUUUUGUUUUAGUGUUGUUUUUGAGAUUAAUGAGCAAAAAUUAAAACUGAGACUUAACUGUGUUGAUUAAUGUUAGGGAUAAAAGUUUUUGGUUUUUGUUCAAUUUUCUACUACUUUUAACUGAGAUUAAAACUAAAAAAAAAGUCAAUUUUCAUUCAUCAGUUUAUCCAAGAAAAAUGUUCUUAGUGUUUGAUUUCUAUUUUUAGUGUUUAAUUGAAUAAGUGGUUUUAAAAAAUUUCAAACAAAUUUUUUUUGUUCACUUUCAAUUUUCAUUCAGGCUUGAAUUUUGCUUUUUAUUUUAUUUUUUAUUUUUGUUGUGCAUUGAUGAAGUUUUUAGAGGCUAUGGGUAUAUUAAACAAAGAAAAAAAUGGUGUUAAUAAUUAAAAAGAAUUAAAACUUAUAAAAUAAUUAAGAAAAUAAAUAAAAACAGGAAAAAAAAUUAGUGAAGUAGCCGUAAAGGUAGAAUGGGAAGGCGGUGUUGGUGAAUGUGGUAUGAUGAGUCGCAGUUGGUUGGAUGGUGAUUUUCAUGCGUUGAGCCAUUAUAUUGGGUUGGUUUUCACACUUUCUUCUAUUUAAACAUGAAUUUUUAAAGAAUGACCAACUUUUUAGACCAUUAAUUUCACACAAGAAAAGUCAUUUGAAGGCUGCAAUAGCAGCACCAUUAUUCACGUUUGGGCGAAACAUUGAAUUAUUUUUCAUCCCCUCCAUUGCUUCCACCCUCUAUCCUUCUCUACUUUUUGCAUAUUUGAAAUCACAUUCUUAAUUUUAAUAAUAUGUAAACCAUAAAUAAAUUAUUUUAUCAAUAAUCAUAAUAUCCAAUGCUUAAACUAAUUUAGUUUAUUUGCUCUGAGAAAUAUCUAGAGACUAGAAUGUUCCCCAUUUUCUGUCAAUCAAGAAAGAAUAUUUGAAUACAUAAGAUUUUAAUAAUGUAUAUUGUUUCAUAGAUGCAUGCAUUUGCAUUUAGGAAACCCAAAGCAGAACAUCAUACCAAUCACAAACCCAACAUCAAAGCAAAAAACAGAAUAGUAAACAAAUCUUCAGCAUGCCAUCACCCUCCCAUGCUUUAGCAAUAGUAAACACAAUUUUUAAACUACUUUCUAAGUCUCAUUUUAAAAUAUUUAACUCUAAUCUUUUAACAACUAUUUUUUCAUUUUAAUAUUAGUUCAAAAUUUUUUUAUUAAAAAACUAUUUUAAUAUUUUUAGAGCUUGUUAACUUAUUUUUAUAAAUUUUGUAAAAUUAAUCUAUGGAUUUUGUAAAACAAAUUGAUGGAGCUUUGGGUUUAGUUGGUAUCAAAUGAUGAAGAGAAAAUUGAAUUUUAAAGUCCCAAAAUACUAAAUAGCAAGACAGCUAUUUUUUUCGUCAGCCAAUAAACAUAUUUAUUUGAAAAUAAAGACAAAAUAUUGCCAAAAAAAGUUGCAAAACCCAAACAAAAGAACAAAUCACCUAGGCAAAUACAAAGGACAAAUCACCAAACCAAAGCUCCACAACACCAAAACAUGAUGACUUGUAAACUUCUCAUAACACACACAAAAAAAAAAAGAAACUCAACCACCAUUUGAAGCCUAUGAAAUUUUCUUUUUAGAAAAAGAAAAAGAAAAUCUCAAAUCUAACAAGUAUUAAAUUUUACUAUCAAAAUAGUAGAAUAUUGUCUUCCAUGUAUAGCUUUAAAUUUAAGUUAUUUGUGAUGUAUACUCAAGUAAAUAAUAAUGUGAUUUCAAAUCAGUUAAAUAAAUUUAGGGUAAUUUACACCAACAGUCACUCAACUUUGGGAUAGUUGACAAAACAACCACUUAGGUUUCAAUUCAGUCACUUAACUUUCAAAAAUAACAAAGUAGUCAUUUUAACCAUUUUCUGUUAUAGACGUAAUGAAAAAGUGACAUGACAAAUGACGGAUUCCUUGUUGUCAUUAACCAACUAGCUGAUCGGUUAGCACCAAUUUAAACAGCCCAUUUAGCACUAAUUUAGAGUUUAGGCAGUAGAAUAAGAAGAGGAGGAGGAGGAAGAGGAGGAGAGAAAAAAUGGAGAUGUCGACUGUGACUCCGGUGUGCUAUUGUAGAAACCUAGCAAAAUUAAACACGUCUUGGUCUAAUGACAACCCAGGUAGGAGGUUUUUUGGGUGUAAGAAGUUUGGGAGUGGGUUUCAAAAACCAUGUUAUUUUUUCACCUGGAUUGAUCCACCAUUGAUGCCCCCCGUUCACGAAUUUUGUUGUUGGGUCUUCUAAAAAAGUGAGGACAUUGGAGGAUGCAAGGAGGAGGGAGAGAAAAACAUGAGUUUUGGUGCUUGUACUUGUAAUAUUGUUGUUAUUUUUUAAACCCUAAACCAGUUUAUGUGAUAGCUGAUGUUGUUGUUGUUGUUAACACUGAAAACCAACUUAUGUGGCUGUUGGUAUCCUGUUUUGUUAUCCAUUCAUGGUUAGUGGAAGCUAGGGGUCCUAAAUGUAAUGGUUUGUAAAGGGUAGAAGUUUGCUUAUGGACUUGAAAGUUGAAAGACUAAUUGUAAUGGGAGAGUAUUUGGUUGUUGUAAUGGUCUGGUAUUCUCACAUAUUUGUAUUUUAUUUCAUUUGAUUUUCUGAAUGUUUAAUCUUCUUUUAAAACUUUAAAGAGUAUUUAGUUAUUGUUUUUUAUUUUCUUACAUUACAUGGAUCAAUGCUUAUAUGUUAGAAGAGAUAAAAUAGAUGGAAAAAAGACAGAAACACAUUAGUCAGCAUUAAACUUCUUUCAUAUAUUAAGGCCAAACUGUUUACAAAAGGAAGGGCAAACUAUUGCCAAAUUCACCUACAAUUCAACAUAUUUGAAUUGUAGGCAACUUUACAAAAUAUUUCAGUGGCUAUAUGCCUAAGUUUAGAAAACAGUAGCAAUCAUAGGCAAAUUUACAAAAAAAAUAAUCUGCCUAAUCUAAGAAAUUAGUUGGUGUGUCGUUGAAAGCACCAAAUAGAUCCUAACCCUAAAUAACAAAAAGAAAUAGUAUAAGGGGAGUAGGGUCAAAUCCUUUAGGACUGGAUCGGUACAGCUUCUUGUUCCUCAAAAUCCUGGGCAUAGUCGUGCCCAAGAAAAAUGUCUAACCUGGAAAAUUUAAAAAAAUAUAUAUAAUUAAGAAUAUGGACGAGUUGAAAUUAAAUAAAUUGAAACUGUACUUGUGAAAAGAAGUAUAAUUAAGAAAAAGGGAUUUUUCAAUUGAGGGAUUCUAACCUUUGGUUAUCUCGAUCCUCCUUUGGUUCAAUCAUAGGCUUUUAGGUGAUCAUUCUCAUGACUGAAUAGGCUUGUUAUAGUGGAAGAAGACACCUAUGACCACCAGUUCCACUUAGGUUAUAGCCUUACGAUUUAGAGGAACCUGACUCUAGCCAACCGUCACUUUCGUGGGACCGUCUUACACUAGAUCAUCGUUUCUCAAUGGCGAAUUCGUCUCUUAGGCUAGACAACCUCUGAUGCAGUAAGUUAGUGAACCAACUGUGAAUCUUCCCAAAACAUACAAAGCGCCCACCUUAGCACAAGAUAAAAAUAUUACUUUUAGAAGGACAUGAAUGGAAGCGUUAGUCCCAUAAUGCAGAGAAAUGAUGAAUACUCGUUGAGAAGGGUUAAGUACGAGUUCUAAGCCUAAUGAACUCUUUUUGAGGAAUCUUUAUAACAUUUGGCUAGACAAGUUUAAUGACUCAUGCUUUUUGGGAAAAAACACAAGUUUUAAUGAAAUAAAAUUUUAUUGAAAAAGAAACAAAAAGGCUAAGAGCCUUAGGGGGAAAGAGUUUUUUACAAAAGUGUUGAGUGAAUAUUCAUGUCACUCCAUCCCCUAUUUAUAGUACAUAAAAAAUCUAGUUUGUUACUAUUUAAACUCUAUAUGAUAAUAUUUAAGAGAUAUAAUUUGAAAUUAAAUCUAAACAAUAUAACAAUUCUAACAAUAAUCCUAAAAAUAAAAUUAAAUUUAAACAAAGUCUUAUGUUCAUAAAUCUCUUCUUCGAAAUUUUACCCCAAGUCUUCUACACUUUGUAUUUUCGGCACUACUUCUUCCCUAUUUUGCAUGCUGACCCGUUUUGUAUUUAAAUUCACGCUUUUUGUCCCUAAAUUUCUUUUUACCUUCAAUUUAGUCCCUACAAGAUAAAAAACCAUAAACAACCAAAAUUAGUAGGAUCAUACUCAAUAUAUAUAUGUAAUUAACACAUAAAAGUAUGUCAUUUUUUAGUAUUAUCACUAGUAGUAGGUAUAGGUCUAGACAAAUUUAGGCAAGUUCAAGAAGUUGACAAAAUAACGUCCUGUUCCCAAUGUCAUCAUUAGUUUGUCAUGGAUGACUCUUGAGUAGAAGGUAUCCAUCUAAAAGUGGUUGGUUUCCUCUUGAAUGGAAGAUUUCCUCUUGGAGCAACAUCUUUUUGGUGAGUUGGGGCAACCUCCUUCUGAGUUGGGGUAGUUUCUUGUUGAUUUGGGGCAACCACUUGGUUGUGAACACCAAAUUUGUGUCUUUUUACCUACAAGAAUAAGUGAAAUCCAUAAAAAAAUUUGCAUUUAUAAGUAAUAUAAUGGAACAAAAGCAAAUGACUUACUAGAAGUUUUUGCUAACUUCUUCUUUGCAACUCCUCUUAUUGUGGCCUUUUUUGUUGCAUUUACUGCACCUCAUUUCCACCCCUCUCUUGGUCAACCUUUCUAUUUCUUGUGGUUCAUCAGAUUCUUUCCUUCUCACCUUAGUAGGUCUGUCAGGUGACUUUCUCAAUGUAGGAGGCAGUAUUGAUAGCAUGUUUGGCAUAGAUGAAGUUGGAGUAAAUGGCAAGCUGGGUUUAUGAAGUUGGAGUAAAUGGCAAGCUGGGUUUGCUUGGUGUACCAAGUUUGUACAUAAUUUUUUGGGAACUCAUCUUUUAGAUGAAUGACACCCACUCCAUGUAUGCAAGGGGUGCCAAUGAGAUCCCAAUUCCUGCAGGAGCAAGAAUUCUCAACUAGGUCCACCACAUGCUGACCACUUGGAUCACAUUCAACCUGAUACCUAUCCCCAAAAACAUGUGAUGGAACACACCUAAAAAAUAAUCACUAUAAUAAUAUUAAAAACAUGUGAUCGCCCCACCAACAAUCAUACAUAAGGCAUAAAUAUAUUAAAAAUGCCAGAAUAAAGACAUACAUGUAUUUGUCCAACAACAUGUGAUCAACCCCACUAGCUAUCAUACAUAGGCAGAAUAAAGACAUCAGUAUAUUAAAAAAAUUAUCUAUUUACCUCAGUGAAUCUUUGAUAUUGACAUCUAGCUUUUUCUUGAUCUUUGGACACAAGAUUCUUUUAAUUUUUUCAGCUUUUUAUUUAUUCUUGACAAUCAACAACAUAAUCUUGGUCUUAAUUGUUUCCAUCAUGGUCAGGAUAGAUUUCCCUCUUGCUUUCAAUAUCACCUGCCAGUAAGUAACAUAAAAGAUUAGUGAAUUACAUGUCCUUAAUGAUUAGUAACAUAAAAAAAAUAGGGGUUUACCUUGUUAAAGCAUUCAGAAAAAUUAUUCACCACCAUGUCAGACUGGCUCCUAAUUGAGAAGUGGGACCUUGACCAGUGAGUAGGGUUCUUUUCUUUCAACCAAUCAUAAGCAUGUUGAUUGGUAUUCUUCAGUUCAGCCAUGACAUCCUCAAAAUCCCUUGGAGUGCUUGCUCUGACAGCUUUCCAAAGCAAAUCUUUCAAUUUCUUUGUUAGGAAACCAACUUUCUUGAAAUUUGAAUGUAGAUGUCUAACACAGUGUCUUGUUUCUACAUUAGGAAACAACAUAUAUAUUUCUUCUAAAAAUCCUGCAAAUAGAAGAAAAAUAGUUUAAUUUUUUGACAUAUCAUAAACCCUAAAUAGAAACAACAUAAAACAAGUAGACAAAUCAACUAGUAUUACCUUUUGUUUGUAAGAUAUGAAAGAUAUCUAGUAUGAGCUCACAAUUUCCAGGUCUAAUGCGAGGAACUCUAAGAACUAGAGCCAUGAUGCUUAGUUUUCACUUUAAAUAGCAGCAUAUGCAAUAGGAUGGAUGUCAUUAUUUGCAUCUAUCCCAAUAGCUGCCAGUAGGUAGCCACCAAAGUAGCCCUUCAAGAAACAUCAAUCUAAACCUAUUAUCCUCCUACAAAAAACCCUAUAGCCAUCUUUGCAUACCUGCAGACAGACAGACAGGCAUUCUUUGAAACAACCUGUUAUCUAGAUAACAGAUUGUUGUUGUUCCCUCAUUCUGGGUCUUAACCUCCAACAAAUAUUCAUAAAUCUUCUCAUAUUGUGCCUUAUGAGCUCCUUCAAUUAAUUCAAAUGCCCUAAGUUUAGCCCUCCUACAUUUGGUUAGUGAGACAAGUCAAAGGAAAUCUUUUUUCACAUCUUGUUGCAAUGAUGUCAAAGAAUAAUCAGGAUUAACAAUGAACUAUUCUUUAUAAUGUUUACCUAUCCAAGAUGAGGUUACAUUUUUAUUUUUAUAGACUUGAGAGCAAAUAAUGUUUACCCUAUUAGACACAUCACUAUCAUAUACAUCCCUAACAGACACAUCAAAAUUAGAUAUUUCUUCUUCAAUCUCAUUAAAAUUAUCAUAAAUUAAAAAUGCCAAACAAAUUUAACAUCAAUAAAGGAAGACAACAACCAAACAAUUUAAUACAACAUGACAGACAAUAACCAAUACAAUAUAAAAGCUAAAGAACAAAUUUAAUCCAAUUCAUAUUUGAAACUAGGAAUAGAUUUCUCUCUUUAUAACCAAACAAUAACAAAACUUGAUACCGUUACUCAUAAAAAUAGUAAAAGAUUUGUCUCUUUCCUAAGGCAAUUAGUAUGCAAAUGACAGACAAUAAGUUACAAAAAUCCAAACAUGCAAUUCAGAUUGAUACAAACAAUAAACAUAUUUUCCAGGUACAUUUAAAAUACUCAUAAAUCAUAUUUGAAUAGAUAAAUCAGUUUGAUACAAACAAUAAACAUGACAUACAUAGUAUCAUGCACAUGGAAAACCAUACACAAUAUCUACCAUUCACUUUAAUAACCAGACCUAAACCCCAUGUGAAUAACAAAUGAAAUCAAAAUUUGUCAUGGACUUUAAUAACAAAUGAAACCAAAAUUUGGCAUAAACCCCAUGUGAAUGCAACAUUUUUCAAAUUUUAAAUCUAGACAACCCUAAAUUGAAAUAACCCUAAAUGCAAAAAAUAAAAAAACCAAAUACAGAAACUUACCCAUUACAGUGGAUGUAACAACAUUGGCAACUUCUUUUCUAUUAACCAAUGUGGCUAAAAACCAAAAACACCGAUAACUUCCCCCUUUUGUCUUCUUUUCUCCCCAAACAAAAAAAAACCAAUUGAUUUCUAAUCCUAAACCCUAUUAAUCAAUUUCCUAAUGGAUUUUCUAACCUUAAACCAACCUUGUUAAUCAAUUCUCCAAUCGAUUUCUAACCUAGAACCCUGUUAAUCGAUUUUCUUUUCCUCCUCCCCUUAAUCACAAUCAAUUUUUUUACCCUAAACCCAUCUAUUAAGCUUUUUCCCUAAACUCGAGUCAAACCCUGACCCUUCCAAUGCUUCACCAAUGUGCAAGUUAAUUGGCCACAUCAGCUAGUUAACUUGCCACAUCAACGGUCCUAUUAAGACAGUAAUGGAAAAUGUUAAUAAGUGACGUAUUUGCACUUUUGAUAACGUUAGUGGCUGAUUUGUUAUUUUUCAAAAAUUGUGUGACAAAAUUGAAACCUGAGUAGUGACUGUUUUGUCAGCUACCCCCAAGUUGAGUGAUUGUUGGUGUAAUUUACCCAUAAAUUUAUAAGUACUUGUGGUUUUAUAUUCAAAUUGAAUCUUUUCGUUAAUUGUAAUUUUCAAAGACGAAAAUUUACGUAGGGUCGCUUUUACAAAUAAAACAUGAACUAUUCUUUCAUAAAAACACUUGUAUAGUAUGAAAAGGACAUGAUUCUCAAUUGUAUAAGUCAAGGUCUUUUAUAAUUCGUAUUAAUGCAUUGUUUAAUAUCAACAAGGAAUCUUUAGCCCCUUCUUUCUAUCUAUGUCUUCCUCCCAUUUUCCUUUGAUGUGAUGGAUUAAACUAUGUAGAGUAACCAAUAAUUAUACCAAAUUCUAUUAAUUUUUUUUGUAUAUUUGAAAUCAAAUUCUCAAUUUUAAUAAUAUGUAAAACAUCAAUAAAUAAUUUCAACUUAAAACAUAUUUCAAUGAAAACGUGUUUGAUGGAGAUCCUCAACAUAUUCUUCCAUUAACCGCAUUGAAAGAAUGACCACUUUUUCCUUCAUUGGUGUUUUUCAUGCGUUGAGCCAUUAUUAAUCUCCCUCAUAUUGGGUUGCCUUUUACACUUUCUUCCAUUCAAACAUGAAUUUGUAAAGUGGCCUCCUUUUUCACCAUCAAUUUCACACAAGCUUUCCACAAGAAAUCUUAUUUUAAGACUGCAUUAUUCACGUUUGGGCCAAACACAGAAUUAUUUUUCAUCUCUCCAUUGCUUCCACCCUCUAUCCUUUUCAACUUUUUACCCUUACUUUCCAUUUUCAUUAUUCAUUGUUUUAUUUAAUAAAAUGAUAUAAUACCUGUUAAGUUGUUCUUAAAAAAAUUAAUGAACGCGAGAUAAAUAAAAUUUAUCAACAUUUAGUUAUAGUGUUUAAAUAUAUUUAUAUUUAUAUUUAAUUAUAUGUGUUUGAAGAUAAAAUUGAUAUAAUUUGUAAAUAUGGAGGGUUAAAUUUAUUGAAUCAUUUUGAAUUAGAAUUAAAUUGAUAGAAUAUAUAAGUAUUGAGGAAUAAAUGUAUUAUUAUAGCAGUUAGAAAAGGCAACAUCAUUGUUAACUAUUUAACGAAGAGUGACCAAAAUAGAAAUAAUCUAAAAUGUGAGAAAACAAAAUAGAAAUGAUUUAAAAUGUUAGUGACUAAAUUAAAAAUUUUCAUAGUUAGGUGACCAAUUCUAUAGUUUACCCUAGAUAGUAGAAGCAAUUAGGAUUAAUUCCACCAAGCAUCUCAAACUAUUACUCAGAUUUUAAAUUGCACCCUAAACUUGUAUACAUUCUAAUUGAAUCCUCAAAGUAUCAAUAUUGUAUCAACCAGGCCCUUCUGCCAAUUUAGCUAUCAAUUUGAGCAUUAAAUGUCAGUUUGGAUAUGAUGUAAAACAUAUUUAAAACACGUGGUUGAAAUUGUAAAUAUGUAUGUAUUUAUCGCAAGGAUAACUAGGAUAUCACAUAUUUAAAAAACAACGGCAAUAACAUUUAAGAAUCUUUUUCAUUUUCUAAAUAUAUGUUUAGCAUGUUAGAUUCAAGUAGUUUAUGGAAUAGAUGCAAACAUAUUUACAAUUUGAUCUACAUUUGUGCUUUUAAAUAUACUAUAUGUUAGAUUUAAAAGUGUUCAUUGGUUGGGCUUGGAUUUAAGUUUUUAACCUUGGACCAGCCCGACCAGGCUCAUUUUAUUAUUAAAAAAUAAAAAUAAUUUUAUAUUAAUAUAUUUUCAUAAUUAAAUUUGAAUAAUUUUACUAUCUUUUAAUUAGUGUAAUGGGCUAUUUGGCCAAGCCGAACCCUAGCCUAGAAUUUUUUUUGAAACCGAGCCUAUGCUAGAUUUAAUCUAUGAACACUUCUAAUUAGAUUCACUUAUUAUUUUUAAAUUAACAAUUAAACUGACAAAAAGACUUAACUAAUAAGAUUUUAAGAUUCAAUUACAUGGUUUCAAAAAUUUAACAUACGAAGUUACAACAAAAAGUUAAACUUUGCGUACAACUAUGUUGUUAGCUUGAUUGAUUUCUUACUACUUAUUAAUAUCUUUUGUUACUUAACAAAUUUGACUUGAAGAUAUUUAUAGCUAUUUCAAAUACUGGAUUUCCGUGCAUUUAUUUUUAUACUUUACAUUGGAUUAAUUAUAUAUUUUGAGAAAAUAUAAUAUUUGAUGCAUUAAACGUAACUAUUAUAAAUAAAUAUUAAUAACUUUCGGAUUUAAGAUGUUGAGUUUAAAGUUUAGGGUUUAGCAUUUAUUUAUAGAUAAUUAUGUAAUAAAAUUAUUAGUAUUUUUAUAAGUUUUUCACUAAUUUUUUGUUUUAUUUAAUAAUGAUGUAUUAUGUUAUUAUUCACUAAGAGUGCGAAUAACUUAUGCACCAAUAAUACAUCAAAUAUUCUCGAAAAUUAAAUUUAUAUGAGAAAUCCUAUUAUAACAAUUUGUAAACAAAAAGUUGUCUAAAAUUUUCCACUACUAAUUUUAGAAAUAAUUUCUGAAUAUAUUUUUCCACUACUAAUUUUGCAUUAUUUUACCUCCUUAUUGAAAUUUUUUGGGUUUUCUUUUUUUACUAAGCCAUAUCAAUUUUAUUAAAAAGAUAGAAAGACAAACUUUACAAACCAGUGCAGCUAGCAAAAACACAUCAGGGAACAUUGCCGUGAGAGAGUGUUGAAAAAAAAAGGCUGCUGCUAAAAAAAACAGAACAAAGAACUGCAACGGAAGCAAUGGGAAUUUAGAGAAAUUGAUAACAGUGAUGCAAAACACUUUAUUCCAUGAAGAGUUUAAAUACUGAAAUAGCUAACAACUUAGAGAUAUAUUAGGACUCUAAUAGAAUCUUGAUACAUCUCCUAAAUAAAAGGAACACUACUGGAAUUAAAAAAACAGACUUACAACAGACUUUGACUGACUCAACGUCUAAAUUAUUCAAUCAGUAAAUAAUUUCUACAUUACCCAUUAACACUCCCCCUUAAGGUAGAAACUCUCCAACACCCAACAAUUCUCUCAAAUAAAUGAACUUCUUCGGUGGAAGUGGCUUUGUGAACAAAUCAGCAACUUGUUCUUCAGUGCAACAGUGCUCCAACUUGAUAUCUCCCUUUGCAACCAGCUCUAUUAUGAAAUGAUGACGUGUUUCAAUGUGCCUUGUUCUACUGUGAUAAACAGGGUUUUUUGUCAUUGCAAUUGUUGACUGAUUAUCACAAUAGAUGGUAGUUGCCUCCACUUGUGUUUGCUUUAAAUCACCAAGAAUUCUUCGUAUCCAGACAGCUUGACACGCAGCAGUAGUAACAGCCAUAUAUUCAGCCUCCGACGAUGAUAAUGCAGUUGCUGGUUGCUUCUUUGAGCUCCAUGAAACAGCUCCGCUACCCAUAGUAAAAACGUAACCAGUUGUACUCUUGCGAUCUUCAAUGCAACCACCCAAAUCACUAUCUGAAAAACCAUACAGUCUUUGAUUGUUAGAGAAUUUAUACCAUAUUCCAAAUGAGCUUGUCCCCUUCAAAUAGCGCCAGAUUCGCUUGGCAGCUCCAAAGUGAUGCUUGCUUGGACUCUGCAUAUAUCUAGACAAGAGACUUGUUGCUUGCAAAAUAUCAGGUCUACUAUUUGUUAGAUACAACAGACUCCCAAUCAAACUUCGAAACAAUUGACAAUCAAUUUUCUCUCCCCCAUCAUCUAAGCAAAAUUUUUGAUUGGUGCACAUUGGAGUACUCAUGAGAUUGCAGUCCUUCAAGUUGAACUUUUCAAGGAGAUCAUUCACAUAUUUUUCUUGAGACAUAAAAAUACCCUCUGCACAUUGUUUAAUUUCAAGCCCCAGAAAGAAACUUAUCAACCCCAAAUCAGUCAUUUCAAAUUCGUCUGUCAUCAGCUUUUUAAACUCAUUCAACAAAGCACUACUAUUGCUAGUAUAAAUCAAAUCAUCAACAUAAAGGCAAAUAAUGAGAAUUUCAGAAGUACCUCUACUUUUCACAUAUAGAUUUGGCUCACUGGGACUUCUUUGAAAACCAUUAUUGCUGAAAUGUCCAUCAAUUCUUCCAUACCAGGCUCGCGGCGCUUGCUUUAAGCCAUAUAGAGCCUUUUUCAACCUAUACACUUUCUCUUCUUAAUUUGUAAGCUCAUAACCUUUUGGUUGCUGCACAUAUACUUCUUCUUCUAAGAUCCCAUUUAAAAAGGCCGACUUGACAUCGAACUGAUAAAUUUCCCAACUUAAUUGAGCUGCAAUUGACAAAAUAACACGUAUGGUGUCAAAUCUUGCUACCGGAGAGAAAGUUUCUUGGAAAUCUAACCCUUCACGCUGCAUGUACCCUCGUGCUACCAGUCUUGCUUUAUGCUUUUGAAUGGAACCAUCAGCCAGGAAUUUAGUUUUGAAAAUCCAUUUUAACCCAACAGCUUCUUUUCCAUUUGGAAGAUCUACUAAUUCCCACGUCUUGUUCCUUUCCAAGGCUUUCAUUUCAUCAUCCAUUGCAUCUCGCCAUUCCUUGGAUUUGAUUGCUUGUUCAAAGACAAUUGGAUCUUCAAUUUGGGCGAAUUGGCAUUGUUCAGUGCUUGCAUAAAUUUCUGCCAAUGAUCUCCAUUUUCUAGGUGGUGAUUCUGAUAAAGAAGAGCUUGAUGAAGUGGUAUUUGGAAUUACUGAAGGACUGUUUGGUGCUGAUGAGCAAGAACUUCCAUCUUCAUUUUCUUGACUCGGAUGAGUGUCGAGACAUUCACCAACUUCAAGUAAUGCUUUUGAACCUGCUUGUAAUUCUUUCCAAUUCCAAGAGCUUUUCUCAUCAAAAACAACAUCACGACUAAUUAAUAGCUUCUUAGAUAAAGGAUUAUACAAUCGAUAUCCUUUAGUUUCAUAACUAUACCCAACAAAGAUACAUUUAGUGCUAUUAUCAUCUAACUUUCCUCUCUUUUGAGAUGGAAUAUGCCCAAAUGCAAUGCAACCAAAAAUUCUCAUAUGAGUUACCUCAGGUUUCCACCCAUUUCAAGCUUCAAAUGGUGUUUUUUGUUCUAGAGCUGCUGUUGGAGAUCGGUUGAGGAUGUACACUGCUGUGUGAACGGCUUCUGCCCAGAAACUUUUUGGAAGAUUUUUAGCUUUAAGUAAGCAUUUUCCCAUCUCAACAAGACUUCGAUUCUUCCUCUCAGCGACUCCAUUUUGUUGAGGACUGUAGCUUGCUGUUAGCUGGCGUUGAAUGCCAGAUUCUUCACAGAAUUUGUUGAAUUCAGUAGAAAGAAAUUCUCCACCACGAUCUGUCUGCAAGGUCUUUAUAGGCUGGCCACUUUGUUUCUCAAUACUUACUUUAAACUUCUUGAAAACUGAAAGAGCCUCUGAUUUUUCUUUGACAAAGUACACCCAUGUCAUUCUACUAUAGUCAUCAACAAAGACUAAAAAGUACCUGUUGUUAUUGAGAGAAAGUGUUCUCAUCGGCCCGCAAAGAUCAACAUGAAUAAGUUCAGCAAGUUGGGAAGCUCUCCUUGCCUUGCCCUUUGGAAAUGAAUCUCGAUGUUGUUUCCCAAAUAUACAGCUCUCACACACAUCACCAAUAUUUUUUAUUAGAGGUAAACCAUCAACUAAAUUCUUUUCAGACAUGAGUUUUAAACUACCAAAAUUUAAGUGCCCAUAUCUGUGAUGCCACAACCAAUUUUCAUCAAAUGAUUCCGCCUUCAAAGCAAGCUUUUCAUCAAUUGUGAGAUUAUAAGGAAAAAUCUUAUUUUUUGCCAUUGGAACACUCGCUAACAGGUGCUUUUUCGAUUUAUCCUUAAAAAUGCAGCAAUUGAAUUCCUCAAAGACAAGUGAAUACCCAUCCACCAUAAAUUGCCCAACACUUAGCAAAUUAGAAUCCAAGUCUGGAACAUACAAAACAUUAUGAACGCAAUUAAGACCUAGGGAAUUCAUCUGUACCGUACCUUUUCCCUUUGCUACACGAACAGUUCCAUCACCAAGCGUUAUUCGGCUAGUUACUAACUUAUCUAAGUUGCUGAAGAGACUUAAUUCACUCGUCAUAUGAUUGCUACAACCACUAUCUAUGUACCAAACCUCAGGAGAACACUUCUUAGCACUAAAGCAUGCAACGAACAGGCUCUUUGUCUCAUCUUCUUCACUAUCUUCAUGAGCCAAGUUAGCCUGCUUCUCUUUAAGCUUGCAAAACCUCUCAAUGUGCCCGAACCUUUUGCAAUAGUAGCAUUGUUUUGGACUACUAUUUUCUCCUUUAUCGUCAUCUCUAUACCGUUGGUUCUGUCCAUUGAAUCGUCCACCAGCCCUACCUCUUCUUCUCCCACGAGAUGAAUUUCCUCCACGCCAGUCAUUGAAGUUUCUUUCGUUGGUGCCCUUUCCACCACGAGAGUAUUGCGACCUACUAUAAAAGGCAUUCUCAACAGACACAUUAUCAUACCUUUUAAUCCUAUCAUCAUGAGAAUAAAGAGAGCCUUGCAACUCAUCAAUUGUUAACACACUCAAAUCUUUUGAUUCUUCUAUAGCUGCAACAACAUGAUCAUAUUUCCUCGGUAAACUCCUAAGAAUCUUCUCAACUACCCUUUGCUCACUUAAAUCCUCACCAUAUUUUUGAAUUUGAUUCACAACAUCAAUUAUUUUUGACACAUAAUCAUCCAGAACAUCAUCAUCUUCCAUAAUAAAAUUAUCAAACUUCCUACGUAGAGUUUGAAGUUUGACAGUCAUCACCUUUGCAGUACCUUGAUAUGCCGUUCGCAGCGUGUCCCAUGCUUCUUUCGAACGCGUCACCGCUUCAAUGCGAGGAAAAAUUGAUUCAUCUACAGCUUGUUGGAUAAAAAACAAAGCUUUAGCAUCCCUCUUUCUUAUAUCUUUGAGAGUCUCAACUGCUGCCUCCUCUUCAUCGUAUCCAUUUUCCACCAAGUCCCAUAGGUCUUGGGACAAAAACAAAGUCUUCAUCUUAGUGCUCCAAACUCCAUAGUUGCUGCCUUGAAAAAUUGGAACCAACGGUUGUGAGAGGUUCACUCCAUUCUGAUUGCUUGCCAUCAUAAGUUUGAACACAGGCCUCGAGUAGCUCGGAUACCAGAUGUUGAAAAAAAAAGGCUGCUGCUAAAAAAACAGAACAAAGAACUGCAACGGAAGCAAUGGGAAUUUAGAGAAAUUGAUAACAGUGAUGCAAAACACUUUAUUCCAUGAAGAGUUUAAAUACUGAAAUAGCUAACAACUUAGAGAUAUAUUAGGACUCUAAUAGAAUCUUGAUACAUCUCCUAAAUAAAAGGAACACUACUGGAAUUAAAAAAAUAGACUUACAACAGACUUUGACUGACUCAACGUCUAAAUUAUUCAAUCAGUAAAUAAUUUCUACAUUACCCAUUAACAGAGAGGACCUAAGAAAACAUAAUACAUACUACAUAACAUACAAUCAAGCACCCACACAAAAUAUAUAUUAAACUGCUACAGAAAAAGGCCUGCAUACCACCAAGCUACGAAGUUUUCUGUUCUGUUUGCAACUUGUUGACCUCGCCAAAGAGUUGCCUUCUCUACCUUUUUGCAAAUCUUUUUCGAACUCGCUCGACGAUCUUGAUUAACCACCAUGGAUUUCCUGUCGUAAAUGCAAUGUACCCCAUGCUCAUUCCCAGAACCAACCCACAUCCAUACCCCAUCAAUAUAGAAAAUUUCCAAUUCAAUUCAUCACCAUCAACAUCAUCUCUAUCAAAUUUGGCUGGAGUUUCCUCAUCAGUAUCACAGCUUUUUGAUAAUGGUAAACCACAUAAAUCCAGAUUUCCAAUGUAGGAAUCAUUAGUGAAAGUAUCAAAUUGUUUGCCUCGAGGAAUGGGUCCCUUGAGAUUAUUUUGAGAAAGGUUUAACACCUUUAAGAAUCCAAGAUUUUUUAACUCUGUCAGACUUCUUCCUUCGAGUUUGUUUGUUGAGAGAUCUAAUGAUUCAAGCUCUGACUAAUGACCUAAAGAUGAUGGGAUAGGACCUAUUAAACAGUUAUGGGAGAGGUUUAGGACAAUAAGUAAAUGAAGCUCACCAAGUAUUUUUGGAAUUUCUCCUUAGAAUUGAUUACUAGAAAGGUCAAUAAUCGUCCAAAUGGAUAAUAGUGAUUCAAACUCUGUUUCCAACCCUUUUGUUGUAAAAGAUAAAGCAAAAGCAGAAUUCAAUGUCUUUUUACCAAGCAGAUCUUUCAUGUACCCUGGUUCAACUUUCUUUCCAUACCCUUCUCUAAUGGCAUGCAAACGUUCAAAAAAAUUGGUAGGUAAGUAGCCACUGAAGUUAUUGCAAGAAAGAUCAAUGAUACGCAAACGAGUUAAGCAAACUGUAACAUCAAAGCUAUCCACUUGGCCAUAAAAUCUAUUCGACCUCAAGAUAAGAACAUGCAGCCGAUCCAAAUUUCCUAACCAAUUUGGGGAAGUGUCAUUCAAAUUGUUGUUUCCAAGAUCAAGAAGGUUUAAAUCUUUGCAAUUAGCCAAAGAUCGUGGUAGUGACCCUUCUAAUUUAUUGUUGUUGAUGCGAAAACUUUUCAACAUGCAACCACGAAAAUUAUUAUUCCCUAGAUCAAUUUCUAAGAUAGAAGAACUCAAGUUUCCAAGGCACUCUGGAAUCGUUCCAUCCAAAUUAUUCUUAGAUAGAUCGAGACCCGUAAGAGAAGUCAAAUUGCAUAUUGAGGAGGGGAUUUUUCCAAUUAAAUUAUUGUCCAAAACUCCAUACCAUUGCAAUGAAGGUGGUGGUGUUUGAAUUCUGCCUUGGAGAUAAAAUUAGAAUAGAGUUAGAAUUAAGGAUUUGAAGAUUUUUUGGAAUAUAAAAUGCAAAAUAACUACAUAUUUUAUGUAAUACAGGUAUGUUGUGUAUAACCAAUAAAAAUAGUUGGUACUACACUACUUCUAACCAUUUUUAGAUGCAUGAGAACAAUUUUUAAGUUGUAAUCUAUCGAAAGAAUCUACUAAUACAUUCUAAACUAAAUUUUAUUUCCAUUACUUAAAAAUAAAAAGAGAUUUCAUAAAUGUAUACAAAUAUAAAAAUAAAAUAAAAUAAAUUAUACCUAACGGUUUGUUGUAAAAGAGAUAAACAUAUGUAAAAGAAGUCAUGCACUCUAUUUCUUUCUUAUUCAAAAAUAUCAACUAUGGCUGAGCAACAAUUAAUUCAACACGUAAAUAAUAAGGCAACUCUAAAGGGUAGUAGAAAUAGCUACUCACAAGUCUGGUCUGUUUCAAAAGGGUACCAAAUUAAAAUUCUAAUCUUAAAUUAAAUAAAAAAAGUAUCGAAUAAUUAAUGAAAUUUCACCUAAAACAUAUCAUUAAAAUUGUCAAAAUUUAUUAUUAUUAUUUUUUAGCAGACCUUAAUUUCAAUGCGGAUAGGUAUAAGUCUGAAACAUAUAAUAUGUACUCUGUUUCUGUGUAAUCAAACCUAGAACUCAUGUACUCUCUUUCUUUCCUAUUCAAUAAUAUCAACUAUGGCUGAGCAACAAUUAAUCCUAACACAUAAAUAAUAAGGUAAAUUUAAAGGCUAGUUACAAGUCUUGUGUGAUUCAAUAAAUUUUCACUAUUCUGUUUUCGAAAGGUAGCAAAUUAAAAUUCAAAUCUUAAAUUAAUUUAAUGGAAAAUACAAAUUAAAAUUUAAUUCUUUUCUCAUCAUCAAAUAAUUUUACUUUAGAAAAUACAAGUUAAUAGAGGUUAACUUUGUUGACUACGUGUGGAUUGCAACAUUAAUAAUUAAUAAUUUAAAAAUAUUAAAAUUCAAAAAAAAUUACUAAAUAUUUUAAAUUAAAAAUUUUUAAGUAAUUAUUGAUGUGACAUACACGUGAACUUCCACAUGGAUGUCAUGUCAGUAAAGUUAAUAGACGUUAAUUUUUCUAUUCAUUUUGGAAUAAUUUGACAAAAAACAAAAACAAAAAUUAAAUAAAUGACUAAAAUAACUUUUUUAUAAGCUUGAAGGACCAAAUAAGUCAUUAGGUCAAUAUAACAUACGAAACCAAGCCAUUACUACAUGGAUACAUGGAAAAAAAAACAAACAUUUUUGCACAUACAGACAUAUUUUUGAAAAAUUAACUCGGAAACCACGCCACAUGGCAUUCAAAAAAUCAUUAAAUCUUUUGAUCAACCAAUGAAUUUUUUUUUCGCUAAUUUAGGAGACUCAAGUAAAGAACCAAGGAAGUUGUUGAUUACGGUAUAAGAAUUGGAAACCAUCAAUGGUGUUAUUGAUGAGGAGAAAAUGAAUGGAAAUCCAAGAGAAGUGUUGAAUUAUCCCACGUUUUUUUAAAGCCAAAAGUAAGAUAUUUAGGAACUAAAAGUUUAUAAAACUAAUUAAUAUUAUAUAAUAAAAUCUAACCAUAAGGUUAGGUGAGAUAGCAAGGGUCUCUUCUACCUUAAUAAGUGGUUGGGGGUUCAAUCCUCACCUUGAGUAUGGACAAACUUUAAAACUCGUGACCAACAUCUACACCUCAAUGACCUACAAAAAAACAGCAGCAGAAUUAUGGAGAAAGUUAGAAACCUUAUACUUGACAAAGUCUCUUGCUAAUUGUUUGGUGCUAAAGUAGCGGCUAUACACAUUCUGUAUAUAAACUGUAAAAUAAAAAUAGGAGGGUUGCUGAAAGUUGGAUCAAAGUCAAGGAAUCAAGACAAGGUAUGUGAUUACUACAAGAAGUUGGGUCAUAUUAAGGCAGAUUGUUAUAAACUGUAAAACAAAAAUACAUACGAGUUAUAUAUAUACGCUUCUUAAAGAUUUAUACGAGUUAGAUCCAGUCAAGCAUGUCAAAGUAUGUAGAAAUAGUUUUGGUCAACCUGUUGGAUCAGAAGCUUGACUUUUAGCAGGCUAUUGAGGCAUCUUAGCACGAAACGCAAAUAUGUUGCCUAUCAAUUACGAGUCAUAGCAUAAAAUGCCUGAUAGUAACAAAAAUCAAGCUCUCGAAAAUAUUAAGGUAACAAAACAUUAAUGUCAUUUAUAAUACUUGGGUUUAAGUUUCAUUUAUAUUUACUUUCUUAACUUGUAUUUUUUGUAGGCAAAGUUUGCUUUAGAGGUCUCCGAUACUUAUGUAAAGAAGGCAUUAGGGAAAAGAUAGAGAGACCAUAAAAGUACGUUAAAGAAAGAUUAUUUUAAGAUAAAAACAAUCCUCGAAGAGAAAUUGCAAAAUGUCCCGCCGGGAAUGCUGAGGUACCAAUGGGAAGAUGCAGCUAGAUUUUGGAAUUCAAAGAAAGGAGAGGUAUUACGAACUUCUAAACUCUUAUAAUUAUUUCGGUUUAUAGUACCUACUAUAUACAUAGUAACCAAUUUCAUAACGUAGGAUCGUGAACGAGUUGGAAAAAGCAGCAGGCAAAAAUAGAAAUUCACUCACACUGCUAGGUUGAAAAGUUUUGCUCGUGUAGUUGAGGCCGAGGUAUUUUGAAUUUAUUAAUAGUGUCAAAUAUUUAUUAUUUUCCAUUAAAUAAUAUUUUUACUACUAUAUUGUAGGAACUAUCGACCGGUCAAAAAGUUCGACGCCUUCAACUUUUUGACAUUACACAUAGGAAGAAAGAUGGAUCUCCUAUGACUUCUGAAGCUGCAGAAGUUUUGGUAUGUUUACUUAAUAAAAAUACUAUCUUAAAAUAUUUAUAUUGUUUAUUUUCUAAUGUUUUAAUUCAUUGUUUAUAAUGAAAAUAUUGUUAAGUUAUGUUGCAUUUGUUUUUAUAAUAUGUAUUGCGUUCCUAACUAUUUCAUUUAUUUAUUAGGAGAAACUAAAUGAUAAAAAGGCGGAGUACGAAGCCAUUGCUUCAAGUGAUAGUUCUGUUCAUAUUGACGACAUUGAUAAUAGGAUUAUUACUGAAGUUUUGGGUCCUGAAAGGUAUGUUCGGGUUCGAUUUCAAGGAUCAUUUGUUAACCCAACCUAAUAUUUUGGAUCCAGCUCGCACCAAUACAUGCCUUCUGGAGUUAGUCUCAAGUUGAAGUUCAGAGGUUAAGAGAACAGAUGGCUCAGAUGCAAGCGACCACAGUUGAGCAAAUUACUCAACUUAAAGCGGAGGCAGCAUCGAGAGAAGCUGGGGUCCAAAGAAAAUAUGAAGAACUCCAACUCCAACUUAAAGCAGAGGCUACAGCGAGGGAAGCAGCAGCAGCGAGGGAAGCAGAGGCAGUAGCGAGAAAAGCUGAGGUUCAAAGAAAAUAUGAAGAAUUCCAGCUAUAACUUAAAUCUGAUGCAGCAGCGAGAGAAGCAGAGGCUGUAGUGAGGGAAGCAGAGCAAAAGAGAAAGUACGACGACCUCCAACAGCAGCUUCAGAAUAUGAUGAAGAUGUUUCAACAGUCGCAACAUCCGCCACCUUAGACAAUCGUAUAAAUAUUGUUACCAAUUUCACUUUUAACAUUAUUGUAAGAAUAAUAUAAAUUAAAUAUCAUUUAUUAAUAUUUAUAUUAUAUAUCAUUCAUUUAAUUUUAAAUAUUUUUUAGAUUUAUUACUUUUGGUUGGUUUUUAUGCUACAGGACGGCUAAAAAUAUAGAAAAUUUUAUAUUACAAAUCUGCCAAAAUUAGUGGCGUUUUAAAAAAAACGUAGCUAAAAGUCACGACCUAUCGUGGCGUUUGUGGAAAAAGCUCCACUAAAGCUCCAGAGCUCUAGCGGUGUUUGUGGAAAAAGCGCCGCUAAAGGUCCUGAUCUAUAGCGGCGUUUAUGGGAAAAACGCCACUAAAGGUCUUGGUCUAUAGCAGCGUUUGUGAAGAAAGCGUCGCUAAAGGUCCUGAUCUAUAGCGGCGUUUGUGAAGAAAGCGUCGCUAAAGGUCCCAAUUUCACAAACGUCGCUAAAGGUCUUGAUCUAUAGCGACGUUUCUGAGGAAGUGCCACUAAAGGUCCUGAUCUAUAGUGGCAUUUUUGGGGAAAAUGCCGCUAAAGGUCCUGAUCUUUAGUGGUGCUUGUAAAGAAGCGUCACUAAAGGUCCAGACCUUUAGCGGCGUUUAUUUCUAAAAACGCCACAAACGUUUGUGGCGUUGACAUCAACGGCAUUUUUGUGGCGCUUGGAAAAACGCCGCAAAUACUUUUAGCGGCGCUAAAAAGCGUCGUUAAAAGCUUUUUUUGGUGUAGUGAUAGGAGGGUUGCUGAGAGCAACGAGAAAGAAGUAGUUGAUGCUAAUAUGGCUGAAGACGAGGGUAAUGAUUGGUUGUUGGUGCCUACAACCGAAAGGUCUAAGUUUACGUUCGAGUGGCUCUUAGAUUCGAUGUGUUCUUUCCAUAUGUGUCCUAACAAUGACAGAUUUUCCACAUAUAAGUAAGUUGAAGGUGAAGUUGUGAUUAUAAAAAAUAAUUCAUCCUGUAAGAUAACUAAUGUUGGUACCAUUCAGAUUAGGAUGCACAACGGGACAACCAGGGCACUGUCAGAUGUCAAACAUGUUCCUGAUUUAAGGAAGAAUCUCAUCUCCUUUAGUAUGUUGGACUCAAACUGUUGCAGAAUCAUCAUUGAGUCAAGUGACAUUAAGGAACAGUCCAUAUAUCCUUCAAGGUUCAAUUGUGACUAGUGUAGCAGUAAUUUCCUCAACAAUUAUGGAGCCAAAGUUGACUCGACAUUGGUAUAAGAAAUUUGACUCUUUCAGGUUAAGCAUUGGUUUUGAAAUUAAGGGUCUUUUAGUUUUGAAUUUCAAACACCAGUUUGGACUUGGUUAGUAUCCAUCAAAGGUUCAGAUAGGUUGUGGCGGGCUUGAAAAAAGAGGUAUGAGAAAAUACGAGUCAAUGUGGAGAUUUGUGGAGUGUGCCUCGUAUUUAUGAUACGACAUCGUGACAAGGAAGAGACAACGUUCGAACGACGCAACACUUGGCAUCUCAACGAGAAGAAAACGAUGUGACAACGUGUUUCCCAAUUCAAUUGAAUUUCUUCUCCUAAUUAAACUCUGCAAUUUUUUCCUAAUCAAACUCUGAUUAGUCUAGGUUAUUUUAGUCAUAUUUAAUGUACAAAUUUAGCUUAUAAAAGAGGCCUUUGUAACCUAGAAUAAUCACUUCAGAUUAAUCUUCCUCAUCUUUAAGAUUGAAAGAGUUUUGUGAGCUUUUAAGGGAAUUUCAGGUUUUAGCUAGAGUGCUUUAUUUUUCAGGGUUUAGGGUUUCUGUUAAGAUUAUCUCCAUCUUGUACUUUUUCAGUUUUUGCUCAUUAAGUAAAGUCUCUUUUGUCCAUGAUUUUUUGUCCUCUUCAUUGGAGGAAUUUUUUCACGUAGAUAUUUGUAUGUUUGAUCUUCUCAACUUUUAUUUUCUCGUUGUUUAUACAGGUCGAUCCCAAAAAAUACUACUAUGUUAAGAAACUAAAAGAUUGAAAAACUAAAAUAAACUUGUAAUCACUGAAUUUUGUCCGGGACGAAUUUCGUGUUAUUAAAAAAAUGUUGUUUGACCCGACCUGACCCAACUCAACUCAACCCGAUCCGACCCAAACCCGACCCGAAUAGCAGCUCCAGCCCCCAGCAGCAGGCCAACAGCAGGCUAGGCCCACUCAGCAGCCCAAUAAAAAAAAUAGCAGCAGAAAAAAAGGCCAAGCAGCCUAAUCCCGCGAGCCCAAUCCAUAGCAGGCCAGUCCAACAACCAGUCCCAGCAAGCAACAGGCCUGUCCAGUCCAGGCCCAUCUACCCCACUAGCAGUAGCCGGCCCAUCAGCGCCCAGGCCCAGAGGCAGCAGGCCAGAAAAAAGAAAGGAGAAAAAAGGAAAAAAGAAAAAAAAGGGAAAAAAAGGAGAAAAAAUAAAAAAAGGAAGAAAAAAAAGCCCAAGUCGUGUGACUCGUUCAAUCAAGCUCGUAUUUUUGAGCUUUUUGGUAAUCUCUUUUUUUUUACCUAUUUUUAAUUUAAUUCGUGUAUUUGAAUGAUAUUUUUAAUAUUGUUGGUAUAUUUUUUAGGCAUUUUUAUGUUUUGUAAUUUUUUUAAUUUAAUUUAAUUUAAUUUUUAAAAAAUUUUAAUAAAUAAGGCAACAAAUCGAUUUAACCUUAAAUCGUUGUUUUCAUCGCUAUGUUGGGUGAAUAUCAUCGGUUUGUGUUAACUAUGAUACGCCCUUUUAAAAAAUCGAAAAUAUUCAAAAUUUACUCGGGUUUUAAAAUAAAAUGUUUAUUUUUGUGUUUUUUUUUAUUAUGAAAAUUUCAUUUUUAAAUGUACAAUAAUAUGUAAUGUUUCAAAAUUCUCGUGUUUAAAAAAAUUUCUCGUGUUUCAAUCGGAUCACGAUUAAAUAAUUGAAUCGAUUUGACACUAAUUCGUUGAUUUCAUCGCUAUGUUGGGUGAAUAUCAUCGGUUCGUGUUAAAUACGAUACUUCUUUAAAAAAAAUUCGUGUUUAAAAAAUUUUCGUGUUUUCAAAAAAUUUUCAUGUUUUCAAAAAUUUUCGUGUUUCAAAAGUUUUCGAGUUUCAAAAAAAAUUCUUGUGUCUCAAAAAUUUUCGUGUUUUCAAAAAAAAUAUUGUAUUUCAAAAUUCUCAUAUUUUUUUUAAAAAUUCCCGUGUUUCAAUCGGAUUACGAUUAAAUAUUAAAUUUGACUCGUAUUUUUUAAAAUUAAGACAACCCGAGUUUAACGAGAUACCAAUUUUGGGCGUCGCGAGGGUGCUAAUACCUUCCUCGCGCGUAACUGACUCCCGAACCCUAAUUUUCUUUGGAUUUUGAUGUGGACCUAAAUCGACUCUUUUUUUAGAAAAUUUGAAAAAUAAUUUUUCUUUUAAAAAGAGAAUUUAUUAGGUGUCCGAUCACACCCAAAAAAGGAUCGGUGGCGACUCUCUUUUUAAAUAAAAUCGAAACUCUUUUUUCAAAUUUUCAAUAAUUACUUCGACUAGCGCCCGUGCAAAAAAGUUUAGGUCGCUACAAAACUAAAACAAUAUAUUUAAAAAAGAAAAAAGAAAAAAAAAGUUCUACCGCAAUUAGAUCUUUGUGCAAGUUACAAUGAAUGAAAAUAGUUUUAGAUUGGUUUCUCACAAACACUGACUUCUAUUCUUAGCUUUAGAUUGUGUUUACUGUUAUCGCCUACUUCACUAUUUACUCAUCUUUCUUGUUAAGUCAAUCUUUAGGUUUUGAAAAAUAUGAAACAAACAAUAUAUAUAGACAUAUCUUUCUGAAAAUUUUACCACAUAUGGUCACCAUCAAAUAUAAGAACCUAAGAAAAUCAUUACUUUGAUUAAUUCAAGACAAGUACAAAACAACAGUUGUGGAUGGACAAAUAUAUUAAUCAAAGAAAAAUGAUGGAUCAAAAGCCAAGAUAAAGCCAAUUUCUACCAUAAGGUUAAGGUUUGCUGUGGGUAUAAGGCAAAUCAUAAAGAGAGGAAUAACUAAAUUUAAUAAUUUUUAAUCGUUGUUCAAAAUCUUUAAAAUUUUGAUUCCAAUGAUUUAGGCACAACAUCCCUUGCCUCACAAUUUAAGUAAAAAAUAAAAAAAAUAUAAUAUUGUGCUUAAAAGUUUUCAUAAAUAAAGUGGCUCGACUUUCUAUGAAUCAGACUCAAAUUUAAUUAUUGUGCUUAAUUUAAUUGUUAAAAAUUAAAUAUGAUAGAUGUAAGCCCAUGAACACCUCCAAUUUCACUUCAACCAUAAUAUUACCCAACACAAAAUGAAAGCGUAAAAUGCAAGAGUUAGUCAAUAGUGGAACUUAUAAUUAAGGCCCCAACUAGAUAAAAACAGAUUCAAGAUAGCAAUGUGAAUAAAACAGAUUCAAGAUAGCAAUGUGAAUAAAUUAUAGAGUAAGUAUUGCAUGAAACAAUUACAUCACAUUAGCGUAGGCUUUUUGCAAUCAAAUCAUGCUACGUAAUCAUAUUUCUUUAAAAAAUCAGCUAUUUAUUAAUUUAAUCAUUAAUAAAUUGUUGACUUGAACUGUAUCAUUUAAUUAUCACAUGUAAUGUAUAAUUUAAUUUAAUUUAAUUUAAUUUAAUUUAAUUUUCAAGUUAUUCACGAGAGCGAACCAACAAAAUAAUUGAUUAAUUUACUUCCCAACAUUUUACGUUUUCUAGAUGUUUAAGAAAGACCAAGAUUUUAAUAUAUUAAAAGGAAAUUACUACAAUUACCUUUCAACCUAAACUUUAGGUAAUUUUUAUUUUGAUUAUGGAUUGUAUAAAUUUAAUAUAAAAAAGAAAAAGAAAAAGAUGAAAUUAUAUCAGUUAAUUUAUUAUUUGAAAGAUAAAGUUCUUGGAGAGAAAUUAAAUUUUCAAUACUAGAAGGAAUUUCACCUGAAACCUAUAAUUAAACUAAUCAAAAUUUACAAAUAAGUAAAACAAGUUUAAUUGACCUUUCGAGGAUCAUUCUUUAUAUGAAAUUUUAGUACUAAAAGGAUCAAAAUAGUCCAAAAGUUGCCAACAGCAGCAGAAACUUAAAAGGGAAAGGAAGCUAGUUUUUGCCAUAAAGUUGGGUUAAUAUUUUGGUUAUAAGGAAAAACAAUUGAGUUAAUAUUUUUUUAAAGUUAGAUUUAAAUAUUUUGAUUCUAAAGAAAUCCCAAAAUGCAAGACUUAUUAAUUCUCAAAUUCAACAGUACAUCCAAUGGCAAGACAGCAACGCAUUCUUAAAAAAAAAAAAUCCACAAAUAAAGACAUCCAAGGCAAAGUGGCAAACAAGACAUUAAUUACAUACUUUUUUACAUAAAUAUAAUUUUAUUUAGUGUUGCUAGGCAUUAGUUUGUUUUAUAUUAAAUAUCAUACAUGCAAAAUCUAUUUAUAUUAAUUAUUUUACUAACUUAUAAACAGUGAAUCUAAACAAGUUUGACUACAUCAAGUUAAAAAAUUUUAAAAUUUUCAAAUUUGAAUCAAUUUAGGUGAUUUCAUUUAACAUUCAAAUUAUUUAGGUCUGGGUCAUUUAAGUCAUGUAAUUUGUUAUCUAAAUUAUUAAAUAUCUUUUUACCAUUAUUUCUUAUAUUUUUCUCACGUUCAAAGUUGUUGAGUAUCAAAUGCGUCAUUAAUUUUUUUCCUUUCAUCCAAAAGUAUUAUAUUAAGAGAUUAAAUUAUUAUAAGUUAAUUAAUAAUAUAUUAAAAAAUUUAUUAAUAUGCGUGAAAUUUAUAUUUUUAAAAUAUAAAUUUGUUUAAAAUUAAUAUAUAAUCAAUAAUGAAACGUAUAGUUCAAAACUAAUUAAUAACAACACAUGUAAUAAGUAUGAUGUUAAAAUGAAAAAAAAUAGAUUUAAAUUAUUUAUUAAGAUGGUGUCAUCAAUCUUGAGUUAGUGUUGAGUUAACUUGUGACACCAACACAAUAAAACACCUUAAUAAAUAACAUAGAUUUACAAAUCUUAAAUUAAUUUAAUAGAAAUUUUAAUUCUUUUCUUAUCAUCAAAUAAAUUUACUUCAGAAAAUAGAAGUCAAUAGAGGUUAGUUUUAUUGGCUACAAGUGGAUUUGCCACAUCAACAAUUAAUAAUUUUUUUAAAAAAUAAUAAAUUAAAAAAAUAUUACAAUAUUUUUGAAAUACUUUAAUUAGAAAAAUUAUUUAAUUACUGAUGUGAUAUACACGUGAAUUGCCAUAUGGAUGCCAUGUCAUCAAAGUUAACAAGCGUUAACUUUUCUAUUCAUUUUGGGAUAAUUUGAUAAACAACACAAGUUUAAAGGCUAAAAAAGGUAAAAAAAAUUAAAUUAAAUGGAUGACUAAAAUAACAUUUGUGUAAACUUGGUGUAACGCCCCAAAUUUUAUUACGUUUGGAUUGAUAAAAUAUGUCAAAUAUUUUGAUUUGGUUUGGUGGUUAAGUGCCUUGAAUGUCUACUUUGGGUCUUGAGUUUCAUUUCCUUGUUUUGAAAAUUUUUCAUUAAUUUUGGAGUUAUGUCAAACUUGGGCCUUAGGGCUUAUCUUUUGAUUUCGUGAUUUGUUGACAAGGAUGAGUCUACUUGUUUAGUGGCAAUGCUUCAGCUUACCCCUAGGUCUUAUUUUUGAAUUUAGUUGAGUUAGGAUAUUAUUAGAAUAUAUUGAUUUUUAUUCUUAUUAUUUUUUUCUAAAAGAUAUUAUAAAAUUCUCCCAAUUUCUCUCCUUCCCAAACCAUCCUCUACUCCCUCUCUUGUCACAUUUUCUGUUUCUUUUUCCUUCCUUCUUGCUUCUUUUCUUUUAAAAUGUGAGUGACCAAAAUAUAAUGAUCUAAAAUAUUAGUGACUAAAUUUGAAAUUUUUAUAGGUGAGUGACCAUAACAGAAACACGCUAAUAGUUGGGUGACUAAUUCUAGAGUUUACCUAAGAUGGUUAAAGAAAUUAGGGUUAAUUCUACCAAACAUCUUAAACUAUUACUCAGAUCUUAAAUUGGAACCUAGUCUUGUAGACAUUCUAAUUGAAUCCUCAAAGAAUCAAUUUUGUAUCAACCAGGUCCUUCUGUCAAUGUAGCUAUCAAUUUGAAUAUUAAAUAUUAGUUUGGAUAUGAUGUAGAACAUAUCUAGAACCCGUGGAUAAAAUUGUAAAUACGUGUGUAACUAUCGCAUGGAUAACUUGGAUAUCACGUAUCAAGAAACAGUGCCAAUAAAAUUUACAAAUUUUGUUCCUUUUUAAAUAUAUUUUAACACAUUAGAUUCAAGUAGUUUAUGUAGUAAAUGCAAACAUGUUUACAAUUUGAUCUACACCUAUUCUUUUAAAUAUACUAUAGGUUAAAUUUAGAGAUUUUCAUGGGUUGGACUUGGACUUAAGUUUUUAACCUCAGGUCGGCCCGAACCAUUUUACUAUUCAAAAAAUAAAAAAUUAUAAAAAUAAAUUUAUAUUUAUAUAACUUCCUAAUUAAUUUUAAAUAAUUUUAUUAUUUUUAUACCGUGUUUAAGUCUCAUUCACCGUUAAUCAAUCAUAACAUGACAUAUCAUCAUUAAAUUAAACCAAAAAUUAUGAAGGACUUCUGCCCCAACGGUGCAUCAAAUAUUUUCCUUAAAAAACUGUAUAAAUUCAAUUUUAUACGAGUAAUCCUAUUAUAAGCAUAUGUAAUUUGUUAAAAGAGUUGCUGAAAAUUUUUGAAAUUAAUUUUAAAAAUGGUUUUUGAAUAUAUUUAUCCAAUUAAAUACAUAAAGAUACAUGAAUAUAAUCAUAUCUAUAAUUUCACAAAAAAAAGAAUUACAUUAAUCUAAACCAAGUCAUUUUUUUAUAGAUUCAAUUCCAAAUCUCUCAUAUAAUAAAUCAACCUCAAAAAAUAUAUAUUCGAUAAAUCUAAUUCAAGAUAAAAAUAAAAACCACAUGUAUUUAGCAAUUAAAACCAUGUUUCAAAUUCAAUCCAAAAGUAUUGAAGAUAUAAUUUUGCAUUAUUUUACCUCCCUUAAUUCUUGACAAACUCUUUGGAACAAAUUAACCAUUCUUGGAGUAUCUAUUUCUUAUUGUUAGAAUUAAGUGACCUGAAAUUUUUUUUAAAUAAAAUACAGUGGUAAAAUAAAAUAAAAGUAAAAUCCAUAUAGAACUAUACUUCUUUUAUUUUAUUUUAGAAUAAGGUUUUUUAAACCUUAUUAAACUCCAUCUAUUUGAUAUUGAUUAGAAUAAGGUGUUUUAAUCUUACUACAUUCCUAUUAGAAUAUGGUUUUACAAGCCUAUAAAUAGACAUAGUCUACUCCUCUUGUAAUCAUUUGAAUUUGACAUAUGACUUUUCUUCUCCUCUGCCCGUGGUUUUUUCCUGAAAUGGUUUCUACAUAAAAAUCUAUGUGUUCUUUAUUUUUCUUUCUUUUUUCUUUGCGAUAUAUUGUCAUUAUCGAUAUUCUAUUUUUUACAAAUUGGUAUCAAAGCUUCCGGAUUUUUCAUCUCAAUCAAGGUAUGGCGUUUUUGAAGUAUGAAACUCCGCUGUUGGAACUCAACACCAGAUUCGCAUUCUAGCAGAUAAAGAUGCAGACAGUUCUUGCAUAGAUUGACUUAGAGGAAGCCCUGCUAAGGGUAGAUAAGAUGCCUUUGACAUUGACGGAGGAAGAGAAGAAGCGCAAGGGUCGAAAGGCAUUGACACAGUUACAUCUACAUUUUUCUAACGAAAUUUUGCAGGAUGUGAUUAAGGAGAACAAUACCGCUAGAUUAUGGAAGAGGCUAGAACAAGUAUGUAUGUUAAAAACUCUAACCAGCAAACUGCAUAUGAAGCAGCGUCUUUAUGCUCAUCGUUUGGAGGAAGGUGCGUCUGUGCACGAACACUUAACAAUGUUUAAAGAAAUUCUCUCAAACUUGGAAGUGGUAGAGGUUUAGUAUGAUAAGGAAGAUCUAGGGUUGAUUCUACUUUGUUCGUUUCCCCCGUCUUAUUCAACCUUUAGAGACACAAUUUUAUAUAGCCGCGAGUCUCUCAUAGAUGAUGAGGUUUAUGAUUCUUUGACCUCGUAUGAUAAGAUAAAGCAUCUUAUGGUUAAAUUUGACUCUCAUGGAGAGGGUCUCAUUGUUCGUGAGAGAUAAGAUCAGAAUGCUGAUGAUGAUCAUGGAAUGACACAAGAACAAAAUCCUCACGGUAAAUCUAAGGGUAGAUAGAAGUCUUCAAACAUAGGUAAAACUUGUAACUUUUACAAGAAAAAAGGGCACAUUAAAUCUGAGUGUUAUAAGCCACAGAACAAGAUCAAAAGGGUGGCUGCAAAUAAAAUAGGAAAACAACUAGAAAAUUUUGGUGAAGCUGAUGUUGUAGAAGACUACAACGAUGGUGAACUUCUUGUCGCUUUUGUCAACAAUUCUAAAGUGAGUGAAGAGUGGAUCCUUGAUUCAGGUUGCACUUUCUAUAUGAGUCCCAAUUGAUAUUGGUUUACAACUUAUGAAAUAGUGUCUAAAGGUGUUGUUUUGAUGGGAAAUAAUGCUUCGUGUAAAAUCAAAGGUGUUGGAACAAUUAAAGUUAAGAUGUUUGAUGGAGUUGUCAGAACACUUAGUAACGUACGACAUGUUCUAGAAUCGAAGAGAAAUUUAAUUUCGUUGAGUACUCUUGAUUCAAAACAGAACAAAUACACAACUGGAAGUGGGGUUUUGAAUAUUUCUAAAGAUUCUCUCAUUGUGAUGAAAGGACAGAGAAAGAUUGUCAAGUUAUAUGCUUUGCAGGAUUCUACUGUUACUGGUGAUGCAGCUGUCGCAUCCUCUUCCUUGUCAGAUGAUGCUAUUACUAAACUUUGGCAUAUGCGCCUAGGGCAUAUGAGUGAGAAUGACAUGGCAGAAUUGAGCAAAAAGGACUUUUUCAUGGGCAAAGAAUUUGUAAACUGAAGUUUUGUGAGCACUGCAUUUUUGUGAAGCAAAAGAGAGUUCAAUUCACUAGAGGAAUCCAUAACAUGAAAGGAAUGUUGGAGUAUAUUCAUUUUGAUCUAUGGAGGCCAUCUAGAGUGCCUUCGAGAGGUAGAGCUAAUUAUAUGCUAACUUUUAUUGAUGAUUUUUCCAAAAAACUGUGAUUGAAUAAAAAACGGGAAAGCAAAUAAAAUACCUUCAUACAGACAACGACUUAGAGUUAUGUUUUGAUGAGUUUAAUAAACUAUGCAUGUCAUAAGGGAUCGUGAGACACUUGACAGUUCGUCAUACUCAGCAAAACAGUGUUGCAGAACAAAUAAACAGAAUGAUCAUGGAGAAGGUUCGAUAUAUGCUAUCAAAUGCCAACUUACUUAAGUCAUUUUGGGCCAAAGCAGCUUCUACUGCAUGUUUUUUGAUCAAUCGAUCUCCAUCUGUUGCCAUUGAGAAAAAUACUCCACAAGAGAUAUGGUCUGCUAAUUCUGCCGACCAUUCUGAUUUAAAGAUUUUUGGGUGUCUUGCGUAUGCUCAUGUUAAUAAUGAAAAAUUGGAACCGGGAUCCAUUAAAUGUGUUUUUCUUGGUUAUAAAGCUGGUGUAAAAGGGUAUAAGUUAUGGUGUCCUGAAAAUAGAAAAGUUGUGAUUAGCAGAGAUGUUUUUGGUGAAAUUGCUAUGCUACCUAACUUAUCUCUUAAAGACUCUUCCAAUAAAAAAAAUCAAAAGCUGAUGGAGCAUCAAAUUAAUUUAAAAUCUACAACAGAGUUGACUCCUCAAACCAGUACAAAAAUCUAGAAUAGAGUUGUUUCUUCACCACAGUACUCUACCGCCAAAAACAAAACUAGAAGAGAAAUUAAACCUCCAAAGAAGUAAGUCGAGGCUGAUCUAGUUGCUUAUGCUUUAAAUGUGGCUGAAAAUAUAGAUGCAAACCAAGAGCCAUCUAAUUAUUUUGAGGUGAUUAGCUGCGAAGACUCAGAAAAGUGGAUGUUUUCUAUGCAAGAGGAGAUGAAAUCACUCCACAAAAACAAAACAUGGGAUCUUGUGAAACUUCCUAAAGGUAAAAAGGUUGUUCGUUGUAAAUGAGUGCUAAAAAAGAAAGAAGGGACUCUAGGAGUUGAAGACCCCAGAUAUAAAGCAAUGCUUGUUGCAAAGGGUUACAGUCAAAUUCUAAAAGUGGACUUCACAGAUGUGUUCUCCCUAGUUGUGAAGCAUAGUUCAGUUCAAGCUUUGCUUGGUAUUGUGGUCAUGUAUGAUUUGGAGCUUGAGCAGUUAGAUGUAAAAACUGUAUUUUUGCAUGGAGAACUUGGGAAGGUUAUUUGCAUGCAACAACUAGAGGGUUUUACAGUCUCAGAAAAAAAGGACUAUGUUUGUGGAAACACGAAAAUUUAUGUGUUUUUACAUGCCCUUUUUAACUUAAAAUCAUGAUAUUUCGGUUAAAUUCUUGUCAAAAAAUAAUUAAUAAUUAAAUUAUGUUUAAAAUAUGAACAUGAUGUAUUUUAAUUAAUUUUAUAGUUAAUUUUGAUUAUUUUUUUACUAUUUUCGACAGAUUCGCACAGAGGGCGAAAAUUGGCUUGGCAGACAAUGCUCGAAGAAUAAAAUCGAGAAGCAAUUUGAAGCAUCGAGAAAAAUUUAUUUCCAACCUAAGAUGGUCUAAAAAUGUGUGUUAAUUCAUAAUAUAAUUAAUUUUAAUUUAUUUCCAAUUUAAUUUGGGCUAAAUAAAUUAUUAUUAUUAAUUAAUUAUGGAAAAAAUGGUCUAAUUGAACCGCAUUGGUUGAACCACAUCUAGUGAACCGAACCAGCCACCAAUUGGGCUGCCCAGAACCAUCCAUAUGCUGACCCAAAUCAGCAUUUUAGCUGACUAAAUAAGCUUGCAAAGAAGCCCUUGAAGAACUUUCAACCUUGCAUUCAAUCCCCUCCAAAAAAUGUGGCUUUAUGGAUUUGCCCCAGGCUAUUUUUAGCAAAGUUGAAUCUCUCAACUUUGCCAUGUGUGUGGCCGGCCAAGGGGGGUCUCUUCGGCUGAUCGAAUUUUCUAUUUUUACCAUCCACAAUCAGCUAUAAAAGCCACCCCUUGCUGAUCAUUCAACUCAUCCCUCACACUCUCAUUCUCUCUUCUCCUCUCUUACUUUCUCUCAACUUUUCUUUUCCAUUUCCCCCUUUUUUUUCAAGUGCCGAUUUCUUCUCUUGGGAAAGAGGUCCUCAUCAGCCAUUGUUGAGUAGAAAUUAAAGUAUUCAUAAGCCACAUUGAUAGCUGAGGACAACAAAGAACGAAGAACGGACCAAUCAGUCAAGCCACGGAGAAACACCAGAUUUGCUUCUUGUUCCCUAUCUCUUUAAAUUCUGUUGUUGUUUUGACAAACAUGUUUAUGAAUAUUUAUUCUAUUCAAAUGGUUAUUUUAAUCAAUUUAUCUUGAAUUUAAUCCGUGUUGGGUUGAUUAUAUUUUGUCUUAUUGAAUUAUUGAAAUUGUGUUUGUGUUGUUAUAGGCCUCGGUAAGAUGCUUGAUUAAGUAAAAUAAUGCCUAAGUUAUUCUUGCAAUAUUAAUUGUUAAAUAACUGAUGAAUUAAAUAUUAAAUCGUAUUGAAAUUGUAAUUAAUCAACACAAUACUUAAUCAGUGCAUGUUUAUUCUUCUAAGGUAGUUGAAGUUAAUAUAGCAUUGUAUUUGGCGACACAUAUGCCUUGCAUAACUUGCAAGAUUGUUGUGAUUAAACUGUUUCAAGGUAGAAAUACUCUGUUACCUCACUUGAUCUUUUAUAUGCUUGUGAAGAUUGAUUAAUUGCUUAGAUUGACAUUGAAAAAUGUUCAAGAGAUUGAUUAAUUUAAUAAGUAUGUAUGAGCAGUAGUUAGCAAAUUAUCGAGUUUCCGUGAAUUUGUCGUAGCAAUAUAAACAUAAGUUUAAUAAUUCUAAGUUAAAGGAAUGUAAUUAAUCCAACACAAUUGUAUCAUCUUAAUUAAACCUUAUUUGAAAUCGUGCAUUAGAACCUUUUGAUUUUUAAAUUUUUUUACUUAGUUUUUAACCCUUAGUUUUUAAUCAUCUUUAAACUAAAAUAUUUUCCAUCACCAAAGUGUUUUAACAUUAAUUUCAUAAAUAUUCCUUUGUACAGUCCCUGUGGGUGUGUACGAUAACUCGACAUUUACUUGUCAAUUUAUUACUUGUUGCAGUUAUGUACACUUGCACAUUUUUGUCGUUCCAGUUUGCUGCUGAAAAAGUCCCUUUACGGUUUGAAAUAGUUACCAAGAUAGUGGUACAAUAUGUUUGAUUCUUUUAUGACUUCUCAAGAUUUCAAAAGAAGUAGCUUUGAUAGUUGUGUUUACUUUAACAAAAACAAUUACGGUUCUUUUGUGUAUCUACUCCUUUAUGUUGAUGACAUGUUGAUAAUAGCAAAAGAUAAAGGAGAGAUAAUAAACAUCAAAGGCCAACUAAGUGAAGAAUUUGAGAUGAAAUAUUUGAGACUAACAAAGAAGAUACUUGCUAUGGAGAUUCUAAAAGAUAGAAAAUCAAGUAAAUUGUACCUAAGUCAGAAGGCGUACAUUGAGAAAAUUCUUUGCAGGUUCAAUAUGCAGAGUGCUAAGCCUGUUAGUACUCCUUUAGUAGCCCAUUACAGACUUUCAUAAACUUUGUCUCCACAAUCAGAUGAUGAGAUUGAGUCUCCACAAUCAGAUGAUGAGAUUGAGUACAUGUCACAUGUUCCAUACUCUAGUGCAGUGGGAUCUCUCAUGUAUGUCAUGGUUUGUUCACAUUCAGAUUUAUCAUAUGCAAUCAGUGCAGUUAAUAGAUACAUGGCGAAUCUCGGUAAAGAACAUUAGAAAGCAAUUUAGUGGAUUUUAAGAUACUUAUGAGGUACUACUGAUGUUUGCUUACAAUUUGGAAGAACUCGAGAUGGAGUCAAUGGGUAUGUUGAUGUUGAUUUUCUGGAGACCUUGAUAGAAGAAGAUCUCUCAUAGGUUAUGUCUUUACAAUUGGAGGUUGUGCAAUCAGUUGGAAAGCCAAUUUGCAAACUACAGUUGCUUUGUCUACCACUAAAGUUGAGUACAUGGCGAUUACUGUGGCUUGUAAAGAAGUUAUUUGGUUGAAGGGACUCUUUAAUGAACUCAGUGACAGCCUUUAAAUCAGUACAAUAUUUUGUAACAGUCAGAGUGUCAUCUUCCUUACAAAAGAUCAAAUGUUUCAUGAGAGAACAAAACACAUUGAUGUUCGGUAUCAUUUUGUUCGUGAUAUUAUUGCUCGUGGUGAUAUAGUUGUGAACACAAUUAAUACUCAUGAAAAUCCUGCAGAUAUGAUGACUAAGUCACUUCCUAUAACCAAGUUUGAGCAUUGCUUAGACAUGGUUGGUGUUCAUUGUUGAAGUUAAACCCUUAAGGGGUUUUAUGGAAGAGGUAGAGAACUUGUUUCUUGAGAGUUCACAAUAAAGAACUUGUUCAUUGAGAAUUUGUGUCAAGGUGGAGAUUGUUAGAAUUAAGUAACCCGAAUCCUUAUUUAAAUAAAAUACAGUGGUAAAAUAAAAUAAAAGUAAAAUCCAUAUAGAACUACACUUCUUUUAUUUUAUUUUAGAAUAAGGUUUUUUAAACCUUAUUAAACUCCAUCUAUUUGAUAUUGAUUAGAAUAAGGUGUUUCAAUCUUGCUACACUUCUAUUAGAAUAUGGUUUUACAAGCCUAUAAAUAGACAUAGUUUACUUCUCUUGUAAUCAUUCGAAUUCGACAUAGUGACUUUUCUUCUCCUCUGCCUGUGGUUUUUUUUCGAAAGGAUUUCCACGUAAAAAUCUGUGUGUUCUUUAUUUUUCUUUCUAUUUUCUUUGCGAUAUAUUGUCAUUACCGACAUUCUAUUUUUUACACUUAUUGAAAUUUUUGAAUUUUCUUUUUCCCUUUUUUAUUAUGCCAUAUCAAUUUUAUUAAAAAGAUAAAAAGACAGUCUUUACAAACUAAUGCAGCUAGAAAAAACACAUAAGGAAACAUUGCCAUGAGAGAGGACCUAAGAAAACAUAAUACAUACUACAUAAAAAAAUAAAGCACACAGACAAAAGAUUUAUUAAACAGCUACAGAAAAAAGUUUGCAUACCACCAAGCAAUGAAGUUUUCUGUUCUGUUUACAACUUGUUGAACUCGCUGAAGAGUUGGACUCUCUACCAUUUUGCAAAUCUCUGUCGAACUCGCUCGAUGAUCCUAAUCAAGCACCAUGGUUUUCCAGUCGUGAAUACAAUGUAUGCCAUGCUCAUUCCCAGCACCAACCCACUUCCAUACCCCAUCAAUAUUGAAAAUUUCCAAUUCAACUCAUCACCAUCCUCAUCACCAUCUCUAUCAAAUUUGGUUGGAUUUUCCUUAUCAGUAUCACAGCUUUUUGAUAAUGGCAAACCACAUAAAUCCAGAUUUCCCAUGUAGGAAUCAUUAGUGAAAGUAUCAAAUUGUUUGCCUUGAGGAAUGGGUCCCUUGAGAUUAUUUUGAGAAUGGUUUAACACCUCUAAGAAUCCAAGAUUUUUUAACUGUGUUGGAAUUCUUCCUUCGAGUUUGUUUGAUGAGAGAUCUAAUGAUUCAAGCUCUGACAAAUCACCUAAAGAUGAUGGGAUAGGACCUAUUAAACAGUUAUGGGAGAGGUUAAGGACAAUAAGUAAAUGAAGCUCACCAAGUAUUUUUGGAAUUUCUCCCCUGAAUUGAUUACUAGAAAGGUCAAUAACCGUCCAAAUGGAUAAUAGUGAUUCAAACUUUGUUUCCAACCCUUUUUCUGUAAAAGAUAAAUCACUACCAUAAUUCACUAUAACUUGACCAAAUUUGUCUUUCAUGUACUCUGGUUCAAUUUUCUUUCCAUACCCUUCUCUAAUGGCAUGCAAAUGUUCAAAAAAAAGGGUAGGUAAGUAGCCACUAAAGUUAUUGUGAGAAAGAUCAAUGAUACGCAAAUGAGUUAAAGAAACUAUAACAUCAAAGCUAUCCACUUGACCAUAAAAUCCAUUCGACCUCAAGAUAAGAACAUGCAGCCGGUCCAAAUUUCCUAACCAAUUUGGGAAAGUGUCAUUCAAAUUGUUGUUUCCAGCAUUAAGAAGGUUUAAAUCAUUGCAAUUAGCCAAAGAUCGUGGUAGUGACCCUUCUAAUUUAUUGUUGUUGAUGCGAAAACUUUUCAACAUGCAACCUUUAGCAAAAUUUUCUGGUAUUUGACCAUGAAAAUUAUUAUUCCCUAGAUCAAUUUCUAAGAGAGAAGAACUCAAGUUUCCAAUGCACUCUGGAAUUGUUCCAUCCAAAUUAUUCUUAGAUAGAUCGAGACCCAUAAGAGAAGUCAAAUUGCAUACUGAGGAAGGGAUUUCUCCAAUUAAAUUAUUGUUCGAAACUCCAUACCAUUGCAAUGAAGGUGGUGGUGUUGGCAUUCGGCCAUGGAAAUAAAAUUGGAAUAGAGUUAGAAUUAAGGGUUUGAAGAUUCUUUGAAACAAAAAAUGCAAAAUAAGUACAUGUAUCAUGUGUAUAACCAAUAAAAAUAAUUGGUUAAAUUACAACAGUACUUCUAACAAUUUUUAGAUGCACGAGAACAAUUUUUAAGUUGUAAUCUAUCUAAAGAAACUACUACUACGUUCUAAAGAAAUUUUUAUUUCCAUUACUUAAAAUUAAAAAGAGAUUGCAUAAAUGUAUAAAAAAUAUAUAAAAGAAAAACAAAAGACGAAUUACCUCUCAAUUUGUUAUAAAAGAGAUAAACAUAUGUAAAUGAAAUCAAUUUUCAAUAACUUGAGGAAUUUUAUAUAUCUUUUGUUUUUCUUUUAAUAUCUUACUUAUUUUUCAUAGUUUAUGUUUAGAGUUCACUGCUCUUCCCUUAAGAGUGUAAUAUAUCUUGCCACUGCACCAAAUGCUUAUUGGUGUAGUAUUUAUUAUAGCUAUAAAUAGUUUUAACUAUUUUUUUAUUAAACUCUAAGUUAUAGCUCAAAUCAUAAAGCAAAUUAGUUGAUAUAAUGUAUAGUGUUUUUUAUCACUAUAAUUUAUGUUAAAUUUUGUUGAGUUUAAUAUUCAAAAUACCAUAUUUGAUAUAUAUUGAAUUUAAUUAAUUUGUAAUUCAAAUUAAUAUUUUUAUUAUAUCAAUAUUCCUACAUUUUUCUAAUUUCAGAGUAGUUAAAGGAUACAUUUUUUUAAGCUAAAAGUAUUAUAUGCAGAAGUUACAAGAUUAUAAAGCUAAUUAGUAAUAUAUAGCAAAAUUCUAUUACAACUAGUAGAGACUGCAUAACUGUAACAACACAAAAGAGAAUAAAGAUGAUAUUAUACCUGUUUAGUUAUUACUUUGAAGACCGCUGUACACGAGGGAAGUAAGACUUCCAAAAAUGGAUGGAAUUUCACCUAAAACAUAUAAUUAAAAUGGUCAACAUUUAUUUAUCUUUUUUUUUUUUGUAACAGACCUUAAUUUCAAUGCGGAUAGGUAUACGUCUCUCUGUUUCUCUGUAAUUAAACCUAGAACUCUAUUUCUUUCCUAUUCAAUAAUAUCAACUAUGGCUAGUUACAAGUCUUGUGUGAUUCAAUAAAUUUUCAAUACUGUUUUCGAAAGGUAGCAAAUUAAAAUUCAAAUCUUAAAUUAAUUUAAUGGAAAAUUUAAUUAAGGCCCCAACUACAUAAAAACAGAUUCAAGAUAGCAAUGUGAAUAAAUUAUAGAGUAAGUAUUGCAUGAAACAAUUACAUCACAUUUGCAUAGGCUUUUUUUCAAUCCACGAAAUCAUAUUUCUUAAAAAAUCAACUAUUUAUUAAUUUAAUCAUUAAUGAAUUGUUGAAUUAAAUUGUAUCAUUUAAUUAUAACAUGUAAUGUAUAAUUUAAUUUUUACGUUUUUUAUUUUUCAAGAUAUUCAUGAGAGCGAUCGAGCCAACAAAAUGAUUGGUUAAUUUACUUUCCAACAUUUUGCGUUUUCUAGAUGUUUAAGAAAGACCAAGAUUUUAAUAUAUUAAAAGGAAACUUUAGGUAAUUUUUAUUUUGAUAUAUUGAAAGGAAACUGCUACAAUUACCUUUCAACCUAAACUUUAGGUAAUUUUUAUUUUGAUUAUGGAUUGUAUAAAUUUAAUAUAAAAAGGGAAAAAGAAAAAUAUGAAAUUAUACCUGUUAAUUUAUUAUUAGAAAGAUAAAACUCUUGGAGAAAAGUUAAAUUUUCAAUACCAAAAGGAAUUUCACCUGAAACAUAUAAUUAAAUGAAUCAAAAUUUACAAAUAAGUAAAACAAGUUUAAUUGACAUUUCGGGGAUCAUUAUUUAUAUGAAAUUUUAGUACUAAAAGGAACAAAAUAGUCCAAAAAUUGCAAACAGAAGCAGAAAUUAAAAGGGAGAGGAAGCUAGUUUUUGUCAUAAAGUUGGGUUAAUAUUUUGAUUCUAAGGAAAAAUAAUUGAGUUAAUAUUUUUCUAAAGUUAGCUUUAAAUAUUUUGAUUCUAAAGAAAUCCCAAAAUGCAAGACUUAAUUCUCAAAUUCAACAGUACAUCCAAUGGCAAGACAGCAACGCAUUCUCAAAAGAAAAUCCACAAAUAAAGACAUGUGAGGAGGGCCAAGGCAAAGUGGCAAACAAGACAUUAAUUACAUACUUUUUUACAUAAAUAUAAUUUUAUUUAGUGUUGCUAGGCAUUAGUUUGUUUUAUAUUAAAUAUCAUACAUGCAAAAUCUAUUUAUAUUAAUUAUUUUACUAACUUAUAAACAGUGAAUCCAAACAAGUUUGACUACAUCAAGUUAAAAAAAUUUAAAAAUUUCAAAUUUGAAUCAAUUUAGGUGAUUUCAUUUAACAUUCAAAUUAUUUAGGUCUGGGUCAUUUAAGUCAUGUAAUUUGUUAUAUAAAUUAUUAAAUAUCUUUUUACCAUCAUUUCUUACAUUUUUCUCACGUUAAAAAUUGUUGAGUAUCAAAUGCAUCAUUAAUUUUUCUCCUUUCAUCCAAAAGGAUUAUAUUAAGAGAUUAAAUUAUUGUAAGCUAAUUAAUAAUAUAUUAAAAAUUGUAUUUAUAUGCGUGAAAUUUAUAAUUUUAAAAUAAUAUACAAUAAAUAAUGAAACGUAUAGCUCAAAACUAAUUAAUAAUAACACAUGUAAUAUGUAUGAUGUUAAAAUGAAAAAAAUAGAUUUAAAUUGUUUAUUAAGAUGUUGUCAUCAAUCUUGAGUUAGUGUUGAGUUAACCUGUGAGAUGAACACAGUAAAACACUUAAUAAAUAAUAUAAAUAUACAAUUGAUGGAAGUAAUAAAAUGCGCAUAAUAAAAAUUGAAAUGUCUAAAAACAUUAAAAUAAAGUUCUAGAUGAGUGGUUAAUUAAAAAUUUUACUAAUACAAGUGGUACGAGUUCAAAUCCCACAAUAGGUAUAUUUUUAUUGUUUUUUAAAUUAAAAAGCUAAAUUACCUUUGGAUAAUAUAACUUAUUUUAAUAAUGGAAGGGUGUUUCCAUAAUUUUUUCUAACUAGAGGUGGUGACCCGGUUGAGAGUGACCCCAAUUCAGUAAAGCACUUAAUAAAUAAUACGGAUUGAAUAAAUAUAAAAAAAUGAGAAGAAAAUGAUAUCUUUGCAUCAAUGUUUUCGGAAGUAGUCAAAAUUUCCAUAAUUGAUAGAAUAAAUAUAUAAUCAUGUUUAGGUUGGUGGUAGAAUUAUGUUAUCUUUUGCAUUUGGAAUUUAGGCAAUUUUGGUUGGUCUGUAAUCAGAGCAAUAACUCAUAAUACCCUAACUUAGCUAAUUUGUGAUCCAAGGCAAAUCUUAACAUCUUCUAAGGUUUAAUGUAGAGGGUGGAUGUGAAAUGCCCAAACACAGUUCAACUUCAGCAAUUCAAAUAGUUUUGGAUGUUUUUAGAAAAAAAAUUGUAAACUCAAGGUGAAAAUUUAUGAUUUUUUUAGUUGUGUUGUGACUUGUGAUUAGUUCCUUUAGUUAAGCACAUUAUUGAAGUAUGACAAACUUACCUGAAAGUUGACAUCCUCUUAAAUCAAGAUAAUAUAAUUGAGGAAGGCGAUCAAACAUAUUUGACAAGAGAUGACCAAAGAGAUUGUUGUCUGCCAAUGCAAUUAGUUGCAAUGAAGAAAUGUUGAAGAUUGAGUAAGGAAUAACACCUGCAAGAAAUUAGAUCAAUCAUUUCUUGGCAUAAAGAAGGUAUUAAACUAUGUAAAAUUCACAUGUGGAAGAUUUAUUAUUUGAUGUCAUCUGAUCCAAUCUGUUAAAAAAAUUGUAAAUUUAGGGUGAAAUUUUAUAAUUUUUCUUCACGCACUUAAGUCCUAAUAGCUAAAAGUAUCAAAUGUGUAAUCAAUUUGCUUUUCUGUAUUACUAUAUUAAGAAACUAAAACUUAACAACAUAAAAAAAUAAAGGUUCUAAGGUACUUGCCUCUGUCAUUUUUAGAAUUUUAUUAAAGCAGCAGAACGGUCAUUUAGCUUAUCAUAAAAGUCAUGAUGUUCUGUCCAAGUGAUUAUUACCCAAAUAUAAAUAUUAUAACUUUCCUAUGUCCAAACAAGUGAAGGAAAAGGUACUCGAACAUAUUCCACCGUAGAUGAGCAAGGGUUAUCAAAUAUUCUUGAUAAUAGACGGCUAGUUCUAAGAUAAUUGCAUGUUUUGAUCCCUAAACCUUGGGUUAUUUACAAGUUGGUCCCUAGUGCUCAACUAGAAAUAGGCCUAACCAUUUCAUCAUUCAAAAUAUCUAAAAUUUGGUCACUUUCUUUGUAAGACAAUUUCUCUCUCUCCCUAUUUGUAGUUUUUACUUGUACUGUUUGAAAUGAAAUAUAUUUAGUAGUGUCUAAGGACAUAAGUAUAGUUUGCCAAACCUCGUUAAAAAUCUAGUAUUCUUUAUUGUGUUUUUUGUUUCUUUCAAUAUUUUGUGGGUACAAUUAUAGUGAUAUAUUGUCCUAUUAAAUUACAUUAGAGAGAGAUUCUUUCUAGAAGAUCGAGUUUUAAGCGGAACUGUCUGUGAUCCCUUUAAUCUUUCUUAAGAAUUUAAUUUAAUGUGGUUUUCGAGUACAAUAAUUCACUUUUUUUACCCUAUUCGCACAACAUAAAAAUAUAUUCAAAAUAAAAUAAAAAAAACAUGAAACUUGAAAGAGAAUUAUUAUCCAAAUAUUCAAGCAUGGUGCUAGUGAGAUCCAUUUGAGUUUAAUAUUCAAUUUAUUAUGUUUAUUGGGUCUUUGCAUUUAAGUAAUCUGCAAUGCAAAUUAUUAUACCAAUAUUUCCUACAUUGUUAUAACGUUAAACUAGUUAAAAUAUCAAAUGUAUCAUUAGUUUUUUAAACCAAAAUUAUUAUAUUAAGAAACUAAAGGAUUGUAAGCUAAUUAAUAAUAAAACGAUAUUACAUAUUUACCUGUUAAACUGUUAUUACAAAGAUCAAUGAACUUGAGAAAAACCAGGUUUCCGAUACUCAUUGAAAUUUUACCUGAAACAUAUAAUUAAAUUCAUCAAAAAAACUUACUAGAAAAACUCAUGUACUAUGUUUCUCUAUAAUCAAAGCUAGAACUCAUGUACUAUGUUUAUGUAAUCUACUGGAUGGUUUUCUUAAGGGUAAAAUUACGUAAUUUGAUGUAAUUGUUUCAUACAUAAUCCUUUCUUAUUAAUUAUAUUUGUGACAAACAUUCGGAUUAUCUAUAUAGUCAACAAAAUGAUUGGUUAAUUUUUUUCACAACAUGUAUUUUCUUAACUCUAAGAUUUUUAUCUAUUAAAAGAAAACAACUACAAUUACCUUAUAACGAAAACUUGAGGUAACUUUUAAGUUAAUUAUGAAAUGUAUAAAUUUAAUAAUAAUAAAAAAGAAAUGAAAGAUGAAAUUGUACUUGAUAAUUUGUUAUUGACAAGAUAAAAUGUUUGGAGAGAAGUCAAAUUUUCAUUAAUGGAAAAUUUUCACAUGAAAUAUAUAAUUAAAUUAAUUGAAAUUUACAAAGAAAUAAAACAAGUCUAAUAGACGUUUCGAGCAUAAUGAAUUAUACGAGAUUUUAGUGUUACAUUGUAAACAACAGCAUAAACUUAAAAAAAGGAGAGGAAACUAGUUUUUGCCAUAAAGGGGUUAAUAUUUUUAUUCUAAGGAAAGGAUAUAAGACAAAUCAUACUGAGAGAGACAACUGAGUUAAUAUUUUUCUAAUGUCAGCUUAAUAUUCUUUAACUAUUUUCUUUUUAUUCUAAAGAAAUCCCAAAAUGCAAGGCUUAAAUCCCAAAUUCAAGACUACCUCUAAUUUCAAUUGCAAAAAUAAAUGGCACAAAAGGAAACCCUUAAAAUACAUUCGAUUGCAAGUCAGCAAUGCAGUCUUUAAAAAACCCCAAUCUUCUUUUAGAAGUAAAAGACGGUCUCUCUAAGAGAAAGAGACGAGUGCCAAGGCAAAGUGGCAAAAGAUACAUUUGCAUAUAUAAUUUAUUUAGUGUCACUAGACAUUAGUUAUAUAUAUUACUAAGUAUUAGAUUUCAUAUAUAUAUGAAAAAUCCAUAUAUUACUUAUUUUAUUAAUAUAUAAACAGUAAUUCGUUUACAUGAUUUCAAUGUCGAAAAAACAAAAUAUUUUAGAUUUAAGGUUGAUUCUUUUAAGAUUAAUAUUCAAGCUAUUCAGAUUUAAAACAAUUGUUCAUAUAAAUUAGAUAAGAAAAUGAAUGAAACGAUAAUCCGGAAUUGUUUACCUUUGAGGUUGUUGCUUUCAAGAAUCAAAUUUUCGAGCAAAGUCAAAUUCCCAAUUUCUGCAGGUAUACUUCCCUCCAAGGAGUUGCUAUACAAUGAUAAAAACUUCAGUUUUUUGCACUUGAAUAAACUAUUUGGAAUUCUACCAGAAAUUCGAUUUCUACCCAAGCUCAAUCUUUCUAGUUUUGACAAAUUGCCCAAAGUAGAUGGGAUAACACCAUCAAAGUUGUUACCGUACAGAUAUAAUUCUUGAAGUUUAGCGAAGGAACCAAAACACAAUGGGAUUUCUCCAUUGAAAUUGUUGUUACCUAAGUGAAAAUAUUUCAGCCGAUGCAAAUCUGCAAAUUCAAUGGAUAUAGAGCCAUGGAAAUUAUUGUCAUGAAUGUCGAGCCAACCAAGGAAAGAUAGAUUUCCUAAUUGAGAAGGGAUGGUGCCAGUGAGAUCCAUAUGUGAUAAAUUCAGAGCAAUAACUCUUUGGUGUUUGGAUCCACAGGUGACACCAAUCCAGUUGCAAACAGAGGCCGAAGUAGACCAACUGGUUACCAAGAAGUUAUGAGGAUUAUGAACUAUAUGAGAUUUUAGUGCUGGAAGGGCCGAUUGAUCUAUGGUGAUGUUAGAAUAUUUUGCAGACAAAAUAACCCCAAAGGUGGCAAAUAGCAGCGCAAACAUAAAAGAAAGGAGGAAGCUUGGUAUUGCCAUAAGGUUGGAUAUGGGUGUAAGGCAAAUCAUAGGGAGAGAAACAACUGAGUUUUUUACCUCUCUAAUCUUACUGCAACAUUCUUUAAAUACUUUGAUUCUAAGGAUUUAGGCAAGGCAUCCAUUGACUCAUAAUUUGAGUAAGAAAUAUGUACAAUUUUGUGGUUGCAACAUGAAUUUAAGUAUUAAUAAUUGAGAAAUUAAAAUUUAAAAAAUAAUUGAAAAUUUAAAUAAAAACAGUAAGAUCCAGAAAAAAAUAGUGAAAUACCCGUAAAACUAGAAGCAGGACAUAGAUUGGGAAGGCGGUGUCGGUUUCUAGACUUUGGAAUUUUUAAUGAAUGGCCACCUUUUUUCAACCACUAAUUUCAGACAAGCUUUCCACAAGAUAAUGUUAUUUUAAGACUGCAUUACUGACGUUUGGGCCAAAGGAUGAAUUAAUUUUCAACUUUUUACCCUUACUUUCCAUUUUCAAUUAUUCUUUGUUUCAUCAAUGGGAAAGCAACUAUUUUGUAACUCUCCACUUCAAUUCACAUCUUUUUUUGUUUUAUAAUAAAUGGAACUAUAGUUGAAGUUGCUGUAUUGUGUUAAUGGAAGCGUCCACUUUUAUCAUUACUUCAACAAAAUGUAUAGAUGUGUACAUUCGGUUGGUUGGAUUUUUUAUAUAAAAUUUUUGAUUAGGUUCAGUUUAGCUUUUAGCUGCUUUUUUUUAGUUAGAAAAGAUUUCUACAUGAAGUAGUUAUAAUUUUAUUUCCUUUAAUUUUUCUUUCAAAUAGUUGUCUCCUUUCUUCAAUUUACUAUAUUGUAUUACUUUUAAUUUUACUAACUGUGAAUUAUUCUAAAAGGAUCACAAUUUAUAGCUUUCAGGUUGAGAAAGCAACCAUAUUUUUCAGGUAAUUUUUUUGUAUUACCAAAGCAAGAUUGAAAUGGAAUUUGGAUUAUACGCAAAGCAUAUUUUUCAUUCAUUCUGUAUGAUAUUUGAAUUUAAAUAAAUUUGAAGAAUUUAAAAAAAUAAUAAAAAAGAGAAGGAUUUAUUUUUAUUAUUUUUAUAUCUUUUAAGGGCUAUUUAAAUUUAAUCUCAGAAGGAAACAGACCUAACAUGCUAAUAGACCAAAUGUUUAAUUAGUACAGUGAUACUAUCAUGCAACAACUCUUUUUCAGCCAAUCUAAAAGGUUAAUUACUUCAUCAGGUCCUUGAACAUUUUGCCCUUGCACACUUCUACCAAUUUGUUAGGCGACACAAAAAAUUGUGUUUUUUUUUUUAGAUUUUUAGGGUGGUGCCGCUUGAGAAAGUGAUGACACCCAACUCUACUAUAGAAAUCAGGUCAUUUCCAUAAUUAAUCUUAAAGUUUGGUCAUUUUCAUAAAAUUUUAAACUUAUAGUGUCAGAUUCCUAAAAAAAACUUUACUUUAUUGCGUGGUAAACUUCUUCAGUUUGAUGUAUAUAUAAUAAGUUUGUUAUAAUAAUGUUAUUUCAAAUCAAUUAAAUAAAUUUAUAAUCACUUAUGAUAUAUUGAUUUUAAUUAGAAAAGCGAAAUUUUAUAUAAGGUCAUCCUGUAGAUAAAAGAUGGCAGCUGAUUAUUCGCAAUUGAUUAUUCUUUGAUAAAAAUAAAUCAUGGGAGUGAGGAAUUAUUAAGACUGUUGUUUGAUAAAAAGAGUUUUCUUAAUGCAUAGACUUGUUUGUAUUGGAUCCCUUUUAUGAGGCAAAAAGGAUAUACUUGUCCAAGGGUGAAUUGUGUAAGUCAAGAUCUUUGCAAUAGGAUAGCUACAAGGAAUCUUCAGCCCUCUCUUUUUCUUAACUCUAUCUUCCUCUCAUUUUCUUAGGCAUGACAUUCUGGUCUAUUGUUUGUUUGGAUAUGAUUUGUUGUGUCCUACGAUGUUAAUACUUAGAUUCUAAGGAUUUAAGCACAACAUAAACUAUGAUAUAAGUGGUGUCGUAUUAUAAUUAUUAGUCCAAUUAAUUAUGAAUUUGAUUUCUUAUUUUUUUUUUAGUAAUUUUUCAUUGAAAAUCAAAUAAUCAAAUACAGAAAUAAUUGAUGUCGUUAUUGAUAUUGACGCUAAAGCCCAAGUCAAGAGUCUUCGUUUGCAUGCUACCUGUACAAAUACAUUAAGGAAACAAGGCAACCUCGUUGUGUUACUAAGUUAGUGAGUGAUCUAAGAAGCAUGUCAGCUCCAAAUGAAAACAAAUUUUCAGUACUAAUGUCAAUCACAUUUCAAAGACAUAUUUUAACUAAGAUUGAGACCAAUUUUUUAAUUUAAAGUCUAAAAAUAUUGAUUGAUAAUGCUACGAACCAACAUGACACUGGAUCCUUUCAUUUCUUUUUCCACUAGUGCUUGAUGGGUUAUUAUAAAGGGUUUGAUUGAUAAAAGAUCAAAUGAGUUUGUUGGAAUUAUUUAUUAAGUGUUUGUUUUUAUUUUGAUUGAAUCAAGUGAUUUAAAAUUUUAGAAGUGUUGUUUUCUAUUUUUAGUGUUUUUUUUAUUUAGGGUUAUGAGUUUUUGAGGUUGAUGAACAAAAACUGAAACUGAGACUUGAUUGUGUUCAUUAAUUUUGGGAUAUAGAUUUUUUAUUUUUGUUAAAUUUUUUAUUGCUUUUAUCUGAGAUUAAUACUAAAAACUGUUCAGUUUUCGUCCAUUAAAUUGUUGAAGAAGAAUGUUCUAUACUUGAAAUUUUUUGUGUUUGGUUGAAUCCAAAUGGUUUUAAAAAAUUUCAAACAAAUUUUUUUGUUCACUUUCAAUUUUGAUCCAUUAAUUUGGGGGUUAAUUUUUGCUUUUUUUAUUUUUUUUUUUGUUCAUGGAUGAAGCUCUUUGUAGGUGACGUGUAUGUUAAAAAAGUAAAGAAAAUGGUAUUAACAAUUGAGAAAUUAAAACUUCAAAAAAAUUGAGAAAUUAAAUAAAAACCAUUAUGUUAGAAUUAGUGAAAUAUUAGCUCAUAGAAACACUUUAUAAUUUUAGUGAAAUAUUAUUUUUAUAUUUUAAUUAUUUUUAUAUUUUUAUAUAACUUUUUAGAAUCAAAAUGAUAGAAUAUGUAAAAUUUAGAGAGUUAAAUUGUUAUUAGACCAAUAAAAAAAUGAGUUAGCACUUCCGUCAAUUAAUUUUCAGUGACAAAAAAAAUUGAUUUCGAAUAGUUUAGUAACAAAAUUGAAAAAUUUAAAAGUUUAAUGACCAAAAUAGAAUGUGGGUAAUAGUUUAGUGACAAUUCCUACACUUUAUCCUUUUUUAAAUGGUAAAUAAUUUUUGGCAUAAUGACUUAUUUGGCCCUCUAACUUUAAAAAAAAAUCAUUUUAGCCUUCUAUUUAAUUUUUCGCUUUUUUUAACACUUUAACUUCUGUUUUUUUAUCAAAUCACCCCCACAUAGUUUCCAUAUAUAUAUAUAUAUAUAUAGCAGCAUUUCUUUUUUCCUCAAUCAAGGAAUAAUAUUUCAAUAAUUAAAACUCAACAGAUUCAUAUAUAUAUACACAAAAUAAUAGGAUCACCCUUGCAAAUAGAAGAUGACAGCUGAGUAUUCUUUGAUAAAAAGAGUUUUCUUAAUGUAUAUACAAGUAAGAAGGCCCUAACUUUGGUUGAUUGAAACGUGUUUGAUGGAGAUCCUCUCAACUUCUUCUUCACGGUUGCUCCCAACUUCUUUCUAACAUGAAUUCAAAAAAUGACCACUUUUUCCAACAUCUAAUUUGAAAAUUGGUCCCCUUACCUUAAGACAAAUCAAACCUAAGUUUCCACAAGAUAGACUUGUUUUAAGACUGCAUGUGAGGACCAGUAAGCAGGAUUCAACUAAAAAUGAGAUGAUUUUUCAGCUCUCCAUUGAUUAGAGCAACUUCCACCUCUAUCGUUUUCAUCACAAAUAAUAAAUAAGUGGAGUCUGUAUUGGCAUUGACACCAAAGUCCAAGUCAAAAGAGUCUUUAUUUUCAUCAUAAAUAAUAAAUAAGUGGAGUUCAGCCGCAUCAUUAAUUAUAUUCUCUAGAUAUAUUAACCAAAUUAUACCUAUAUACCAUAUAUGAAACUUGGUACAAGAAUUGAUUGAUUUAGAAGCAUCCACUUUUCUCUUAAUUCAAACCUUUUCUUCUUAACCAACCAAUCAACACAAACGCUAAAUUUCUUGAAAAUACACUAAUUUUGUUUAAUUAUUAAAACUGUUCAUUAGCUCUAAGAGAAAUAAUAUAAAUUCAUAGUCCGAUUUCAAUAAGAGAAAUCAAGUUUCCAGUCACUCGAAACACAAUUAAAUAGGUUAAAGUUUAGCAGAUACUAUUUCUUUGUUCAACACUAUAGGCGUCUGUUUUCUUUUCUUUACUACUUUUUUAAACAUGUAAAUUUCUUUCAAUUUGAUAGUCUUAUGAAAAAACCCUCAAAGUUAUAAAUCCCUAACCACAAAUCACCACAAGAGAUCACAAAAAAUAAAACAUCUGAGACAUCCAAAAGCACUAAAGUAGUGAAGACAUCGCAUUUCAUAGUUGUAGAGGAGGAUUAGAUACUCCUCCUAAUCUAAUUAGCUCUGUUAUAUUAGCAAUCGAAACACAAGAUAAUUUUUAUACCUAUAAAUAUAACUAUUUCCAAAGCCAAACAUGGGAAGAGUGUGGGCAUUAAAGCUGUGUGAAGAUGAGCCUACUUUAAACUUGGAAAAAGUAUGGAACCAGAAAGAUAAUUAUUAUACAAUAUAACUAUUUCAACUUUACUGGGCUCCUACCAUAAUAUACCACAUAAAAAAUAAUAAUUCUUGAAAAGGAGAUUUUUAGAUUAGGAGUGUAAUUGAAAUGGGUGGUGGGAGAGUUGUAUGAGCUCAAGUUGAGGAGAUUUUGAGAGGCGAAAGAAGUUGUCGAUAUCAAUGAUAAAAAUAUCAAUUUACAAUGCUUCGAACCAACAUGCCACUAGAUCCUUUUCACUUUUUUCAUCGGUGCUUGAUGGUUAUUAUAAGGGCUUGACUGACAAAAGAUUAAAUGAGUUUUAUUGGAAUGAUUGAUUAUUGGAUUCUUUUUAUUUUGGUUGAAUUAAGUGGUUUACAAUUUAUUUAUUUUUUGUUGGAAUGAGUUUUUGAAAUUGGUGAGCAAAAAUUGAUACUGAGAUUUGAUUGUGUUUAUCAAUUUUGGGAGAUUUUGGUUUUUGUUCAAAUUUUCAAUGCUUUUAACUGAGAUAUUAAAACUGAAAAAAAAGAGAGUCAGUUUUCAUUUAUUAAUUUGUUGAAGAAGAAUGCUCUAUGUUUGAGUUUUUCGGUCUUUGAUUGAAUCAAGUGCUUUAAUAUAAUUUCAAACAAAAUUUUUGUUCACUUUCAAUUUUCAUUUAUCAAUUUGAGGCUUGAUUUUUGCUUUUUUUUCAUUUUUGUUGUUCAUCAAUGAAACUUUUUGGAGGCGAUGAGUAUGUUAAAAAGGUAAAAAAAAAAAUGGCAUUAAUAAUUGAAAAAUUACAGUAUGUUCUAAAAACAAUUAGUGAAACAUGCACUUAUACAAGCACUUUAUAUUUUUGCAGAAAUAUUAUUUUAUAUAUUUAACAAUUUUAAGAUUUUUUAAAUAUUUUUAUAUAAAAUUUUAGGAUCAAAUUGAUAGAAUCUGUAAAUAUUAGAGGGUUAAAUUUGUUAUUAGACCAAUAAAAAAGUAUUCAGCCCUUCCAUCAAAUUUCAAAUGGUUGUUAACUUUCAAUGACCAAAAAAUAGUGAUAGAAUAUAUAAACAUUAGAAGGUUAAAUUUGUUAUUAGACAAAUAAAAAAUACUUGUUAGCACUUUCAUCAAAUUUCGAAUGGUUGUUAACUUUCAAUGGCCAAGAAAACUAAUUUUGAAUAGUUUAGUGAUUAAAUCAAAAAAAGUAAAAGAUCAUUUAAUUAUUUUUUUCAGAUUUUAAAAAUUAUUUUGAAAAACAAAAAAUCAUUAAAACUAUUAAAAAAUAUAAAGUAUUAUCUAAAUAUUUUUAAAAUUUUAAAAUUAAUUAAAUGCUGACAUGUCAUCCACGUUAGCAAAAUUAACAAAUGUUAACGUUUUCAUCCGUUUUGGGUUGAUUUGACAAAAAAUACAAGUUCAAGGGUUAAAAAAGAAAAAAAAUUAAAUAGACAAUUAAAAUAAUUGUUUUUAUAAAAUUGGAUGACAAAAAAGUCCAUUCACAAAACAUGUUUUUGGUAAUUUUAUAUUCCCUAAAAAUAUCACUUUUAUGUUAAAAUUUGUAAACUUCAUCUCAAUGAUAUUAGAUAUUUUAAUUAAUUAAAUUUUAUAAAUAUAUAUUGAAAGUUUUUAUAAUAUAUAUUUUUUCUGUUUUGCCCUGUGUUCCUCUGUUUUGUUCUGUUCCUGUGAUGUUGGGUUUUUUUACCAUGGUUUUUAUGUCGAAUACUAAUUAAAAAAAGAGUUUAAUUUCCGAUAUCGGCCUAAUUAUCAUGUGUUCCUUUCAAUUAGAUGUUAUAGACCGACCAUGAAGAUUUCAAAGUGUUGUAGGAAUCUAUCUUUUGAAAUUGUUUUCAGCGACCAUCAAGUUUUGAAGCUUUUGACAAAUUGGCCAAAGUUGAUGGGAUAAAACCAAUGAAUUUGUUGAUGUAUAGAUACAAGCUCUGAUGUUUUAUUUGGAGUCUAAUGGUUGCAACAUGUUUGAUGAUGAUCCUCAACUCUGAUUGAAUCUAUUAUUUAAUAUCAGACAAAAUAAAACAUUGAGAUGAAACUAUUUCAAUUUUCAUGUUCUUUGAUGAUUUGUCUUGCUUCUCUUCUCUCACUUGUUUUAUAUAUAUAUAUAUAUAUAUAUAUAUAUAUAUAUAUCUCGUUGUUUGAGAUGUUGUAGUUUGAUUCCUGCAUUGCACUUGUAACAAAAUCAUGAUUCAGACCAAAGUCUUGUAGAUUGUAAUUUUGCAUUAUUUCACCUCCCUUGAUUCUUGACAAACUGUCUUUGGUAGCAAUCAACCUCUCUUGGAGUAUCUACUCCUAAUUCCAAAUAUAAUUUACUUUCUUCGUUCUAAGCCACAUCAAAUAUAUCAAAAAGGCAAAAGGUGCCAAUUAAGACGGUCUUUAUAAUCUAGUGCACCGCUAAAAACAUCAAGAAAACAUAAUAUAAACCACACAACAUACAAUAAUCGAGAUUUUUUUUUUUUUGCCAAUUUCCUUUAAGUAGCCUUAAAUCUCUAAUAAGAGGACAUGACGGUUAAAAUUUGAUAUUAUAAUAAAUUUGACUCUCAAUUUUUACUUUCUGUAUCAAUUUAGUCAUUAUUUUAAAAGAUUAAUCUUUAAAAUUUACAAAUAAUCUCAAUUUGAUCAUCAAAAUUUACCUUUUCUUUCCACUUCCUCCGCUACCACUAUCAUCAUUGCCUCCAGCUCCACCUUCUAUUAGUAUGUUUUUGUUUUGGUCACCUAACUAUGAAAAUUUUCAAUUUUAUCACUAUCGUUUUAGAUCAUUUCUAAUUUGCUCACUUUUUAGAUCGUUUUUAUUUUACUCAAUCUUCGUUAAAUGGUUAACCAAAGUUAUAAUGUAACCUUUUUUUUAACUAGUAUAAGAAACACAAUUAGUCUUCAAUACUUCCACAUUCUAUCAAUUUGAUCCUCGAACACAUACAAUUAAAUAUAAAAUAUAUAUAUUACGAAAACAUACAAAAUUUAAUUAUUUAUAUAUAUUGUUAGAGUUGUGUGACCCAAAUUCUAAGAGAUUCCUUGCAAGUCAAGUUAAACAAAGUAUAUCUUCUUUCUAAAAGAUUUAGUAUUUAUGAGUAUAAUAUAUUUACCAUUUAUUAGCAUAAUAUCUUUGACUUUGAUUAGAAUUAGGUUUUUUCAACCUUUAAAUAGAUGUAGUCAAAACUCCUCUUGUAAUCAUUUUAAAUUCGACAUAGUGAAUUCUCUUCACCUCUGCCCAUGGUUUUUUCCCGAAAGGGUUUCCACAUAAAAAUUUGUUUGUAUUCUUUAUUUUUAUUUUUCUUUUCUUUGCGAUAUAUUGUCAUUACUGACAUUUUAUUUUAACAAAUUGGUAUCAGAGCUUCCAGGUUGUUUAUCUCAAUCACGAUAAUGGCGUUUUUGAAGUACGAAAUUUUGCUGUUAGAUCACAACACUAGAUUCACGUUGUGGCAGAUAAAGAUGUAGGCAGUUCUUGCAUAGAUGGACUUAGAGGAAGCCGUGCUAGGGGUAGAUAAGAUGCCUUCAACAUUAACGGAGGAAGAGAAGAAGCGCAAGGAUCUAAAUGCAUUAACACAGUUACAUCUGCAUUUGUCUAACAAAAUUUUACAUGAUGUGAUGAAGGAGAAGGUUGUCACUAGAUUAUGCAAGAGGUUGGAACAAAUAUGUAUGUCAAAAACUCUAACUUGCAAGUUGCAUAUGAAGCAACGUCUUUAUGCUCAUCGUUUGAAGAAAGGUGCGUCUGUGCACGAACACUUAACAAUGUUUAAAGAAAUUCUCUCAAACUUGGAGGCCAUGGAGGUUCAGUAUGAUAAGGAAGAUCUAGGGUUGAUUCUACUUUGUUCGCUGCCCCCGUCUUAUUCAACCUUUAAAGAUACGAUUUUAUAUAGCCAUGAGUCUCUCACAGUUGAUGAGGUUUAUGAUUCUUUAACCUCAUAUGAUAAGAUAAAGCAUCUUGUGGUUAAAAUUGACUCUUAAAGAGAAAGUCUCAUUUUUCAUGGAAGAUAAGAUCGAAAUGCUAAUGAUGAUCGUGGAAGGACACAGGAACGAUAAUUUAGUAAUAAAUCUAAGGGUAGAUCGAAGUCUUCAAAUAGAGGUAAAACUUGUGACUUCUGCAAGAAGAAAAGGCGCAUUAAAUCUGAGUGCUAUAAGCUAUAGAACAAGAUCAAAAGGGAGGCUGCAAAUCAAAAUGGAAAAUAACAAGAAAAUUUUGGUAAAGCUGAUGCUGUAGAAGACUACAGCGAUGGUGAACUUCUAGUUGCUUCUGUCAACAGUUCUAAAGUAAGUGAGGAGUGGAUCUUGGAUUUGGGCUACACCUUCCACAUGAGUCCCAAUCAGGAUUGGUUUAGAACUUAUGAAAUAGUGUCUGAAGGUGUUGUUUUGAUGAGAAAUAAUGCUUCAUAUAGAAUCACAGGUGUUGCAACAAUUAAAGUUAAGAUGUUUGAUGGAGUUGUCAAAACACUUAGUGACGUAUGACAUGAUCUAGAAUCGAAGAGAAAUUUAAUUUUUUUGGGUACUCUUGAUUCAAAAUGGUACAAAUACACAGCUGAAAGUGGGGUUUUAAAUAUUUCCAAAUAUUCCCUCAUUGUGAUGAAAGGGCAAAGAAAGACUGCCAAGUUAUAUAUUUUACAGGGUUCUAUUGUUACUGGUGAUGCAGCUGUCGUAUCCUCUUCCCUGUCAGAUGAUGAUAUUACUAAACUUUGGCAUAUGUCCUAGGGCAUAUGAGUGAGAAUGGCAUGACAGAAUUGAGAAAAAGAGGACUUCUUGAUGGGCAAGGAAUUUGUAAAUUGAAGUUCUAUGAGCACUGUAUUUUUGGGAAGCAAAAGAGAGUUUGAUUCACUGGAGGAAUCCAUAACACAAAGGGAAUGUUGGAGUAUAUUCAUUCUAAUCUGUGGGGGCCAUCUAGAGUGCCUUCAAGAGGUGGAGCUAAUUAUAUGCUAACUUUUAUUGAUGAUUUUUCCAAAAAAAUUUGGGCGUUCUUCUUGAAGCAAAAAAGUAAUGUGUUUUCAGCAUUUAAGUCCUGAAAAACUAAGAUUGAAAAAUAGAUUGGAAAACAAAUAAAAUACCUUCGCACAGACAAUGACUUAGAGUUCUGUUCUGAUGAGUUUAAUAAACUGUACAAGUUAGAAGGGAUUGCGAGACACUUGACAGUUCGUCAUACUCCACAGUAAAAUGGUGUUGUAGAACGAAUUAACAGAAUGAUCAUGGAGAAGGUUCGAAGUGUGUUGUCAAAUGCCAACUUACCAAAGUUAGUUUGGGCCGAAGCAGUCUCUACUGCAAGUUUUUUGAUCAACCGAUCUCCAUCUGUUGUCAUUGAGAAAAAGACUCCACAAGAGGUAUGGUUUGGUAAUCCUACUGACUAUUCUGAUUUAUAGAUCUUUGGGUGUCCUGCAUAUGCUCAUGUUGAUAAUGGAAAAUUGGAACUGAGAUCCAUAAAUGUGUUUUUCUUAUUUAUAAAGCAGGUGUAAAAGGGUUUAAGUUAUAGUGUCCUAAAAAUAAGAAAGUUGUGAUUAGCAGAGAUGUUGUUUUUCAUGAAACUACUAUGCUACGUAACUUAUCUCUUAAAGACUCUUCAAAUAAAGAAAAUUAAAAAUAGGUAGAGCAUCAGAUUAAUCCAGAAUCUACAUCAGAGUUGACUUUUCAAGCCAUUAGAAAAAUACAAAGUAGAGUUGCUUCUUCACCACAAUACUUUAUAGUCAAAAAUAGAACCAGAAGAGAAAUUAAACCGCCAAAGAAGUAUGCUAAGGUUGAUCCAGUUGCUUAUGCUUUAAAUGUAGCUGAAGAUAUAAAUUGUAACACCCCAAAUUUUGGGCCUAGAAAAAAUAGGUUUUGAACAAGGGAAAAUUUAGGAGACUGCACAUAAAUAUUAAGCUGUGCAAGGAAGUGACAUAAAUAUCUGUCUGCUUUAGUGGUUAAGUGAUCUGGGAGUGUUUAAGAAGCCUGGGUUCAAGUCUUGGCUUCUGCAGAAUUUUUAGUUUUGCUUUUAAAUGAAUCUAGACAUUGGCAUAUAGGCCUUAUAAAUAAUAGUGUUAGUUUUAUGUCCCAAAAAAGCUUAUGGUCUAGUGGUAAGGUGACAUGUUGUAUAACUGUAAGGUAUGAGGUUCAAGUAUUGGGUUACGCAAUGGAGUAUUUAUUUUGCUGAUUGAGUUGGGUAGGUGGUGGGGUUGGAAUGAAAUAUUGCUAAAUAGAGUUUGAAUUGGUCAUAGAGAGAUUUGAGGAAGGAUAUGUGGAGAGAUUUGAGAAGAGAAUAUUGGGAUUUGGGGAGGUUAUUGUUGUAAAGAGAUAAAUAUAUCAUCUCAUUUGUUCCUUGUUCUGGAUGGGAGAUCGACGAGGUUUUCAAGGUUUUCGUCGCUUUCUCCAAACUGCAUUGCUUCCAUUCCUAACUAGUGGUGGUCGAGGUUGAUUAACACAUUGCCUAGGAACCAAGGAUGCGAUGAUCAUUAAUUUUCAGAAUAGGAGUGUUUAGAACGAAAUGAAUCUACAAAUCGUAUCAAGUGUGUAACCAUCCCACUGCAACUGUAGAACGCUAAAAAUCGAAAAGUCAAAAUAUGGCAUUGAGACGACACGAGUGUGCGAUUGCUCGUAUAGGAAGCCAAACCUACGAAUCAUGGGCGAGAAACUGUAGAGGCCUCAAUGAACAUUUUCAUGGGCUUAGGCCGUAAUGGGCCACAUUAGGUCGAAAUGGGCCGUGUGGGCUUAAUGGGUUUAUAGGGCCCACGUAGAUAAAAUCAAUUAUUUGUGGCAAAUUCUGGACUGGGUUGUGUAGAUCUCAUAAUCGUGUGAAAUCUGGGCUGAACGGGUCAUACGAGCGCGUGGGCCCACUUGGGUCGAGUAAUGAGCCUUGGGCCUAUUUACACUGUUAUGACCGAAAUACCCUAUAAGAUAAAAUGACCAAAAUACCCCCAUAUGGUAAAAUGAUCAAAAUACCCCUAUAGGGUAAAAUAACCAAAAUACCCUGAUAGGGUAAAAUUAUCAAAAUACCCCCACAAGGUAAAAUAACCUAAAUACCCCCAUAGGGUAAAAUGAUUGUUAUACCCCUAGGAGAUGAAAUGACUGUUAUGGCUUUAUGUUAUGUAUGACUGGUUUGUUCUAUGAUAUGUAUGACUAUGAUUGAGUAUGACAUCCUACAUACACGUAUGAUAUUAUGUCACGACAUAUUGCAUGGGGAUAGGUUGUUAUAUUUAGAGGACGUGUAACGUAUUGAUAAGGUUGCACGGGUCGUCCAAGACAACUAUGUACCUACUGAUGGCUAUAUGCCGUUUAUUUGACUGGCAACUUUGCUACAAUACUGUUUAGUGCCGCAACUAGUGCUAAUCUUGGUGUGUAUGGCUGGGUGAGUCGAUUUUAUCCCCACGAGGUGUGUUUGGCUGGAAGAAGUGGUGUGUAGAGGCAGGAUUGGGAGUUACAUUUAGUGGUAUCAAAGCCCAGUUGUAAAACUCGGUUGUGGAAUGGGUUUGAAAAUAUCUAGAAUUUAUGAAAAAUUAUUUUAAAUUAAAUUUUAAAGGACACAAGUGUGGUACAUCGAGUCUUCAGCACCGAAUCUGUAAGUUUCUAUAUACUGUAGGCUGCUUAAACUGAAAUAUAUUGAAAGACUACAAUAGAUAGUAAGCCUGUACUGAAACUCUUAAAUUAGAGAAAACUAAGACUGUAGGAAAACUGGAAGCUGUAGGGAGACCUUGACUUACAAAAACAAAACUAUGACUACUGGGUCUCAUAAGACAUCUGUUAAUAAUUACUGGAAUUACUCCCUAAUGCAUAAAAUUUCUUAACAUUGAUAAUACGUUAUUUGAUAUGAGCACAAGAGGUAUACAUGGACGAGGUACAAGAGGCCAUGGUAGAGGCCGUUGAGGUGCUCGAGUUAGGUCCUCAUCAUUUGGCCAUAUACCUAAUUUGGAACUAGAGUGUACAGCGGAAGCAUAGUGGUGGAGUCUGUGUUAUGCGACUGAUCUGAUAAUUAGAAAUUUUGAAGACGAAAUUUUUUUAAGGAGGGCUGAAUUGUAACACCCUAAAUUUUGGGCUUAAAAGAAAUAGGUUUUGAACAAGGGAACAGUUAGGAGACUGCAUAUAAAUAUUUAGUUGUGUAAGGAAGUGACAUUAAUAUAUAUCUGCUUCAGUGGUUAAGUCAUCUGGAAGUGUUUGAGAAGCCUAGGUUCAAGUCUUGGCUUCUGCAGAAUUUUUAGCUUUUCUUUUAAAUGAAUCUGGGCAUUGGCAUAUAGGCUUUAUAAAUAAUAGUGUUGGUUUUAUGUCACAAAAAGAGCUUGUGGUCUAGUGGCAAGAUGGUGUGUUGUGUAACUGUAAGGUUUGAGGUUCAAGUCCUGGGUUGCAUAAUAGAGUAUUUAUUUUGCUGAUUAAGCUAGGUAGAUGGUGGAGUUGGAAUGAAAUACUACUAAAUGUAGUUUGAAUUGGUCAUAGAGAGAUUUGAGGAGGGAUAUUUAGAGAGAAUAUUAGGAUUUGGGGAGAUUGUUGUUGUGGAGAGAUAUAUAUUAUAUCAUCUUAUUUGUUCCUCUUUCUGGAUGGGAGAUUGGCGAGGUUUUCAAGGUUUUCGUUGCUUUCUCCAAACUGCAUUGCCUCUAUUCCUAACUGGUGGUGGUCUCAGAAUAAAAGUGUUCGGAACAAAGGAAAUCUGCAAAUUGCAUCAGGUGUGUAACCACCCCACUGUAACUGUAGAACGGCAAAAGGUGAAAAGCUAAAAUACGUCGUUCAAACUGCACGAGUGUACGAUCACUCGUGUUGGAAGCAAAAUCUACGAACAUAGAUGAAACUAUAGAGGCCUUCAUGAGCAUUUCCAUGGGCUUAGGCCGUAAUGGGCCACAUUGGGCUGAAAUGGGCCGUGUUGGCUCUAUGGGCUUAUGGCCCCCAUACUGAUGAAAUCCACGCUUUGUGGAAAAUUCUGGACUGGGUUGUGUAGAUCUCAUAAUCGUGGAGAAAUCUAGACUAAACAGGCAUACGAGCGUGUGGGCCGACUUGGGUCGAGUAAUAGGCCUUAGACCCAUUUACAUUGUUUUCUUUUUACAGUACAGGUAAUCCUUAGCCAUAGGCAAUUUGGUGCUGCUAGGGACUCGGAGGUGGCCACACAACUGUAGUUGUUCUACAAUUGUUUUUAUUUAAAUAACUUGAGUUCGAGUUGGGUUUUGUUUUUUUUAAUAAGGCCAUUACGUAUCUUUAAAUUUUAAAUUGGGCUUUUGGUUACUUCCUUAAAAAUGAAAUUUAAUCCUAAGAGUUUUCAAAAGCUUUCACGGUUUUUAGAUCAACCUUUUAUAACAAUGGCAACAACAAGCCAAAAUUCCCGACUUAAUGAUUUGUUAAAUAAUAAUAAAGGGGUUUUUAAAAUUUAGAGGCUAAUUUUUAUCAAGGAGUCAUAGUUUUCGAAAAACACUUCAAUGUGACAUGCUAGAUUCGACCAUAACUCCUAGGCCAAGUUUGGGAUGUUACAUAUAUGCAAACCAAGAGCCAUCUAAUUAUUCUGAUGCGGUUAGCUGUGAAGAUUUAGAGAAGUGGAUAUUUGCUAUGCAAUAGGAGAUGAAAUCACUCCACAAAAAUAAAAUAUGGGAUCUUGUGAAACUUCUUAAAGGUAAAAAGGUUGCUUAUUGUAAAUGGGUGUUUAAAAAGAAAUAGGGGACUCUAGGAGUUGAAGAACCCAGAUAUAAAGCAAGGUAUGUUGCAAAAGGUUAUAGUCAAAUUCUAGGAGUGGACUUCACAGAUGUGUUCUCUCAGUUGUGAAGCUCCCCAAUUGUGAAGCAUAGUUCGAUUCGAGCUUUGCUUGGUAUUGUGGCCUUGCAUGAUUUGGAGCUUGAGUAGUUAGAUGUAAAAACUGCAUUUUUACAUGGAGAACUUGAGGAGGAUAUUUACAUGCAACAACUAGAGGGCCUUAUAGUAGCAGAAAAAGAUACUAUGUUUGCUUGCUAAAAAAGUCCCUUUACGGUUUGAAACAGUCACCAAGACAGUGGUACAAGAGAUUUGAUUCCUUUAUGACUUCUCAUGAUUUUAAAAGAAGUAGCUUUAACAGUUGUGUUUUCUUUAAGAAAAAAGUGAUGGUUCUUUUGUGUAUUUGCUCCUUUAUAUUAAUGACAUGUUGAUAGCAGUGAAAGAUAAAUGAGAGAUAAGAAAGGUCAAAGCACAACUAAGUGAAGAAUUUGAGAUGAAAGAUUUGGGACUAGCAAAGACGAUACUUGGUAUGGAGAUUCUCAAAAAUAGAAAAUCAUGUAAAUUGUACCUAAGUCAGAAGGGGUACAUUAAGAAAGUUCUUUGCAGAUUCAAUAUGCAGAAUGCUAAGCCUGUUAGUACUCCUUUAGCAGCCCAUUUCAAACUUUCAUCAUCUUUGUCUUCACAUUCAGAUGAUGAGAUUGAGUACAUGUCACAUGUUUCAUACUCUAGUGCAGUGGGAUCUCUCAUGUAUGCUAUAGUUUGUUUACAUUCAGAUUUAUCAUAUGCAUUUAGUACAGUUAGCAAAUACAUGGUGAAUCCCAAUAAUGAACAUUGGAAAGCAGUUCAGCGGAUUUUAAGAUACUUAUGCAGUACUGUUAAUGUUUGCUUACAGUUUGGAAGAACCAGAGAUAGAGUCAUUGGGUAUCUUGAUGUUGAUUUUAAUGGAGACCUUGAUAGAAGAAGAUCUCUCACAGGUUAUGUCUUUACAAUCAGAGGUUGUGCAAUCAAUUGGAAAGCCACUUUGCAAACUACAGUUGAUUUGUCUACUAUUGAAGCUGAGUACAUGGCGAUUACUGAGACUUGUAAAGAAGCUACUUGGUUAAAGGGACUCUAUAGUGAACUUAAAGAAGACAUUCAAAUCAAUACUGUAUUUUGUGACAACUAGAGUGCCAUCUUCCUUACAAAAGAUCAAAUGUUUCAUGAGAGAACAAAACACAUUAAUGUUCAGUAUCAUUUUGUUCGUGAUAUUAUUGCUCGUGGUGAUAUUGUUGUGAGCAAAAUUAGUAUUCAUGAAAAUCCUGCAGAUAUGAUAACUAAGUCACUUCUUAUAAACAAGUUUGAGCAUUGCUUAGACUUGAUUGGUGUUCAUUGUUGAACUUAACCUCUGAACUUCAACUUGAGCUUGACUCCCCGAAGGCAUGUAUUGCUACAAGCUAGAUCCAAAAUAUUGGGUCGGGUUAACAAAAGAUCCUUGAAAUCAAACCCGACCAUACCUUUCAGGACCCAAAACUUUAGUAAUAAUCCUGUUAUCAAUGUCCUCAAGAUGAACAGAACUAUCACUGGAAGCAAUCGCUUCGUGCUCCGCCUUUUUAUCCUUUAGUUUCUACUAAUAAAUCAGUCAAAUAGUUAGGAACGCAAAAUAUAUUAUAAAAACAAAUGUAACAUAACUAAAUAAUAUUUGCAUUACAAAUAAUGAAUUAAACCAUUUGAAAAUAAACACUAUAAAUAUUUAAAAUAAUUCAAAAUUUAAUAAGUAGACGUACCAUAAUUUCUGCAGCUUUAAGAGUCAUAGGAGAUCCAUCUUUCUUCCUAUGUGUAAUGUCAAAAAGCUGAAUGGGUCCAACUUUUUGACCGGACGACAGUUCCUACAAUAUGAUAGUAAAAAUAUUAUUUAAUGGAAAGUAAUAUAAAUCAUUUGACACUAUUAAUAAAUUCAAAAUACCCCGGCCUCAGCUACACAAGCAAAACUUUUUGACCCAGCAGUGUGAGUGAAUUUUUGUUUUUGCAUGCUGCUUUUUCCAACUCGUUCACGAUCCUACAUUAUGAAAUUAUUAUUACGUAUAUAGUAAAUACUAUAAACCAAAAUAAUUAUAAGAGUUUGGAAGUACGUAAUACCUCUCCUUUCUUUGAUGUCCAAAAUCUAACCGCAUCUUCCCAUUAGUACCUCAGCAUUCCCAGCGAGGCAUUUUGCAAUUUCUCUUCGAGGGCUGUUUUUAUCUUAAAAUAAUCUUUCUUUAAAUUACUUUUAUGGUCUCUCCAUCUUUUUCCCAAUGCCUUCUCUACAUAAGUAUCGGAGACCUCUAAAGCAAACAUCGCCUACAAAAAACACAAGUUAAGAAAGUAAAUAUAAACGAAACUUAAAAUCAAGUAUUAUAAAUGAAAUUAACAUUUUGUUACCUUAAUAUUAUCGAGAGCUUGAUUUUUGUUACUAUCAGGCAUUUGAUGCCAUGACUCGUAGUUGAUAGGCAACAUUUUUGCAUUUCACGCUAAAAUGCCCAAAUAUCCUUCUAAAAGUCGAGCUUUUGAUCCAACAGGCUGACCAAAACUGUUUCUACAUACUUUGACAUGCUCGACUGGAUCUAACUCGUAUAAAUCUUUAAGUAGCAUACGUCCUUGACCUCUGCGCGUCCCACCACUUUCAGCUAGAAAAUGGUAUAUUCUAAUAUAAGAAUUUGAAAAAGAAAUCAACAAUAACUCAACACGCAUGUAAAUUAAAUGUAAAAUUACUUUGAACUUCUGUAGGUUCGUCAGCUGUAAUCGAAACAUUCGAAGAUUCAAUAGCAGUCUAUUGUUCACUAUUUGUUUCUUCCGAGUUUUGAGUAUUUUGAACAAUGCUUAGAUCUUACAAUUUUCUUCUAGGCAUUUUAUCUGCAAUACACAUAAAAAAGUUGAAAAUUUAGUAACUAAUUACAACAAUAACAGCACAUAUAAAAUAAUUGAAUAUUUAAUAAGAGCAAGUUUUGAAUUAUGAUAUUACAUAUAAUUAAAAAAUCAUAAAAUCUUACUACAUCAAAAUCCGUAAAUAUCUUCAUCUGUAUCCUGGUGAACCCAUUAAAAUUGUGUACUAGUACUAGGGAUAUUUUCAUUUAAGUUUUGUUCUGGAAAGGGCAAAGUUUCUAGUCUGUCGUCGAUGUUAUCUCUACUUCCAUUGUCCAUGUCAAACAAGUCUCUAGGGAUGUCACGAAGUACAACAUACCAACCUCAUCAGUUGGAUCUUUUGAAUAAAAAAACUUGUUUGACUUGAGAAGAAAAUACAUAUGGCUCAUCUAUCAAUUGUUGUCCUGUGUGAAUUAACGGAGAGAAGUUUGCCAUUUUAAAACCAAAUUGAUCUUGCUUAAUUCCACGAGCAAUAUUCACAUCAGCCCAAUCCCCUUGAAAUAAGAUAACUUUCCAUUUGUCGUAGUAAUCCAACUCAAUUAUGUCAGUCAGAAGUUCGAAAUACCCCAUAUUUCCCUCAACAGGAUUGUUGUCCCUAGCACUAGCAUAACUCGUAAUUGAGGAAUUAACAACAAUUCCACAAUUUUGAGUUCUCCUCAAUCUCUCGCGAUAUUAUGUAUGAAAUCUAAAUUCGUUGAUGAGGAAGGCACUAUAUUUUUUAACCACUCUGUUUGAACCUUAGGAAAGGCAUUUAACUUUGUCAUUUACGUUCUUCACACUCCAAACCUACUGAAUGGAAAGUAAACUGAGUAAUUAUAAAUGUUAUGAUAAAACAUUAUUAUUUGUCAGGGAAAGCUUCAAUCACAUACAGUUUGGCUUAACCAUUCAUGAAAAGAUUCUGUAAAUAACUUAUUGAUCUUUUGAUGUUGUAAUCUUCGAGAGUGUGAACGAGAUCUCAAUAUUUGUUUGUACUCACUAUGUUAAAAAAAUGUGCACAUUGCUAGAAGAUAAUCAAUUUAUACUUGAUGAAUAUUUAUCAUAUUUCUAGAACUUACUUCCGUAACGGUUCCACUGAAUCAUGGUGAAACAGAACAUAUCGAUAUGCUUGUACCCACGAUAAAUCAUCUAAUUCCACAAUUUCAACUUUGCCGAUUGGUUCUCCAAAACUUUGAAACAAAUAAGUAUCGGCGAAGUUAUCAGUGAGUCUAGCAUUUCUUCUUGGUCUGUUCAACCUUGUUUCAACAUCUUCCAAAUAUCUUGAACAGAAAGUCAUACAUUUCUCAGCCAAGUAGCCUUCAGCAAUUGAUCCUUCUGGAUAAUACUUGUUGUGGCAGCAAGACUUCAAUUUGGAUAGGAACUUAAACACGAUGUACAGCAUCAUUAAAAAUUGUAACUAAAGCCAUACAGGUGAAUGAAGGAAAAUUUUACAAAUAAAUUAACACCUUUCUAUGGGAUACAUCUAUCGAUAGAAAACAGGUCCACCAAGAAUUGCUUCAUGCGGGAGAUGGAUUAGUGAAUGCACCAUAAUUCUGAAGAAGAAAUGUGGAAAGAUUUUCUCCAAGUUGCAUAAAGUCAAAGCGGCUUGAUCUUGUACUUUCUCAAGUUCUUGAACAUCCAAAACUUUGCCACAAAUGGCUUUUAUUAUAUUGGAUAGUUCAAUAAUACAAGAAGUCAUAUUUUUAGACAUACAACAUUGUAGAGCAACUGGUAGUAAAUCUUACAUCAAGAUGUGAUAGUUAUAUGAUUUUAAGGAAUAUAGUCUUCGAUUUUUAAUACUAACACAUCGAAAUAUAUUUGAUGCAUACGCAUCUGGAACCUUUAUACCCUUCAACACCAUGCAGAACACUUCUUUUUCCUUCUUCGACAUUGAAAAAAUAGAAGAUGACAACCGAUAUUUCCCGUUCGGAAGUGCUUGGGGAUAAGAUCAGGCCGAAUUUCCAUGUUGACUAAAUCAAGUCAACUCUAAAGAUUGUCUUUUGAUUUUCCUUCGACAUUCAAAAUUGUACAGAUAAUGUUCUCGCAAACAUUUUUCUCAAUGUGCAUGACAUCAAGAUUGUGUCGUAAAAGUUGAUGCUCUCAAUAAGGCAACUUAAAAAAUACUUCUUUUUUUUCACAAGUCUGCCUCAUUAGGAUCAUCCUUUUCAUUAGAGUCAUCAUUAGCUUUAUCAUUUGAUCUCCUAUUUCGUUGCAUGUUUGGCGGUUGGUUCAUCUUUCUAUAGCUAAAAUUCAUAUCUUCCAACAUGAACAAGAUUUUAGAUCCACUGGUCUGCGAAGGAGCUUCUCUUAACUCUUCAGUAUCGUCAAAUACAGAACUCUGAAAUCUAAAUCUAUGAUUUUCUGGUAACCACCGACAAUGCCCCAUGUAAGAGAACUUCUUCCAAUUAUAUAACCAUUGCGAACAUGUUUGCACAGCACAAUAAGGACAAGCAUAAUGACCAUUGGUACUCCAACUAGAUAAAUUGGCAUAAGCGAGGAAGUCAUUAAUAGUCCACAUCAAAACUACACACAAAUUAAAGUUCUCAUUUCUUAGUACAUCGUAUGUCUCAACACCAGCCCAUAAUUGUUUUAACUCUUCAAUAAGUGGCUGUAAAUAAAUGUCGAUGUCGGAGGAAAAUUGUAAAGAACAAGCACUACAGACCAGGUACUGUACGUAGUGUUCAUGAUCUUGUAUGGAUUAAAUCAAUCAGAUGCUAGCCCAAGCCUCACACUCCUAGGAUCGCUUGCAAAGCUUGGAAAUUUACUUUCAAAUGAUUCCCAAGCUAAAGAAUCUACCGGAUACCUUAGUAAUCCAUCAUUGGUUCGUCCAUCAUGGUGCCACGUCAUCGACUUGGCCGUCUUCGAUGACAUGAAAAGCCUCUGAAGCCUUGGUAUUAGUGAAAAAUAUCGUAAAAUCUUAUUUGGCUUCUUCCUUGACUGUGCGUCAUUUUCAUCGUCAUUCCCAUAAUCUGUGUUUCUAUUCAUCCAACGAGAUUGGCCGCAUACAUGACAACACUGCUGGUUUUUUUUUAUCACCCCAAUACAACAUGCAGUCAUUCGGGCAACUAUGAAUUUUGUUGUACCCAAGACCUAAAUCUUUUAUCAUUUUCUUUAUAUCUUUACAUGAGUGAGGGAUUUUUGCAAACGAAAACAUAUCUCUUAAAAACUCUAACAGCGUUGUCAAAGAGUUUCUGGUCCACCCUCCCAAACAUUUUAACUGAAAAAGACAAAUAUAGAAUGACAUUUUUGAAAAUUUUGAUUCCUCAUAAAGUUCUUUGUUCAUUUCAUUAAGUAGCUCGUAGAACUUCGCCGCUUCUCCGUUCGGCUCUUCAUGACGUACACUUCUUCUCGGUUCGGUAAAAGCAUCUCCACCAAGAUUACAAUUAUCAGGUGCCACAAAGUCAGCUGGGAACGACUGCAAACCAUGAUUGUGCAUAUUAAAUGCAUCCCGCAACAUCCCUUCCAUGUCAUCCCCUCUAACAGACUGAUGGUAAUUAGUACCAAGAUAAGAUACAUCCAUCCUUGAAGAGGAAGUACUAGGCGGGCAUUCUCCAUGAAAAAGCCAUUGUUUAUAACCCCGAGCAAACCCAUCAACAAUUAGAUGCUCGUAUACAACUUCACGAUAAUGCUAGUUUAUAUUGACACACUUCUUACACGGGCAAAGAAUCAUGUUCUCUUGGCUUGCACAUUGAAAUGAAAAAUUUAGAAAAGUUUGUACUCCAUUUCGAUAACCAUUGCUUACCCUUGACAAAUUCAUCCAAGACCGGUCCAUUUCUUUAUUCUUGAAGUCUGAUGUUGACAAUAAAUUACAAGGGUAAGUUGUUCAGUUAUAACCUUAUAAAUGACUUAUGUAAGUUACGUAAGUUAUGUAAGUAAUGUAUUAUGUAAGUUGUGUAUAAUAUUAUUUAAGUUAUGUAAGUUGUGUAUUAUGUAAGUUACGUAAGUUAUGUAGGCUAUGUUUUAUGUAAGUUACGUAAGUUAUGUAGGCUAUAUUUUAUGUAAGUUAUUUAAGUUAUGUAAGCUAUGUAUUAUGCAAGUUAUGUAAGUAGUGUAUUAUGAAAGUUAUGUAAGUUGUGUAUUAUGUAAGUUACGUAAGUUAUGUAGGCUAUGUAUUAUGUAAGUUAUUUAAGUUAUGUAAGUUAUGUAAGUAGUGUAUUAUGAAAGUUAUGUAAGUAGUGUAUUAUAUAAGUUAUAUAUUAUGAAAGUUAUGUAAGCUGUGUAUUAUGUAUUAUGUAAGGUAUGUAAGUUGUGUAUUAUGUAUUAUGUAAGGUAUGUAAGUUGUGUAUUAUGUAUUAUGUAAGUUAUGUGAGUUGUGUAAGUUGAGUUAUGAUAUAUAUACAUAAUUAAGUUAUGUAUGUUACGUGAGUUAUGUAAGUUGAGUUAUAUAUAAGUUAUUAACCCCUGUAAGUUAUCUGAGUUAUAUAUUGGUUAUAUAUACAAAAUAUAGGUUUUAAUAUUUAAAAUACACAUAAAAUAGGUAAUAUAUCCAUACUAAUAUAGGUGAUAUAUUAAAAAUAUAGAUUUUAAUAUUUAAAAAUAUAAAAUAAAUAAUUAUGUUUAAAAUUUAAAAAGUUAUUAGUAAUGAAUUUGAAAUAUAGGUUAUAUUCCCAUACUAAUAUAGGUGAUAGAUUAAAAAUAUAGGUUUUAAUAUUUAAAAAUAUAAAAUAAAUAAUUAUGUUUAAAAUUUAAAAAGUUGUUAGUAAUGAAUUUGAAAUAUAGGUUAUAUUCCCAUACUAAUAUAGGUUAUAUAUUAACAAUAAAGUUUAAACAUAUUUAAAAUAUAAUAUUUAUAAAUAUUUUUAAAAUUUAAAAAAUAAUUAGUAAUGAAUCUGAAAUAUAGGUUAUAUUCCCAUACUAAUAUAGGUUAUAUAUUAACAAUAUAGUUUAAACAUAUUUAAAAUAUACUAGUUAUAAAUAUUUUUAAAAAUUAAAAAGUAAUUAGUAAUGAAUCUGAAAUAUAGGUUAUAUAUUUGAUUAAAAUAUAUAGGUAAUAUAGGUAAUAUUUGAUUAAAAUAUUAAGUAAAAUUAAUUAAUUAAAAUAAAUAAUAAAGAUAUAUUUGACCAGUAGUUCCUCGACCGCUAGCUAAGUCGAUGAUAGUAAAAAAAAUUCCAGCGCGCUCAUUUUCUUUAUAGUUACCACAAACUUUUCCGACAAUUUUAAGUCCCGUUGUAAAUAGGAUUAUUUUGACAGCAUUUUAAAGUGCCGGUAAAAGUCAAAUUUAGAUUUAAAUUUAAAUAUUAAUAUACGAAACAUUUUCAGACCUUCAUAAUUGUCAGAAAAAAAUCAUAUUCGCAUUAAAUAAACAGGAAUUUAUGGUCUGUUACCUUGACAGACACGUUGUACAUAUGCAAUCGCAAGAAUCAGUUCAUCAAUGGAAGCAGACUAACAACAAUACAAAAGUUUAGAAACCUUAGAACAUUUAGAUGAAAACCGAGUAAUCUUAAAUGCUUCAUAUAUUUUGUUAAGCACAAGAUAACCUGCUGAUUUAUAUAACCAAACUAACUUCAACAAAAUUAAUUGCUUCAUAACAGAAGAACUUAGUAACCAACUUCAACACACUUAACUAACAGGAACUGCACUGUCUACAGUGGGUUCAAUAGUACAAGUCUGUUGUUCACACUUUCUAAACAUUUCCUUAGGUAGAACAAUUUAGUCUGCAUAAUUUAUAUAAGUAGUAAACAAUAAAUAUGAUCAAAAAACAACAAAUAUUAAUAGAGUUAGUUGCAGACAGAAGCCAUUUUCAGACAUGGAUACUUAAUAAUAAGGUUAGUCUUGGAAUUCCUAAAUAAAUCAAUGUCUGUAAGGAAUGAAGAUUAGCAAGAUAUAUAUAAGUUCACCAUGAUAUUGCUUCGAGCCAUGAGACAAAACACAGAACUAAUCAAAACCAGGCUGUUUAAACUGAUGGUUGAUAUAAUUUUAACAUUUGAACCUAAAACACUCCAAGGCAAAGUUCUAAAGGCUCUCCUCAAGCAACUAAAGAUACACAAUAUAUAAGAAGUGCUGUCAUUGCAUGUGCGUCCAACCAUAGAGCAAACUUAUAUAUUGCAACGUAUACUAGACAAAAGCAGCAUUGAUUUAAAUGCAUAGAUAAAAUUGGCGAUUGCCAAGUUUAAAGCAAAAUGAAAAGAAAAAACCAGUGAGAGGUACCAAAUUAAAACAGACGAUAUACAACAUUAACCUAAUUCCAGCAAAAAAGACUUGCAGCAACAUUAACCAAAUUCCAAAUUAAAAGAUGCCCCAACUACAAAUAUACCAAAUUUGCUUCAAACCAGUGAGAGGUACCAAAUUUGCAGACUAAAUUGCUAAAACUAAAUUGCUACAGUCAAAAUGAAAAGAAAAAACUAAGAAAAAAAAUACUACUCUGCCUCUGCCUGACUACAUUGCUAAAACUGCAUGAUAUUCGAGACAAUAAUGCAGUAUCGAUAUAUUUUAAUUAAAUUAUAAACAAAAUAAUCAUCAUGAACUUGUUCAAUAAAACUGUUUUUACAUAAACUUAAGUGAAUAAUAAACUUUCUAAGUAUCUAAAUCAAAAUAUUAUAAAAGCGUAUUUUUUAUAUAAAAAUCUAUUACAUUAUAUGAGUACUAACUGUAUAAUACAUAACAGGCUGAUUAAACUGCAAAUAGGAAGACAAAACAAAGGUCCUGAUUCCUUUAACAAAAAACGAAUAGAAAGACAAAACAAGGUUUAGAAUAUGCUUUAAAAUCGUUUUUAAAAUCGAAAAUAACUUUAACCACAAACAAAUUAAAUUAGGCAUUCGAAAGCCUACAUUCUACGGUCAAAAUGUAAGACAGUCAAGUCGGUUAAAACCCUAAACAGACUAAAUUGGCAAACCUAGAAUUAAGAGAGAAGAAAACAAUACCUUUAGAAAGAUGAAGAGAAAUUAAAUCGGUUCGGAUCAAAUUCCACGAGUAAAUUCCAAAAUGCGAACGUUUUCGGAAACCCUAAAACCAAGGAUGAACUUCAAUGUUAACGAUUCAAACGAGUAAAUUCCACGAGUAAUUUCGCAAAAACCCUAAACACGCAAAAGAAAAAAAUAAAAGAAAUCAAACUGGUUCAAGCUUACCCAAAAAACAGAAUCUCCACUGCUCUGUCUUCGUGUAAAUGCCGUGAAGAAUCGAAUAAGUAACGAUAUAUUUGAAGAAUCGAACAAACAAAAAUAAAACCAACAGCAGUUUUACAGGAUCAACUCAGUGAAUGACUGGAAUUAGGGAUUUGGGAGAGCUUUCGAAGGGGAAUUAGGGAUUUGGAAGGGGAAGAUUUCUGUAAUUAGGGGCUGGGUGCAGGAAAGGGGAACAAAAAUGUCACUCUAAGCAAAACGACGACGUUCCGAUAUAAUUUUUCAGUUCCUGAAACAAAACGGCGACGCUUUCAACAUUUUCUAAUACACACGUUUUCAGCCAAAACGCCGCUAAAGCUUGCAAUUUGCGGUGAUUUUGAGAAAAACGCCACUAAAGCGUUAAAAUCAUUUAAGCAAACGAUGCCAUUUUUGUGCACUUUUUUAUACAUUUUUGCGGCGUUUCUAUAAAAAACGCCGCUAUUGCAUACCUUCUGCGGCAUUUUUCACAAAAACGCCACUAAAAAUCAAAUUCCUAUGACCAAACGGCGCCGUUUUGUAUAAUUUUUAACACAUUAUCGCGGCGUUUUUGGUCCAAACGUCACUAAUGUUAAAAUUUUUUUAAAAUUUAAUUAUUUAAUAAAAUUUAAUUAUUCUAUGAAGUCAGGUUGUGUUUUUCAAAAAACUACUUAAUCUAAACCCUAAACCUCUAACGCUUAACCCCUAGCUAACUCCUAAACCCUAAGCCCCAACCUUGAACCAUAAACUACAAACCAUACUAAUCCAUGAACUCUUAACCCAUAUCCCUUAAACCUUGAAUCAUAAAACAUUAACUAUAAACCUUAAACCCCUAACCCUUAACCCCCAACACCUAAACCUUAAACCCUAACCCUUAAACCAUAAUCCUAAAACCCUUAACCUAUAUUCGUUACACCCUAAAUCAUAGAACAUAUAUAAAUUCUAAACCCUAAAUCAUAUAUAGAGCAUAUAUAAACUAAAAACCUUAAACCCUAACCCUUUAACAAUAAACCAUAACCCCACAUCCAUAAUCCCUAAUCCGCUAAUGCGUCUAAAGCUUAACAAAAAAAGUUGCUUAACUUUUUCUGGUGUUUUCAAAAAUCGCCGCUAAUGCUUGACUUUUACGGCGCUUUUUGUAAAACGCCGCUAAUGACUGUAACGCUCAACAAAAAAUGAAGCCGUUUGCUUAAAAUUUUUGCAGCGCUUCUAAAAAAGCGCCGCUAAUACUUGACUUCUGCGGCGUUUUUAUAAAAGCGCCACUAAUGUCUGUAAACCUCAACAAAAAACAUUGUUGUUUGCUUAUAAACUUUUGCGGUGCUACUGUGAAAGCGCGGCUAAUUCCUGACUUUUGCGGUGUUUUUAGGAAAGCGCCACUAAUGUCUCUAAAACUGAAAAAACAAACGACGUCGUUUGCUUGAAACUUAUGUGGGGCUUUUGAAAAAGUGCUGCUAAUGACUGACUUCUGCGGCGUUUUUCAAAAAGCGCCACUACUGUCUGUAAAGCUCAACAAAAAUGACGUCGUUUGCUUAGAAACUUUUGUGGCACUAAUGAGAAGGCACCGCUAAUGCUUGACUUCUGCGGCGUUUUUUGGAAAGCCCCACUAAUGUGUCUAAACCUCAACAAAAAAAAUGACAUUGUUUGUUAAAACCUUUGCGAACAAAAGUGUCGCUAAUGCUUGACUUCUGCGGCAUUUUUUGGAAAGCGCCACUAAUGUGUCUAAACCUCAACAAAAAAACGUCGUUUGUUAAAACCUUUGCAGCGCUUUUGAGAAAGCGUCGCUAAUGCUUGACUUUUGCGGCUUUUAUUUAGAAGCGCCACUAAGGUAUUUGAGGCUCAACAAGAAAACGACAUCGUUUGCCUUACCCUUUUGUGGUGGUUUUCGAAAAACGCCGCUAUUGCUUAUAUUUUGCGGUGUUUAUUUAAAUUUGCCGCUAAUGCUCGAUUUCUUGCUGCGUUUUUUUGUUAAAACACCGCUAUAAACGCCGCUAAAAGCCUGUUUUGGUGUAGUGAAAUUUACUAAGUUUUUGGGGUUUUGAGUUUUUGAGUUUAUCAAAAUCACAAAUAUAUAUAUAUAUAUAUUUAUAUAUAUAAAUUUAUCAGCAUUUAGUUAUAUGUGUUUCAAUAUAAUUACUUUUUAUAUUUAAUUACAUGUGUUUGAGAAUAAAGUUGAUAGAAUUUUUAAAUAUGGUGGGUGAUAUUUAUUAAAUUAUUUAGAAUACAAAUCAAAUUAAUAAAAUGUGUAAGUAUUAAGGAAUAAAAGUGUUAUUAUGCCAGUUGGAAAAGACAACAUCAUCACUUCUGUUAACUAUUUAACGGAGAGUGAUCACAAUAGAAACAAUCUAAAGUGUGAGUAUUCAAAAUAGAAAUAAUCUAAAACGUUAGUGGCUAAAUUUAAAAAUUUCAUAGUUGGGUGACUAAUUCUAUAGUUUACUUUAGAUGGUAGAAGCAAUUAGGAUUAAUUCCACCAAACAUCUCAAACUAUUACUCAUAUUUUAAAUUGAACCCUAAAGUUAUAUACAUUCUAAUUAAAUUACUCAAAUAGAAUGUGAUUGUACUAGGCCUAUUUUGCCCGAGCCCAAGACAAAUAAAAUAAAAAAUAACAGUCCAAAUUACAAAACAAAAUGGCAGGCCCAAACUCAAAUAGCCCAAAACUAAACAAACCCAACAACCUAAAACUAAACACAAACCCUAGCCCCCCUAAACCCUAAUGCGCCGCACCUAGCUACCUGCCAUUGUCAGUCUGCCGCCGCCCCUAUCCUCUGCUGCUGUCAGCACUGCCACCGCCGAAGCCACCAACUCCACUUGCCACCGCCCCUUUUAAAUUUCAUUCUAAUUUCAACUUAGUCCUUAUUUAUUUAUUCAUUUAUUAUAAUUUAGACUAUUAAUUUCGUUUUGCUUUCGAUCUAAUCCCUUAUUUAUUUAAUUUCAGCCUUUCAUGAUUUUUUUAUUUAUUAUUUACUUGUUUAUUUAUUAUUGCCUCGCUUUUUAUUUUAAAACUUAUAUGGUUCAUAUUUGUAUAUUGUUGCCAUAUUGUCAUUGUUAUUUAGUUAUUUUUUUAUUAUUUUUGAUACUUUUCAUGUCACGUCCUUUUUAAUCAUGCAUCUUCCUUUUAUUUUUAUUUUGAGUUAUCUUGUUUAUUUUAUUAUUAUGAUUAUAUUAUUGUUAUUACAACAUCCCUUUAUUUAUUUAUAUUUUAUCAUUCACUAAUCUUAUGUUAUCCUUUUAUGGACUUUGCUUUGCUUUGUUUUAUUUUAUUUUAUUUUAUCUAUUAUUCCCUUACUUUUUUUUUAAUUUUGUGUUUUUAAAUUCCUCUUUCGUGUGCCCUUUUUUAUGUUUCAUAAUUGUUAUCAUUAUUAUUUAUUAUACUUUUUGUUAUUUGUAUUAAUAUUAUGAUUAUGAUUAUUAAUAUUAUAAAUCGACAAUUUUAUCGUUACCAUUGUAUUAUUAUCAAUCACUAGCAUAGCAUCUUCAGUUUAUCUUUUAUUUGUUCAUUUGUUCAUUUAUUUGUUUGCCUAAUAUUUUAAUAUCGUAUCUUUGUUUCUCUACUACCAUGUUAUCUUAUUUUUUGUCAACACCAUGUCACGGACCGUAUUCGAAUAUAUUUACCCAUUUUUAUACUAUGCUUAAAUAAGUUAAAUGUGCAUUUCUUAAAAUUUUAUAUUCAUUUUUUUACUCGAUGUAUAACAAGAAAUUUUUAAAAUCAAAGUAAAUGUUCAUUAUUUUCGGAAUUAGAAGAGCCGUGUUCCUAACUUACGGAAUAUGACUUUCUCCUAAAACCAAAAUAGUCGAACAUCUAUUUCAAAAAAUAAAAACGGGAUUUAAGUGAUGAUUAGAUGGAGUUCUUUUUUGUUCUCGAGGAUCUAAGGCAUUGUGUCCUAACUUACGGGACAUGGUCCUUUUUUCUCGAUUAACUUAAAAUAAGCCCCUUUUCAUGAAAAUUAAUUUAGUAAAGUAAUGUCUUAACAAAGGACCGUAUUUUAAAUCUCUUCAAAGUUUUCAAUUUUCAACACUAAGGCACUAAUUAAUCGACUAGGUACCAAUUUUGGGCGUAACGAGGGUGCUAAUCCUUCCUCGUACGUAACCGACUCCUGAACCCAUCUUUCUAAAUUUCGUGGACCAAAAUCAUUGUUUUAAUAAAUCAAAUCGUUUAUUAAAAUAACUACUCUUUUUUAGGUGACCCGAUCACACCUCAUUAAAAAGGAUUGGUGGCGACUCCCGUGUUCAUUUUCAUUUUCAAAAUUAAAGUCGACCCCUUUUAUCAAAAAAUAGGUUUCGACAGUGAUAAUAUGUUAUGCUAUUAUUCAUCGAUAGUGCAUAGAACUUAUGCACCAACAAUACAUCAAAUAUUCUCAUUAAAAAAAUGUAUAAAAUAAGUUUUAUACCAUCUAUAAUUUGUAAAAAAAAGUAUCCAAUAAAAAAUAUAAAAACACAUAUCUAUAAUUUCACAAAAAGAAUUACAUUAAUCCAAACCAAAUCAUUUCUUUUUAUAAAUUCAAUUCCAAAUCUCCUGUAAUAAAUCAACCUCACAAAAUAUACAUCACACAAAUCUGAUUCAGGUUAAAAACAAAGAAUGCAUGUAUUGUGCAAUUAAAACCAUGAUCCAUAGUCAAUUCUAAAGUAUUGAACAUCUAAUUUUGCAUUAUUUUACCUCCCUUGAUUCUUCACAAACUCUUUGGAAUAAAUUAACCAUCUAUUCCUUAUUUCAAUUUUAUUAAAAAGAUAGGUUCCCAUAAAGACAGUCUUGACAAACCAGUGCACCUAUCAUAAACACAUCAGGGAACAUUGCCAUGAGAGAGGACCUAAGAAAACAUAAUACAAACUACAUAACAUACAAUCAAGCACCCACACAAAAUGUUUAUUAAACAGCUACAGAAAAAGGCCAGCAUACCACCAAGCAAUGAAGUUUUCUGUUCUGUUCGCAACUUGUUGAACUCGCCGAAGUGUUAGCUUCCCUACCUUUGUCCAAAUCUUUGUUGAACUCGCUCCACGAUCCUAAUCAACCACCAUGGUUUUCCAGUCGUGAAUACAAUGUAUGCCAUGCUCAUUCCCAGCACCAACCCAUAUCCAUACCCCAUCAAUUUUGAAAAUUUCCAAUUCAAUUCAUCACCAUCAUCAUCUCUAUCAAAUUUGGCUGGAGUUUCCUCAUCAAUACCACAGUUUUUUGAUAAUGGCAAACCACAUAAAUCCAAAUUUCCUAUGUAGGAAUCGUUAGUGAAAGUAUCAAAUUGUUUGCCUUGAGGAAUGGGUCCCUUGAGAUUAUUUUUAGAAAGGUUUAACACCUCUAAGAAUCCAAGAUUUUUUAACUCUGUUGGAAUUCUUCCUUGCAGCUUAUUUGAUGAGAGAUCUAAUGAUUCAAGCUCUGACAAAUUACCUAAAGAUGAUGGGAUAGGGCCUGUUAAACAGUUAUGGGAGAGAUUUAGGACAAUAAGUAAAUGAAGCUCACCAAGUAUUUUUGGAAUUUCUCCCCUGAAUUGGUUACUAGAAAGGUCAAUAAUCGUCCAAAUGGAUAAUAGUGAUUCAAACUUUAUUUCCUGCCCUUUUGCUGUAACAGAUAAACCAUAAGCAUAAUCCACCCAAAAUACACCAAAUGCAUCUUCCGUGGGCUUUAUUUCCCUCAUGUAAUUUGGUUCAACUUUCUUUCCAUACUCAUCUCUAAUGGCAUGCAUAUGCUCAAAAAAAAGAGUAGGUAAGUAGCCACUAAAACUAUUGUGAGAAAGAUCAAUGAUUCGCAAUUUAGUU
rnacentral:lncRNA from 1 species